rnacentral:lncRNA from 1 species
GCGAGCUACAGAGUUUACAAGCACUGGAUCUUGAAGGAUGUCUGGAGCUAGAAGAGUUGCCUAAAGACAUAAGGUACCUUGUCAGUCUCAGAUUGUUAGCGCUAACCACAAAACAGAAGUCUUUGCAAGAGAGUGGAAUAAGGAGCUUGGGUUCUCUUCGUUGUUUGACAAUUUCUGGUUGUAGGGAUUUAGAACAUUUGUUCGAGGAGAUAGAUCAAUUAAGUCUCCUUCGAACAUUAUUUAUUGAUAGUUGUCAUCGUCUAAUCUCAUUGCCACCUUCUAUCAAAUAUCUCAGCUCAUUAGACACUCUGCUUUUGUCGAGGUGUGAAAGCCUUGAUCUUAAUCUGAACGUGGAAAUGGAAGGUGAAGGAAGUCAUCAUGAUCGCAAAAACACAAGGCCUCACCUUCGGAGGGUUGUCAUCGGGGAAAUAACACAGUUAUUAGAACUGCCACAAUGGCUUCUUCAAUGUUGUACUGAUUCUUUACAGAACUUGUUAAUUGUUGAUUGUCCCAACUUCAUGGCACUACCAAGGUCUCUAAAAGAUCUCGAAGCUCUUGAAACUCUUGCCAUUAUAGGAUGUCCAAAAUUGUCAUCGUUGCCGGAGGAUAUGCAUCACGUCACUACUCUGAAAUCAUUGACCAUUAUAGGAUGUCCUGCACUGAGUGAAAGAUGCAAACCGCCAACAGGUGAAGAUUGGCCCACGAUUGCACAUAUCACUCAGAUUGAGCUUGAUGACGAGAUAAUCAAAUCAAGCGAUAUUUAGGUAUGAUUAAAUCAAGCGAUAAUUUGUACUAAUUUAUUUUCUUCUAAUACAUAACUAGUUUGUCAGUACAAAGGACAAAAAUAAUAUUUUGGAAACCGCACUGUUCAAGGGGUCAGAUCUGUUUCUAAAUUCAAACAGUUCAGGAUUUUUCAAAAUGGAACUUAUAAUGAGAUUUUUUUUUAAUUAUCUAGUUAUCUUCAUAUGGAAUUUCAAUCUUUGUUAAUACUUAACUUGCACCGAAACAUCUAACAAUUCUUCCUCUUAUCCUUUUUUUUUUCCCAAAUAUUGCAGCUUUCUUGGGAGAGGUUCAACCAAACUGCAGGGAGAGUGAAAAUAUUACUCUAACGUUGUUCAGAACAGAGGUUCAACGGUUUUAAUGUUGUGUUUUAAAGUUACAAGAAUUAAAUAUUCGUUACGUGUGGUUAUGUAAUUUGCUGAUAAAUAAGUCCAUUGAGUGAGGUAUAUGUGUGUGCCUGUGUGGUCAUUACUGAAUUUCUCAGUAAUAUAAUUUGCAUUGACUGCAGAUUUGUGAAGAACAUUGAUGUGUUGUGUAAUGGGAACGGUGGUGUCUGUAUUUUGUGCUUUGUGAUUGACGACUUACAUUUGCCCAGGAAGAAAUGAAAACAAAUCGGCUUCUUGAAAUUAACCAUUUAUUCUUUCGAAUGGUAACCUUUUUGUGACAUGAUUCGCAUAUUAAUCAAAAGCAGUUGGCAAACUAAUUAGAUAUUGCAUCGUGAUUCAUGGCCUUGAAGUGAAAUGAGUGAGCAUGUUUGUGGAGGUUUUUGUUUUUGUUUUUUUUUUCGAAAGAAUAUGUAUUUUAGGAUGAAAAUUCUGUACAUUAGAAAAUAUUAAAACAAAAAUUAAAGUUGAUAUGAGAAAAUUAAAGAAGCUUGCAACUUGGAACCGCAAGGAGCAAAAAUGGUAUGAAACUCUGUUUUGAUUAAAAUUCAAUGACUUUCUUCGUAUUAAUCAAAUUAAUUAAUUAAUUAAUUAUUUUGGUAAAAAGAAUUUGCCAAUUGUGUAAUAUUUACACUCCCAACAAAUUUGAAUGAAACAAUCCUAAUGUUCACUUUCUUCUUCGAUUUCAUUUUACGACUUAACAAAAACGAGAUGCUCCUGAUGAGGGAAAGGAGAAGAAGACACAGCGAGUUCGCAAGAACGUGUACAGAGGAAUAAGGCAGAGGCCAUGGGAGAAAUGGGCAGCUGAAAUUAGAGACCCUUACAAGGACGUCCGCGUUUGGCUCGGCACAGCCGAAAAAGCUGCAAGAGUUUAUGCUGACGUCGCCAAGAAUAUCCGUGGCAACAAGGCCUAGCUCGACUUUGCUCACCGGCCGCCAGUAACUCCACCUCCAGGUAAGAAACGCUUCGUGCUAUCCCGUGAGUUGACUCAGCCGAGUUUCGGAGAUUACUUUUUUAUUGGUUUUCAUUGAUUUCUUUUCCUGCUCUUAUCUACGAGGUUGUGCUUUCCCUUGGAUGCCCUUUAAUAAACAGCUUUCCUAAUAACAACUGAAGCGAAAAGUCAUUUUAUCAAAUGAUUUGGUGAAAUUUCAAGUACUUUCAUCUUGGGAUGUGGUAUAUGUAUCAAGUUCUUAUUGCUGGUGAACAUUACUGGUUUAGUGUGCGAUCGUUUACUAUCACUGCAUGCAUUAUCAAUUUAUUUUAUUGAACUAUCCCAAAUCAGUAACGAAUCCUCAAUUCCCUCUGUUUUCUUUGGAUCCUAGUAGUGUUUGGCAUGCAUCAACUAGUGUUCAUGCAUGUGUCGGUUCAUCAUAGACAACUUCAGCACACAUACAACAGCCCUCAUUUCUCCUUGCUCCAACCAAUCGAUGGCAGAAUCAUCACAGACACCUUGAGCUCUGUCGAAUCAUCAUAGACAAUUUGUGAUUAGUGGGAGCAUUACAUGAAAGGUGCGACUACUUCAAACUGUUAGAUUUGUUAACAUGAUUCGGCUAUAGUUCUAUAAUUGGUGAGUUUUUGUGGGUUUGUUUGAUAUUUUUUUGUGGGUUUGUUUCUCAUAAUCUUUAUCCAGUCAAAGCAAACGUUCGCCUCUCACAUUGUCGGUUAGGCUAGAUGUUUGACCCUGAAUAAGAUGAUUGAGUUUAUUAUAGUCUUCUUAUAUUGUCGGUUCAAUAUCAUUUUGAAAUAUCACAUCAAUUCCGCUUUUGGAGUUUUAAUCCAUGCCCAGUUACACCUUUAUUUUACUUUUAAGCUGCAACAUUGAGUCACAUUCUUUUUCUGUUAUUAUUACGAUUAGCGACUGGUACAGUGGUAUUUGAACUGCAUAGCGUGUCAACAUUCACUCUAAAUGUCUUAGAAACUCUGUCUAUCACUAAUUUCCUAGAACAGGCCUCGUUGACAGUCAAAGAUUUGAGGCGUAUUUCUGGAUUGAAGGCUUUUCUCUAGUCAAUUUGAUGAUAAGCGCAUUUAUUAUCUCCAGCAUUAAGUAGUAAUUUGUAACUAGUAGUAGCCAGUACCUAAGAUGUUGCAUUUGACUGUCUUCUCUUUCUGGUUCAGUUUCGACCUUUGGAGCUGUUUUAGACAUGGUAACGGAUAGGUAAUUUCUCUCUACCCCACCCCCCAAUGUAUCAAUAGUCAUCAUUCGUUCUGGUUGGUGGAGAUACGCAUACUAAUUUGGAUUAUUGUCCGUGCCUUCGUCUUUUGUCAAUAAUCUUUUGCAUUUCAGGAUUAGUACAGCUUGUCUACUGGUAAUACAAAUGAAUUGUAAGAGGAUAUGGUUACUUUAGAUUGCAAUUUAAGAAUGCUUGAGUUCUAAAAGCACAGAAAUGGGACCAGUCUCUUGCUCGAGGGUAAACUCCUUCGUCAGUUAGUGAACUGUCCAUCAAAAGUAAAUAUUUAUGUGAUUGAGAGAAAUUUUGGAUUUUUGAUGAAAACAAAAAUCCUGUAUGCAUUUGCUUGCCCCCAAGGAGCUGAAGAUUCUCAAAUUGUUUGUAGACGUAAUAGUUCUUCUGAUAUCAUUUGGCUUGCUAAUCUUUCUUGCUCGAAAAUUUACCCGUUGUGUGGUCUUGAUGGUGGGUGAAAUUGAUGUGUGGUUUCAGAUGAAGACGGCAGCAGAUAUGUGUGUGCCAUAUGACAUCGAGAAAAAGCAAAAACCUUAAAGAGUUCAUCAACAUUUUCCAUUCAGAAGAAUCUGUUUUGUGGUUUUCAUGCUCGAGUGCCUACUUUUCAGUAUGCAAGCAGAGGAUUUGGCAUUAAUUUGGGGAAGCCUUUUUUUUGGGUAUAUGAGUGUGUGCAUUCCUUCAAUCACGUAGCUUUGUGCCAUUAACAUAAUGGCAAUUCCACAAUUGUGAUAAUGAUAAUUUUAUGAUUGGGGCAUAUUGUUAGGAACUCUUUACUGGUUUUUCUUUCCCCAUCUGUGUCUAUGAUUAAGGUUGUUUAAGGUGUUAUGGCUUUUAAUCUGCAAUCAUUGCGAAAGGGACUCACUAGCCGGCAAAUAGUAAAACAUAGUGCUGUCAAAUUUUAUAAGGAUUAUAUAUACAUACUCUUUCGUCUUCAAUGCACUGAAACUGGGGAACCAUCUAUAUGAUUUUCUUUCAGAAAAACCGGCGGGAACUAAUGACUUUCAUGAUUAAAAGUAGGAUUAUCAUAUUAUGGAGCAUUGUUAUGUAACGUUUUAUGGUUAUCUUAAGGCAAAAGUUGGCUUAGAAAUUAACUGAAAGGCAAUAUUCAUUCUAUCAUAAAACAAGUGUUUUUUAACAAGGGGAGAAGGUUCCCUUUAUAAUUUACUAAUUUAUGCAACCGUUAAUAUUAAAACAAAAAAAUUAAACAUAUGAUGUGGUAACCAAGGAAUCAAUUAGUAAAGUAUGUAUAUAACAUAUGAUGUGGUAAGCAAGGAAUCAAUUAUAUAUUUCUUGUUUCUGUAAAAAUGAAUAAUCCUUUAACGAGGGUUAUCAUCAAUUGCAGGUUUCUAGUUUGGUUGCUUAGUUUGAAGACCACGAAUAUUACAUUAUCAUAAUCAAAGGAAAGAAUAUAUGCUACAGUCUUUGCCUGAUCUACUUUCUUCUUUUUAAUUAACCACUUAGAAGGAAAGAAUUUUGUAUACAGAGCAGUUACCAAUUAUAGUAUAAGUUCAUAUUGAUUAAUUUGUCCUUCUUCAGCCAAAAAAAAAUAUAUAUAUUCUCAUCUCAGCACGUAUACAACAAUCCUUAUUUCUCUGUGCUCCAACCAAUUGAUAGCAGAAUCAUCACAGACACCUUGAGCUCUGUCGAAUCAUCAUAGACAAUUUGUGAUUGGUGGGAGCAUUACGAGAAAGGUACGACUACUUCACACUGACAGAUUUGUUUAUAUGAUUCAAAUUUAUAUGUGGUUAAUUUGUCCUUCUUCAGCAAAAAACAAUCCCAUUUCAGCACAUCUACGAGAGCCGUCAUUGCUCUUUGCUACAGCCAAUUGAUAGCAGAAUCAUCAUAGACAAUUGGUGAUUAGUGGGAGCAUAACAAGAAAGGUACGACGACUACAAACUGGUAGAUUUGUUUAUAUAUUUGGCUGUAGUUUUUAUAUAUGGUUAAAUUAUGACAAUAAUCAAGAGAUAAUCAUGUACAUCAUUAAUUACAUAAAUGUACAUACUAAUUUAUUCCUCUACUUGCCAGAUCCAUACAUAUAAAAAUGAGAUAAAUUUUAAGGUUUAAAACUUUGCAAUUCAUUGAAAAUCUAGUGGGAUAUUAGUUGGUAAAACCUCUCAGGGGUAGUACAAGAGGUUUAUGAUUCCCCAAUCCAUUUUUGUGGGUGGAGAGGGAAUUAAGUGUUUUUUUAAUAAAGAAUUAAUAAUCAAAUUAAUAACUUAUCAGUAGUGGAAUGGAAAUUUUUUGGAGAGGCUAUUUGGCUCGGAACAUAUAUUAAAAUGGGGAUAUUUGAACCCACCACAAUACUCUCUACAUCCACUUCUCAAUAAAAAAUUUUAUUACAAAAUUUUCCUUAAUUAAAUUACUAUUUUAGCCAAAUAUUACGUUCAUUUAUCUCCCUAUAAUUUUUAUGUUUUACACCCUUUUUCCUCUUUUCCUCUCUUUCUCCCCAAUUUUUUUCCAGUCCUAGGUGGUUCUUAUAUUUUAAAGCUUCUAUUGGGGUAAAAUCUCUAUUAAAAUUGCUUAUCAAAAAAAAAAAAAAGUCUCUUUUAAAAUUUGUCUUUCCUUUACCCUUGAGUUACUUUUAGAUGUAUAUGUUCACGAUGAAAGUUUAGUGAUUCGAUUUCUAUCAAAUAUUUUAAUUUCAAAAAAAUGAGAAGAUCACUAUUCAAAUAUCAAAAGAUCACUGUACAAAUAUCAAAAGAUCACUAACUUAAUUAUACUAGUAACAAUUAAGAUAAACAAAAGACUUACUAUUGCUGUUUGAAGUUAUUAUGAUAAAGAAAGAAAGGAAAAAAAAAUAAACAAGUCGCUGCAAUUGUAGCAAUUGAGGAUAUGUUAAUAGAAGUGUUAUAGAGAUAAGAUUUAAUUGAUAAAAAUAAGAUUUAAUGGAAAGUAGUGAGAGAAACAACUAAUAAAAAUUAAUGAUAUUUAUUAAGGGUAUAUUAGGAAUAUUUGUGGGUUUUGUUUUAGGUCAAUAAAUAAAUUUUAAAUUGUGAUAAUAUAUUUAUUACGUAAAUGGAUUUAUUCAGUACUCUAGAAGGUUUAAAUUGCCUCACCUCUCAUAUUAUAACAAAUUUUUAUAUUACUACAAUAACCCCAAUAGAGAGAACAAUGCAAUGAAAAUAUUGCUACUCUUAUACCCAUUGAAGAUACAAUAUCAUCUUUGUACAUAUAAAAACACUCUAGCGCCCAAGUAAAAUUUGUAGUGUAACGUAUAAGAACUCUAAGAGUAAAGAGAAUUUCGUCCAGGUAUUGUAGUAGUAUUUAAUGCUCUUCACUAGUGUAAACAUUGUGCCACGUGUUGUAUUUCGAUCUUGACAAGUGGCAUUGCAAAUAGUGACUCUUAUUUUGGGUUUUAUCGUUACUCUAGAGAUACAUCAGCUUUGGAGCUAGUAUUAGGUCUUCUUUUAAUUAAACAUGUGGUUUAUUUUAUCCUUUCAUCAGAGCAUUUUCUGCAGAAUAACCUUGUCAAAUUAAUGCUUAUUUAUCAAGGACACGUGUUGCGUUGUCAGAGCAUGGUAAAAAUAUGACAUGUUGACCCACGUGUAUUUAUGAAAAAUCAAAUGAAAAAAAAAAAAUAAAAGAAAUAAAAGUACAAAAGCUAACUAAUAAUGUUGGAGUUUAAGAAGAUUAAUAUUAUAAGAAAGAAGAGUAGGUUCAAUGAGAACUAUCCUAACAUUAAAACACUGUUUUAAAUAAAUUUUGUUUCAAAAACUUUUAUUCAAUAAGUUAUGGAGAUCGUUCAAAAUAUAUUUUAGGUACAAACUCAUUUGUUUGACAUAGUAGUAUGUCUCGUAAUGGGACUAGCAGUAUCAAAUCAACUUAUGUCGAUACGAUCCGUUGAAUUUAAUAUUUAAAAAAAAAUUAUCAUCCCAUUAUAGAAUACAUAGCUUUGACAUUUGGUAGAGAAUGGUUGGUUGGCACACCAUUACUUACAUGAAUAUUUCUAAUGUAUGAAUCCGCUAUUAGGGAAUUUUAAUCCUACCUAAGAUCCUGUAAGUACAAAUAUCAAAUAAAUAGUAAAUAGACAACAUAUAGAGAAUAAAACUAAUCAUACAACACAAUAAUUUAUGUGAAAAACAUACUAGAAAAAAGCUACGGCCGCUAAAGACGAUGGGAGAAAAAUCUACUAUAGAAAAAUUAUUACAAUCACUCUAAUAUUUUUCUCACACGCAAAAUCACAAUAACAACUAAUCUCUCAAUAGACCUACUGCUUCUCUCACAUUAGAAAUUGUCUACUUAUAGAGAACUGAUUGUUGUGUCAUGCAAACAAGUGAAUCCAACCUCCCAUAUAUACUAAUUAUUUUUUAUACGAUAAGUAUUUCUUUUAUUAUGUAAGUCGUAUUUCUCCUUAAAUAAGUUUUUUAGAAUUACUUAUUCAUUAGAAAUGAACCCCCCUGAAUAAGAAAACUAUUAAAUAAAAAAUUCUAGGAAAUAUCCUAAUCUAGGACUUACAAACUCUCAUUGAAAAAAUAGAUAUGUUUGCUAAAAAUCUCCACUUUGGCGAGUUUUUUAAUUAAGUGACAAAACAUGAUCCACCAUGUAUUCGUACAAGCAUGUCGUCUCCACCUUCUUUACUCCACCAAAACCACACUCACAUAGGCCUUAUGAGAAUCACUCCACUAUAGUAAAAUCUUAUCCUUUAUCUAGCAGCUCUAAUUCUCUACAUCGAAAAUCAUUGUACUUCACCUUAUCCAGUACACAUAUUCGGCACAUAUCGAACACCAUUAUUAAAAUACCCACUCUCAUGUUUGGCUUCUUUGAGGGUCCUUAGCAAUCAACAUAAAAAAUCCACCAUAUACUUUGCAUAAUUAUUAAACCAUGGCUUGUAUGCAAAUCUUGUGGACCUGUUAGUAGGAACAUAUCCUCUUCCAUGGCGCACAAAAAAGGAUAAACUAGUCUCUCAUGAAAAAGGAGACAACAUUAUCAUUAUCUCUUUCUAUUAAUUUAGACCUACUUACUGAAUCUGCUAUAUUACAACAAUGUUUUUUUAAUGUGCUUUUAUUGCCUACACUUCUCUAAGGGUUUCUACUAGUGGAAUGAGUUUUACAUUGCUCUUUGCUUUUCUUGUAUAACCAGAUUGAAUCAAUAUACUAUUGACUCGAAUUUGCCACUAGCCAAAAUUGAUUAUUUCGUCACACUUUUUUAUUUCUAUCUUCAUAGGUUUUGAAAACUUCAUCGUUGACAUAUUUGCUCAACAUUGCAGCCUUAACUAUGUUAUCACUUUUUAAGAAAUAGCUAAUCCCACACAAGACUUUGCAAGCAAAAAUAUCAAAUGCAAAGUUAAAAAAAAAUAGUUGGAAAAUAAAACUAAUCAAACAAUACAAGAAUUUACGUGUUCGAGAAAAACUAUGGCUGCCAAGGAUGAUGUGAGAAAAUCAACUAUACAAAAAUUAUUACAAUUGCUCUAGAAUUUUGCUCACACCUAAAACCCCAAAAGCACCUAAUCUCUUAAUAAAACUAUUGUUUCUCUCACACUAGAAAUUGUCUACUUGCAAAAAAUUUAUUGCUAUGUUAUGCAAACAAGUAAACCCAAUCUCUCUAUAUAUAGUGAUUAUUUCUUAUAAGAGAGGUAUUCCUUCCCUUAUAUAAUUUGUAUUCCUCAAACAAGUUAAGUUCUGAAGAAAAAAUUACUUAUUUCUUAAAUAUGCAUCAUCUUGAAUAAGAAGACUAUUAAAUAAGAAAAGUUUAGAAAAUAUCAUAAUUUAAGAUUUACAAAUCUUCUUUGAAAAAGGAGACGUAUUUCCUAAGAUCUUCAUAUCCUUCUACAAUGCCACCAAUCUUUUUUUGUUAAUCAUUGCUAACGGACUAGCCCAACUAAAACUUUUAAAUUGAUGGGUCGUAAUGGCCAAUAUCCAAAUAAAAUAAAUUCUUAUAGGUAUAUUGAUAGAUUGAAUGACAACUGAAAACAUAUGACUUAAUUAACUUACUUCCGAAGAAAAAAAGAAAAAAGAAAGGUAUAGUGGAUGAACAUAAGACUCUUGUGCAAUUCAUGGAAUUCGUCAAUAAUGCACUGGCGGAUCUACCUCAUAAUUAGUGGUCAAACCCUUGCUUAAUAAUGAGAAAAAUAUUUGAAUUAAUAAUUAUUCUUUUUAAGUAUAUUUAAAUUUUAACUUUAAAAAUUAUAAACGUCCACACUUUAAUUAAAACAAUACAAGUCCACCCGUUUGUAUUUAAAAUUUUUGUUUGAAUUUAUUCAAGAGCAAAAAAAAUAGUAUAGAUGGAAAAAAGAAAAAAAAAUACCAUCAAAUAAUAUUCCAUGACUCUGUUUCUUCAGUUUCAAGAGCAAUGGUGGAAUCAUUUUUUCCAAUUGAAAAACUUUUGGAAAAAUUAGGAAGCUUUGCUUAUGAAGAACUUUUAUUGUUCUGCGGUGUCAAAAAUGACUUAGAAAAGCUAAAAGAGACAUUAACCACUGUCAAAAGUGUGGUUUUGGAUGCCGAGGAAAAGCAAGUCCAUAGUCACCAGUUAAGAGAUUGGCUGGAAAAGCUUAAGGACGCUUGUUAUGAUGCAGAAGAUGCGUUAGAUGAAUUCGAGGUCGAAGAUCUACGAAGGCAAGUCAUGAAGCAAAGAAGCAUCGGAAGAAAGUUGCGUAACUUUUUUGGAAGCUCAAAUCCAAUAGCUUUUCGUUUUAGAAUAGGUCAUCAAAUAAAGAAAAUCAGAGAGAGGUUUGAUGAGAUUGCAAACAUGAUGGGUAAGUUUAAUCUCACUCUAAGACUUGACGAUCAUAGGCGAGUAGUGCACGAAGAAAGGGAACCUACUCACUCAUUUGUGCGUCCAUCAGAUAUUAUUGGAAGAGAUGAAGACAGAGAAAAGAUUAUUGAACUACUGAUGCAAACAAGCGAUGGCAAAAGUGAAACGGUGUCUGUUAUUCCUAUUGUGGGAAUUGGAGGUCUGGGCAAAACUGCACUAGCAAAAUUGGUGUACAAUGAUCAAAGGGUAGAAGAGCAUUUUGAGUUGAAAAUCUGGAUAUGUGUUUCUGAGGAUUUUGGUAAGAGGCAAAUUAUGACAAAGAUUAUCAAUUCUGUUACUGGUGGAAACCACGGUAACUUGGAUCCAGACAGAUUGCAAAAAGUGUUGCGAGAUUCUUUGAAUGGUAAGAGAAACUUGCUUGUUAUGGAUGUUGUAUGGAACGAAGAUCCUAGAGCAUGGGGUGAAUUGAAAAGCUUAUUGUUGGGAGGUGCUGAAGGAAGCAAAAUUCUGGUAACCACACGUAGCAACAAGGUUGCUUUAAUAAUGGCCACGAUGAGGGGUACUACUGGUUACAACUUACAAGAGCUGCCAUACAAGGACUGCUUGUCUUUGUUUAUGAAAUGUGCAUUUAAAGAAGGGCAAGAAAAACAUCCAAACCUCGUAAAAAUCGGGGAAAAAAUUGUGGAAAAAUGUAGAGGAAUUCCUUUGGCAGUGAGAAGAGUAGGAAGUCUAUUAUAUGGCUCAACAGAUGAACAUGAUUGGGAGUAUGUGAGGGAUAAUGAUAUAUGGAAGUUACGGCAAGCGCCUGAUGACAUUUUACCUGCUCUGAGGUUGAGCUACGAUCAAUUACCGCCUCACCUGAAACAAUGCUUUGCUUACUGUUCUAUCUUUCUCAAGGAUUAUGAAUUUGCAAGUGUUCAUUUGGUUCAACUUUGGAUGGCUCUGUUGUGCGCGGAAUGCGGAAUCAAGCGCACCAAAAAUUACUGAAAAAUAAAGGACACAAGAAUUUACGUGGUUCGGUAAUUAAACCUACAUCCACGGAGGCAAGAAAGAAUAAUUGUUUAUUUAACAAUUAAUAGAAUACAAUAUUUGAGUAACGAAUCUCACUUCCCAGAAACCCAAAUAUACCCAGUACUCUCACACUCUGCAGAAAAGAUAAAUUCCCCAGACACACUUCUCUUACUUCUCUCAAAAGCUUAGAAACUUAUAAGCUUAACAAUUUUGGGAUGAUUUCAAAUGAAUGAAAUCCUAAGCUAUUUAUAGGAAAAAUGUUGGCACUAUGCAAAGAAUAAAAUAAUUGAAAAUAUAAUAAAUAAUUAUUAUUAUUUUCAAUACAUCCCCUUUUUCCAUUCUUUCUUUUCGGCUAACAAAAACCAAAUUGGAUUUUGCUUCUCCAAAGCCUUCAUGCUAACAGUUGCAAAGUUGGCAUUUGCUUAUGACUUUUCAACAAUUCUCCACCUCGGCGAAAAUUUAUCCAAAUCUGAGCCGAUUGACAAUGAUCCGCCAAACUUCAUCCCUCACAUGAUCCUCAAAAGGAUCCACAUUGGCUGCAUCUAUCCGACUGCCUACGUACCCAAAAUUUGGGAUCAAGCCAACCGUAGUUCAUAAUUCCCGAAGGAUAUAUCUUAACACAAUCGAAGGAUUUGAAUUAAUUUCAAGCAAUGUUGAAAAUUAACUCCAGAAACUACCUUCGUCAACAUAUCUGAUGGAUUAUCUUUGGUAUCGAUCUUUCUCAACAACACAACACCGCUCUCGAUAAUCUCUCUCACAUAAUGAUAUUUCACAUCUAUAUGCUUCGUCCGAGCGUGAUAUGUUUGAUUCUUCGCAAGGAAUAUCGCACUUUGAUUAUCACAGAAGACCGCAAUGUUCUCCUGGAUUACUCCCAAAUCACCUAACAAGCCUUUCAACCAGAUAGCUUCUUUUACAGCUUCAGUUGCUGCCAUAUACUCUGCUUCCGUAGUGGACAGAGCAAUUGUCGAUUGUAGAAUCGACCUCCAGCUAACCGGACCUCCACCCAAUGUGAAUACGUAGCCCGUUGUUGAUCUUCGCUUGUCAAGGUCUCCAGCGAAAUCAGAAUCAUAAUACCCAACACAUUGUUGACCACAAUCCUUCUUGAACAAUAACCCAACAUCAACUGUCUCAUACAGAUAUCGGAGAAUCCACUUUACCGCAAGCCAUUGAUUUUUGCCCGGAUUGUGCAUGUAUCUACUAACCAUGCUCACUGCUUGAGAUAUAUCGGGCCUUGUGCAUACCAUAGCAUACAUAAGACUACCCACAGCACUAGCAUAGGAAACACGAGCCAUGUAAUCGCGCUCCUCUUGAGAUCUAGGACAUGAAGAAUAGCUUAAUUUGAAAUGAGGAGUUAGAGGUGUACAUACCGGUUUAGUUUUGUCAUCCAUACCGAAUCUUUCUAGCACUUUCUUCAAAUAAGACUUUUGAGUCAACCAUACGCUCCCAUUCUUCUUGUCUCUAUGAAUCUCCAUCCCAAGUAUUCUUUGUGCAUCACCUAAGUCUUUCAUCUCGAACUCAGAAGUCAGCUGCUUCUUUAAUCUUUCGAUCUCAUCUUUAUUCUUCGAAGCUAUAAGCAUAUCGUCGACAUAGAGUAACAAAUAGAUGAAAGCUCAAUCUGGUAGUCUUCUAAAAUAAACACAAUGAUCGUGUUCACUUCUGGUGAAUUUCUGCCCUUGUAUAAAUUGAUCAAAUCUUUUGUACCACUGCCUUGGCGAUUGCUUCAGUCCGUACAAAGAUUUAAUCAACUUACACACAUGAUUCUCCUUUUCAGCAACUCUGAAACCACAAGGCUGAAUCAUAUAGAUUUCCUCCUCCAAAUCUCCAUGUAAGAACGCCGUCUUAACAUCCAACUGAGCCAACUCUAACUCAUAUUCUGCAACUAAGGCAAGUAGGAUACGAAUGGAAGUAUGUUUUACAACUGGAGAGAAAACUUCAUUGUAGUCAAUACCUUCCUUUUGAGCAAAACCUUUUGCCACGAGCCUUGCCUUGUAUCGAGGAGUUGUUUGAUUCGGAGAUCCUUGCUUUUUGGUGUAGACCCAUUUAUUGCCAAUAGCCCUUUUCCCCUUUGGUAACUUUACAAGUUCCCAAGUCUGGUUUUGAUGGAGAGAUUUCAUCUCUUCCUCCAUGGCUAGCUUCCACUGAUCACUUUCAUUGCUGCGUAAUACUUCACCGAAAGUAUUGGGGAUGUCAUCAUCAAUAACUGGAAGUGCAUAGGCUACCACCAUAUCUUUAGUAAGCCAUCCGGGUUUCUUUAUCUCUCUUCUUGGCCUCCUUGUUGCUAUAAAAUCAUCAUCAUCUACAUCAUCAAUUGUUUCUUCAUUUUGUGGGACAUCAGAAGAAACAACCUAUUCUUCAAUUUUAGGUGUCACCUCCAUAGUUGAACCAUUCUUUGAUGUAGAACUAACUGGUACAUAUGGAGUUGCAUCAAACUCCACCCGCUGCAAUACCUCUGUGGUCUUGUUCUCCACCUACUGAGAACUUGAAGCUUUUAUAAUUGAAGCUUCAUCAAAUGUGACAUCUCUGCUACACACAAACUUUUUAUCUUCGAGAUCCCAAAGCUUGAAGCCCUUUACUCCACCUUUAAAUCCCACAAAGAUAGAUUUUCUAGCACGAGGAUCCAGUUUACCAUCUUUGACAUGAUAAUAAGCUGGACACCCGAAUACACAAAGGGAAUCAUAGUCUUGUGCAUGCUUUCCAGACCACAUUUCCAUAGGAGUUUUACCUCCAAUUGCAGCAGAAGGCAACCGAUUUACCAAGUGACUUGCGUAGCUCACAGUUUCAGCCCAAAACUUUUUAUCUAAACCAGCAUUAGAUAACAUACAUCGUACCUUCUCCAGUAAAGUACGAUUCAUAUGCUCAGCCACACCGUUCUGUUGCGGAGUAUGUCUCACCGUGAAAUGUCUUUUAAUACCCUCGUUCUGGCAUACUUGCAAGAAUGGAUCAGAAGUAUAUUCACCCCCAUUAUCAGAUCGUAAUACUUUGAUCUUUCUGCCAGUUUGAGUCUCCACCAAUUUCUUCCACUUCACGAAAAUCUCUAGAACCUCAUCCUUUGCUCGCAUGGUGUACACCCAUACACGUAUAGAGAAAUCAUCAACAAAUAUAACAAAAUAAUGGCUUCCACCAAUUGAUGCAGUCUUGGUUGGUCCCCAUACAUCACUAUGAACAUAUUCAAGGAUCUCACGAGUAUCGUGAUUAGCUGUACCAAACUUGACCCUUGUUUUCUUGCCUACUACACAAUGCUCACAGAAAUUUAAUUUACAGGUUUUGGUACCUUUUAAGAGUCCAUGCCUCAUCAGAGUUUGCAAAGACUUCUCUCCUGCAUGUCCCAGUCGUACAUGCUAUAGCUUGGUGGUGUCACUGUGCGCCUCAACAACAUUUGCUUCAUCAGUUGUACCUACCUUCAAAUAGUACAGAUUGUGAUGCCGAACCCCUUGCAGAAUCACCAUAGCCCCAUGUGUAAACUUUAUUGUGCCAUCUUCAAUUGUAACUUUGUAACCUUUAGCUUCCAAAGCACCCACAGAAAUUAGAUUUUUCUUUAUCUCUGGAACAAAUCUAACCUCUUUGAGUUCUCUGACCAUUCCAUCAAACAUUUUGAGCCGAAUUGUUCCUAUCCCUAUUGUGCGACAAGGUUGAUUAUUCCCCAUCAUAACUGCACCGGAUUCCAGAUUACGAAAAUCCGUAAACCAUUCCUUAAUAGGACACAAAUGAUAGGUUGCUCCAGUAUCAAGUAUCCACUCACUCGAACUAGCCACAUAUGCUGCAGGAGUAAUACUUAGUGAAUAAUCAGAGUUCUCAUCUUUCCGUGCCAUGUUUGCUGCUGCUGGUUUCUUCCCAUCUCUCUUUUGAGCCUUUGGACAAUCUUUUCUCCAAUGACCCUUUUCAUGACAAAAGGCACACUCAUCUCGAGCUAUAUUUCUGCUUCUCGAUUUGGAUCGAGAAUUCUUUCCACCACGCUUCUUCUGUUUCUCCAUCGCCCAAUCUCUGCUCACCAAAGCUUCAGACGAUGCUCGUUCAGAAUUUUUAUCAUUAUUCCGAAUCUCCAAACUAGUCAAUGCUGUGCAAACAUCUUUAAAGACGAUCACACUCUUCCCAUAUAUCAAAGUAGUCACAAAAUGGCUAUAUUCCUCUGGUAGUGAGUGUAACAGAAUCAUAGCCUUGACUUCAUCUUUAAUAUCUUCAUCAAGAUUCUUCAAAUCAGCAAGUAACUUUUCAAAUCUUGAAACAUGAUCGUGCAUUGACACCCCAGACUUCAUUCGAAAGCCAUAUACUUGGCUCAUUGCAUGAAGACGAUUUUCAGGACUUUUCACCAGGUACUUCUCUUCCAAUGUACGCCACAAAGUCACUGCACACUCCUCAUCUUUCACCAAGUAUUUCACCUCCUUGGUCAAACAAGAUCUGAUCUGACCACAGGCUUUCUCGUUCAUACGAUCCCAAAUUUCUUCAUCAUACAAGUGUCUUUUAUUUUUCAGGACAACAUCGAGAUCGAUUUGAAUAAGGGCAUCCAUAACUUCGCGCCUCCACAUGCCGAAGUUGAUUUUCCCAUCAAACUUUUCAACAUCGAUCUUCUGGCCUCCUAUAACAGGUGCUGAAUAGCGAUUUGACAAAUCUCGCCUCCCACCUGAAGUGUCUCCUGAAAUAGUCUCGGUAGAUCUCUCCCCAAUUCUGGAAGUUUCACCUUCUACCAUUUUUUCAACGAACUAUUUCCACUUGAAAAACAGCCUCUAUGAUGUUAAUUUUGCGUGAAUAAAUGCACCAGGAAAGUUCCCAGGAAACUGGACGGGAACUCGGUCCCAAUUAAAAACCAGAAUCCUUAGACUCUUAUCGCUUUGUUGACAGAACUUUCCUAGACAUGCAAAAAUACACACUACUUACAAUAGACUGUCUCCUAAGUACAAAUGGCCGUCUCUACCGUAUUCGUGAACAGUACCGUAUGUGAAUAGUACCGUAUACGGAAAUAGUACCGUAUACGGGAAUAGUACCGUAUACGGGAAUAGUACCGUAUACGGGAAUAGUACCGUAUACGGGAAUAGUACCGUAUACGUGAACAGUACCGUAUCCCCCCAAGUACGAACCGUCGGCUCUGAUACCACUUGUUGUGCGCGGAAUGCGGAAUCAAGCGCACCAAAAAUUACUGAAAAAUAAAGGACACAAGAAUUUACGUGGUUCGGUAAUUAAACCUACAUCCACGAAGGCAAGAAAGAAUAAUUGUUUAUUUAACAAUUAAUAGAAUACAAUAUUUGAGUAACAAAUCUCACUUCCUAGAAACCCAAAUAUACCCAGUACUCUCACACUCUGCAGGAAAGAUAAAUUCCCCAGACACACUUCUCUCACUUCUCUCAAAAGCUUAGAAACUUAUAAGCUUAGCAAUUUUGGGAUGAUUUCAAAUGAAUGAAAUCCUAAGCUAUUUAUAGGAAAAAUGUUGGCACUAUGCAAAGAAUAAAAUAAUUAAAAAUAUAAUAAAUAAUUAUUAUUAUUUUCAAUACAUCCCAUUUUUCCAUUCUUUCUUUUCGGCUAACAAAAACCAAAUUGGAUUUUGCUUCUCCAAAGCCUUCAUGCUAACAGUUGCAAAGUUGGCAUUUGCUUCUGACUUUUCAACAGGCUCAUGGUCUUCUCUAAUCCCCUAAUAAGAAUGAAGAACUAGAAAAUAUUGGUAUGCGGUAUUUCAAGGAAUUAUGUUCAAGAUCUUUCUUCCAAGAUUUGGGUGAUCUGUUACCAGGACUGGAGGUUUUCAAUUUUCAAAUACACGACCUUAUGCAUGAUCUUGCACUGCUAGUGGCUAAAGGCGAAUGCCUAACGGUGAACUCUACUGGUCAGUCUAUUCCCAAAAGUGUCCGCCAUUUGUCAUUUGUCGGUGUUAAUGCAUUAAGAAAUGAUUUUGCAAGCUUUUUACCUGACUUAGGUCGUGUGAGAACCAUCUUGUUUCCAAUUGAUGAUGAGAGGACAAGCCAGUCAUUUGUUACAUCGUGCAUCUCAAAGUCGAAGUCCCUGAGAGUGCUAGUUUUAACGAACUCUGCUAUUGAGGUUUUGCCAAGAAAGAUGGGUAAUUUGCGAUCUGCAGAGUUUACAAACACUGAAUCUUGGAGAUUGUCUGGAGCUAGAAGAGUUGCCUAAAGACAUAAGGUACCUUGUUAGUCUCAGAAUGUUUGUGGUAACCACAAAACAGAAGUCUUUGCUUGAGAGUGGAAUAGGGUGCUUGAGUUCUCUUCGCUUUUUGAUGAUUUCUAAUUGCGGGAAUUUAGAAUAUUUGUUUGAGGAUAUAGAUCAACUAAGUGUCCUUCGAUCAUUAGUAGUUAAUGCUUGUCCCCGUCUCAACUUAUUGCCACCUGCUAUGAAAUACCUCAGCUCAUUAGAGAGACUAAUAUUUGAUGAGUGUGAAAGCCUUAGUCUUAGUCUAAACAUGGAAAUGAAAGAGGAAGGAAGCCAUCAUGAUCGCAAAAAUGUUGGGUCUCACCUUCGGACGCUUUACGUUGCGAGACUAACACCGUUAUUAGAAUUGCCACAAUGGCUUCUUCAAGGUUCUAGUAAAACUUUACAGACCUUGGCUAUUGGAGAUUGUCCCAACUUCAUGGCACUACCAGGGUCUCUGAAAGAUCUCGAAGCUCUAGAAAAUCUUGUCAUUGGUAUUUGUCCAAAAUUGUCAUCGUUGCCGGAGGGUAUGCAUCACCUCACUACUUUGAAAACAUUGGCCAUUGAAGAAUGCCCUGCACUGUGUGAAAGAUGCAAACCGCUAACAGGUGAAGACUGGCCUAAGAUUGCACAUAUCCCUCAGAUUGUGUUUGAUGGCGAGAUGAUUAAAUCAAGUGAUAAUUAGGUAUGGAUUAAUCUCUCUUUUUCCUCUUUCAUUCAACUUUUUAAUUUUUUAUUUCUCAUACAACUACACUAUUUAUAGUUUAAUGCUUUGUUAUGUUUACCAAACAAAAACAUGUUGAAGGUUUAGUUAGUUAGUUCAUAUUUGUAUUGAUUUCUUUUCUUCUAAUAGUUGAUUAGUUUGUUAAUAUAGACUUAAAAAUAAUAUUUUGGAAACCGACCCGUUCUUGGGCUAUUUCUGUUUCUAACCAGCUAUCUUCGAAUGGAACCUUAUUCUCGUAUAAGUAGAUCUAGCUUCUGAAAUUUCACCCUUUGUUAAUACUUUAACUUGUGCCGAAACACCUAACAAUUUAUCCUUUGUUUUGUUUUGUUUUCUUUUCUUUUCCCCCAAAUAUUGCAGCUUUCUUUGGAGAGGUUCAGCCAAACUGCAGAGACCGUCAGCACAGAGGUUCAACGGUUUUUUAAUACUGCAUUUUAAAAUUACAUGUAUUAUAUAUUCAUUACUUGUGAUUAUGUAAUUUGCUGAUGAUAAGUACACUGAGUGAUGUAUAUAUGUGUGGCUGUGUGAUCAUUAUUGAUAAUCUUAAUCAUAUGUUUCAAUACCAAUAAUGUUUCAGAAUUUCUCAAAUUCUCGUUAUAUACUCUCAAAUUCAUGUUUAUACUUAAUUUGUUCUUUCUCCUUCCUCGGUAAUAUAAUUUGCAUAGACUGCAUUUCUUUUUUUUUUCACUCUACACUAUUUGCUGAUUUUUUUUUUUAAAGAUCAUUGAUGACUUACAUUUGCGGAGGAAGAAAUGAAAACAAAUCGGCUUCUUGAAAUUAACCAUUUUUUUUUUUCGAAUGGUAUUUCUAGCAAAAAAACUGCUUUUAAUUCUUAUUCAUAUUGUUGUCAUCAUGACAAGCAUCAACAUUCUUUUUCUUUUUUAAUCUAUGCAUAUUUUUCAAAAUUAAGAUUCUUUUUUUUAAAAAAAAUUUAUACAUAUUUUUCAAAAUGGAGUCGCACCAUUUAUAUAUCCAUUUUCAAACUCAAAAGCAAUAUUUAUGUGUAAUAAAUUAUGAGACAGGUGAUGGGCUUAUUUGUAACCGGUGCCUUGAAUGCAAUUUUAACAAUGGAACAUCGAAGGGAAAUGAUUCGUUAUCUAUAUAACCACCAGGUAUAUUUUUUAUUUAUAAAAGCUACAUAACUAAACAAUUCUAUUAACUGUGUAGAUUAAUUUCUCAACAAAUAUCUUACAAACUGAAGGUGUUUUUAUUGAAAUUAAGCCGUAACUUUUGCGGGAGUAAUGUGAAACCAAUAAUCUACAGAAUAUAGAUGGAGGAUGGGGAUUGCAUAUAGAAGGGUGCAGCACGAUGUUCUGUACUGCGCUAUUAUGUCACUUUGAGACUGCUUGGAGAGACAAUAUAAAAUGAGUAAUUCGAAAGAAAAUUUUAUUAUAGUAGAACCUACAACUUCCAUGUAUUUUAGGAUGAAAAUCCUGUACAAUAAAAAGUUUUUAAGUGUAAUAGAAAUUACAAUUAUCGGGUUUAAUUUGGGACAAUUUUGAUCAUUAAUCUUUGCCAUGUUUCGCAUGACUUUGUUCUGUCUCACAUAGCAGCUUCUUGGUAGCUCGUACUCAUCAAUGUGUCCUGAUCGUGGUAUGGGAGGCAGCAGUUACAUGGGUAAUGAUGGUUCCGGAUCAUGCUAGUGAUGUGGUAAAAAUUGAAUUGUAAGUGAAAUUUUCUUUUGUGUAAAAUUACAAUGAUCUAAUUUUCUUGGUGUAUCAUAAACUGAGAUAUAAUGGUUCACCGAAGACUGUGGCAUCUCUCAAGUUUGCUAAGACGUAUGGCUCACAACGAAGGAAUCUACGGUAACAAGUGAAUAUUCUAUGGAACAGACUUGAGAUGAUGACAAAGAGGGUGCUGUAAGUGUAGGGUGUGGACUAUAUGAAGCUUCUCACAUUAGGAUGCUUGCCGUUUUGGAGAGGAUCAAGUUGCUGAGCCUAACAGCCUCCAUAUGUCACGGGAAGGGCUGCACUGGUUUAGGCCAUUCUUGGUUCUACAGACUGAUUACUUUGUCAAGUCUUAAUGCUGCAAGGAAACUCCCCUCAGUGUGUGAUAUGUACGAAUUGCUUCUUUACUUUUCUGUAUAAGAACUCCACUUGAUGGACAGUGUGGAGGCAUCUGCAUAAAUCUGUUUAUUGGAACCGACCCUGUCUUGAUCCGAAUUUUAAAACCUAAUCGAAUUUUAAUAUCGAACCCAACCGGAUAUCUCGAUUCGAUUCGGUUUGAUUUUAAACUCAGUUCUAAUUUUUAGGAACCGCCAGCUUGGGUACGGAACCGAACCAAACUAAACCGUACACUGUGCCUCAGUAAAGAGUUUGAUUUCUCUAUUUUAACCUUAAUUAAAUAUUGAUUUCCAAUUUUACCCUUUAACAAAACUAAAUUAAAUAACAAUAAUUUUCACUUCCUAUUUCGAUUUCAUUUUACGGCUCAACAAAAUCUCUCAAAACCGUUGUUCUGAACUUCCGGCUGCUUUCAGUACAGGCGAAGGCUGAAGAUUCAAGCAAUAGAGCUGCUCAUGAUGAGGGUAAGGAGAAGAAGACUUAGCGAGUUCGCAAGAACGUAUAUAGAGGAAUAAGGGAGAGGCCGUGGGGAAAAUGGGCAGUUGAAAUUAGAGACCCUUUCAAGGGCGUCCGCGUUUGGCUCGGCACACUUUCAACACAGCCGAAGCCACCAAGCGUAUCCGCGGCAACAAGGCCUAGCUCAACUUUGCUCUGCCGCCGCCGGCGCCAAUAACUCCACCUCUAGCUAAGAAACGCUGCACGCUAACCCCUGCUAUCCCCUGAGUUACUCAGCCGAGUUUUGAAGAUUACCUUUUUUUUUCUUUUGGGUUUUCAUUGGUUUAUCAUUUGAGUCUACAAACAAAUGGUAUUCUUUUUCCCUAAAUUGUGAACACUUGGGCUUUUAUUGUUGAAAUGCUUUAUUAUUUUUCGAUGACCAAGUAAUGUGAAUCAAUGUUCUCUUUAAAUAAUUUUUCCCCUGUCCUUGCGUGUUCUACCGGUCUUUAUUUUUUAUUUGAAUUUGAAGAAACUUUCUAAGUGCAUACACCCAUAUGAAGUCGAAGAUCUUCCAGACAAGGUGGCAUCCAUCAAGAUCAAGAAAUUUUACUGCUUAGCAUGUGUUAUAUUUAUGGAUUGGCUAUUGAAGAAAUAAUGUUUGUACUGAUGCAGAUGCAGGAACUUUACACAUCUUAAGUUUACGAGAUAUUUUUUUCUUUUUUGACUCUGUUAGAUAGCUGUCAGUUAGUUAACCAAUUUAUGUUACUCUUCCUUGGCUAGCCAAUUAAGAACUUAUGUCUGCUGGAUUAUAAAGCCUACAUCUGGAAGCCACAGGUGAUUUGAUUUGAAGGCAAUUUGUUCUAGGCUAUAUGUGGAUUUCUAUCAUGAUUUCUGUAAGCUUGAAGGAGAUUUUUUUAUGCGUGAGAGCUUGAAAAUUAUACAUGUACAUGUUGAAACUAUUGGAUAUAUGUUAAGAAUCAAGCAUAAUUGUGUCAAGAUGAAACCAUAAUUUGGGUGCUGUUUUAUGAGUAAACUAUCUGCAAUUUGGGUGCAGUAAACCUAGGUUGAAUACCAGGACAUGGUAUAAAAGUGAAAUCACACAUUGAAUCUCGCAUAAAGAUUUUAAAGAUGCAAAUUCGAAUUGUACAUGAGAUGUUAUCUUGAUCGAAUUGCAGCGGCUUGGUUUUGGAUCCAGAAAACAAAAUUGUAAGCGCAGAGAAGUCUCUAUGGGAUGCUUAUAUUAAGGUGCAUAAUGGCCUCAUUGAGUUUUGUGCUGUUGUUCUACGUUGUUUGAGUUUUGUGCUGCUGUUCUUUGUUGCUGCUUUUGCUACCGAUUUUCGCUAUUUUCUGCCACUCUGUUAUUUGCUAUUUUUUACUACUUUGGCUGCUGAUUUUUACUGUUUUCGUUGCUUUAGCUGUUGUUUUAUCUGCUGUUUUUUUUUACUGCUUUUAUUGUUGAUUUUUGCUGUUCUCUAUCGUGUUUUACCCACUGGUUGUCGCAUGUUUAUUAAUAUUGUUUGCUGCUGUUUAAUUUGCUGUUUUUUGCUGCUAAUUUCUUUUUUUUCUGUUUUCUGCGGUUAUUUGCUGCCGUUGCUGUUUUACUCGCCAGUUGAUGAUGUUUUGUGGUUCUCCUCCUCCUCGAGUGCCUACUUUUUCCAGUGUGCAAGCAUAUCUGUUGAGAGUGGCUGAUGAAAUCACUAAACUAUUACAGUUGAUCUCAUGCUUCUCUAGAGAAGGAAUUAGACUUAUUUUGGUGAAGGGGGUUUUUCUGGUUUUUAUAUCAGUGUGUGCAUUUCUUCAAUCACGUAGCUUUGUGGCAUUACGAUCGAUAAUGGCAACUCCACAAUGAUGAUAAUGAUAAUUUUGUGAUUCAGACACGUUGUUAGGAAUUCUGUAUUGGUUUUUCUCUCGCCUUCGGUGUCUACGAUGAAGCAUAUAAUGGCUUUUAAGAUUAAAAGUGAGUACGAUUAAGCAUUGUCGUGCAACGUUUUACGGUUAUUUUAAGCCUGCAGUUGGUUUACGAAUUAAUUAAAUGACAAUAUUCAUUCUAUCAUAAAACAAGUUUUCAACAAGUGAAGAGGAGGUACUCUUUAUAAUUGGAUAAUUAAUGCAACCUUCAAUAUUUUCAACCAAAAAAAAAAAAGAUAUUUGAUAUGUAUUCAACAUUCGGGAAAAACCACCCAUAUCGAAGGUUUGCUUAAAUGAUCAAAUAAAUCCACUUAGUUUCGUAAAUGGUUAUACAUAUCUUCUUUUUGACUAUUUAUUGGGUUAUGUUUGAGAGUUAGGACUAAAGUGGCGUUUGUUUUUUAACUUAAUAACUUAAAGUGACUUAACUUAAUUAAUUAAGUUAAUUAGAGAUGUUUGUUUUUAUAACUUAAUGAGAUUUUUUAGAUAAUUUUGACUUAAUAAAAUAAGCCAAUUUUUUUAGCUUUUUACUUAAUGGAGAAAUUUGAAUUAAGUCAAUUACUUACUAAUGUCAAAAAUAUCCAUAUUUUAUAAUUUAUUUUUCAAACUCACCCAUAGACAUUUACCCCACAUAAAAAUAUCCAUAUUUUUUCUUUCUUAUAUUAUAUACGAUAAAAUUUGAAAUUUAUGAUAUUUUAUAUAUUAAAAUUCUAAAAUAAUUAUGUAUUCACUUGAAUAUAGUUUUACUUAUAAAUGUUAAAAUAUUUUGGUAUUUAAUAUAUUAUUUAUUUGACAUUCAAAUUUAAUAAGGAUACAAAUGUAAAAAUACAUAUUUUCAGUUUUUUCAGUUGAAAAAAACAAACAACUUAAUACUUAUUUUUCGAGAUUCAGACAAAAAAACAAACAUAUUAUUCAGAUUCAGACAUUCAGAUUUAUUCAGAAUUAUUCAGAAUUCAGACUAAUUCAGGUCUAUUCAGAUUUCAGACAAAAAAACAAACGCCACCUAAGUGUGGGAUUAUACUAACUUUGAGAUUAAAUAUUAUUCCAUAUUUAGCAAUUUUCCUUGGAUUGGAUUAUGAGAGACUAAAUUCUAAGUUAGUUGUUAAAUAAAGGGGAUUGGCAAUACCAAUUUAUAAAUAGAUUUAAAUAGGAUUAGAAUAAGAGGAAAAAAUGUUCAUUUGUAAUAUUUCUUUCAUAUAUAACACCAUCUUUUAUUUAUUACUUAAAAUUUAAUUAAUGAAUUAAUUAUUUUAUUCAUGAUUUACUUGAAAUAUAUUUUUUAUUUUGUUUUUAUAUUCUAAUUAAAUUGGUACUUUAAUUUAAUAAUUUGUUACAUUAAUUGAUUGUACUAAAUUUAAUAAUCACCUAUGUAAUAUUAAAAUAUAAUUAUGAAAAUUAAUAAUACUAGUAAUUAAUUGAUUUUAUAUAUUAUUUGCUAAUUUUUUGAUAAAAUAAAAUAUAUAUCUAAAAUAUCUAAAUAAUCAAUAACUUUUAUUAAUUUAUAUUUUUUAUUACAAUUAUGACUACCCAUAAGUAAUUUACUGUAUAUUUAAUGUUCUUAUUAAUUAUAUUUAAAUUAAUCUUAAUUAUUAUUCUUAAAUAUUCAUAAAUAGUUUUUUAUUUAAAUAUAAUUUAACAUUGUCUAAUCCAAUGUUGUACCAAACAUAAGACAGUAGUGUAUAAUCCAACAUAAUAUUUAGUCCAAUUUAAUCUUGCAUGCCAAAUGUAAUCUUAUACACUUUGAUUACAACAAGCCAAUAAUUGACUUAAAUAAACUUCUAUAACAAUUAUAAGUUAAAAUUAAAAUAAUAUGAUAUAUAAAAUAAGAUAAAAUUUAUAAAUUAUUUUGAUUAUUAGAAAAAUGAUUUUAACAUUAUUAAUUUGUCAUAUUCUUUUACUACUAAUAAAAUCUGUUUGACAAAUUAAUAAUAUUAAAAUAAUUAUACCUAACAUUCACAAUAAUUUAUAAAAUUUAUAUAUUUUGUUUACAAUUUUUUUAAUUAUGUCUAUAUUAAUAUAAAUCUUAAAGUCAAUUUUUGGAUUAAUAGAUUUUAGUAUAUAUAAUAAUAACUUAAUAUUAAAAAUAAUUUUCAUUACAUACGUUAUUCUAUUAAUUAUCUUAUUGUAAUAUUUUAUUUGUAUCAUAUGAUAUUUAUUAAUUAUUUUUUUAUCUUAUUACUAUAUUUAUAUUUAUUUGUGUUGUUGUAAUCAAAGGGUAUAGUAACUAAAAAUGUGUUUAUGUGACUAUUUAACCUAAAGGGUCUUUGUGACUAUUUAAGUAAACCUUGGGAAUGUGUGACAAUAGUCAUUCUAAUGACUUUCAAGAUUGAAAGUGAGUCGGAUUAUCAAAUUAUGAAGCAUUGAUACGUAACGUUUUAUGGUUAUUUUAAGGUUGAAGUUGGUUUAUUCAUUAAACAAGCUUUUAACAAGAGGAGAAGGUUCCCUUUAUAAUUUAAUAAUUAAUACAACCUUCAAUAACAAAAAAGUCAUAUAAUAAGGAUGAUGAUUCUUGCUCACUUGGACAAGAUAUAUAUAUAUAUAUAUAUAUAUAACCUAUGAUGUGGUAAGCAAGGAAUCAAUUAUGUAUUUCUUGUAUCUGAAAAAAUGAAUAAUCCUUUAACGAAGGUUAUCAUCAAUUGCAGGUUUCUAGUUUGGCUGCUUAGUUUUAGGACUACGAAUAUUACAAUAUCAUAAUUAAAGGAAAGAAUAUAGGCGGUAGUCUUUGCCUGAUCUACUUUCUUCUUUUUAAUUAACCACUUGAAAGGAAAGAAUAUUGUAUACGCAGCACACUAUAAUACUCUAAUUACCAAUUCUUUAUCUUAUAAUAUAAGUUCAUAGUGAUUAAUUUGUCCUUCUUCAGCCAAAAACAAAUCUCAUUUCAGCACAUCUACAAGAGCCCUUAUUUCUCUUUGCUCCAGCCAAUUGACAGCAGAAUCAUCACAGACACCUUGAGCUCCGUCAAUAAUCAUAGACAAUUGGUGACUAGUGGGAGCAUUACAAGGAAGGUACGACGAGUACAAACUGAUAGAUUUGUUUAUAUGAUUCGGCUGUAGUUUUUAUAUAUGGUUAAAUUAUGACAAUAAUCAAGAGAUAAUCAUGUACCUCAUUAGUUUCAUAAAUGUACAUACUAAUUUAUUCCCCUGCUUGCCAGAAUCACACAUGUAGAAUAAGAUAAAUUUUAAGAUUUCAACUUUUCAAUUCAUUAAAAAUCUAGUGGGAUAUUAAUCGGUAAAACCACUUAGGGGUAGUACAAGAGGUUUGUGGUGCUAACCAAUUUAUGUGAGUGGAGAAAAAAUUAGGCUUUUUUAAUAAAAAUUAAUAAUCAUAUUAAUAAAAAGACAUAAAUUUCAAGAUUUAAAACUUUAGACUUCAUUAGAAGUAAGAGGGGGAUCGUAAAAACUUUGAAUGAAACUUAUCGGUAGUGGAAUGGAUUUUUUUUUUUUUUUGGUUGAAGCUAUUUACAGUUUUACACACCUUGAACACAUGUUAGGGUGAGGGUAUUUUAGUAUUUUACCCACUUCUCAAUAAAAUAUUUUGAGGUGAUGCUACCACUAAACUACUCAUUAAAGGCAUUUACUUAACAAACAGACUUGUAAAAUUUAAAAUACACAAUUUUAUUUUACAAACCCAUUAAUACCUAAAAUACCCUUAUUAAGUUAAAUUAUCACAAUUUCUCUGAUCAUUUUCUUUUCCCAUCAUUUCUCCGUUUCUUCACUCUUUUCUUCUUCAUUUUUGGAGCUUUACCCAUAGCUUUUUUAUUCCAAAUUCUCAAACUUUUUAUUUUAUUUUUUAAUAGCUAUUUUUCCCCUUGAUAUUUCAUGCGUUUGGAACAACACCCUUAAAAAAUUUUAAUAAACAAACAAUAAAUUUAAAUAAACAGCUGAUAUUAAAAUUGCAUAUAAAUUUAGAAUAAAUAAAAAAUUUCAACUAAUUGCAGCAGUUCUUGCAUGGUUUUUUUUUUUUUUUCAUUUUAUUAUAUAGAAGAAAGCGUACUAACUGAGGAGAGAUCAAGAGAAUUCAUUGUCCAAUUCAAAGAAAUCAGAAAUGAUGAAAUUAUAUGGUGGAAGUCAAGAGGAAUUUUGCCAACAAUAAGCUUUUAUCCAAAUGCAUUAAAAUUCAUUGAAACUUCUUUCCGUCAACAAAAGUGUAAAUGGCAUAGAAAAAGUGAAUACAGUACAUUAAAUAAUGAAAAAUUUGGGAGAAAGGCAGUAAUUUUUUUAAUUUAAUUUAAUUACAUAGUCUUGUAUAAUAACUUUCUAUGUAGACAUUUUAGUAAUAAAAAAAUUUAUUAAAUAUUGGAUUUAAUGAGUAUUUUGUUGGGUUUGAACAAUCCCACCCAAAAUUUAAUAACAAAAUUUUUUUAAUUAAAUUAAUAUCUUAGUCAAAUAUUACAUCCAUUUCUCUCCCUAAAGUUUUUUUUUUCACAAUUUUUUUCUCUUUUCCUCUCCCUCUCUCUGCGCAGUUGUCUUCUAGUCCUUUGUGGUUCUUAUAUUUUGAAGUUUCUAUUGGAGUAAAACCUCUUUUAAAAUUUCUUAUAAAAAAAAAUUAAAAAAUGAAAGUCUCUUUUAAAAUUUGCCUUCCCCUUACCCUCGCGCUACUAUUAUACGUAAAUGCUCUCGAUGAAACUUUAGCAAUUGGGUUUCUAUUAAGUAUUUUAAUCUCGAAAAAAGAGAAGAUCACAAAACAAAUAUCAAUAGAUCACCAAUUUAGUUAUGCAGGUGGUAAUCAAUUAAAAUAAAAGACGUAGUACUUCGUUUUGAAGUUGUUAUGAUAAAGAAAGGAGAAAAAAGAGCAAGCCGCUGCAAUUGCAACAGUGGAGGAUUUGUAACAAAACUAUUACAGAGAUAAGAUUUAAUUGAUAAAAGAAAGAUUUAAUAGAAAGUAGUUAGAGAAACAACUAAUAAAAAUUAAUCAUAUUUAUUAUGGGUAUACUAGGAAAUAGAACCGCACUUCGUGCGGCUUUAAAAAAAAAUUAGUAUUAUUUUUUUAUUACUUUGUAAUUAAUGAAAUUAAUAAAAAAUAUGAAUUAUUUUUUUUAAAGAUGACGCAAUCUUAUAAAAUUAAUGUUAUUUAUGAAAGUUAAUUAUUUUUUGUUAGCAUUAAAAAUAUAUAUUAAUGUGUAUAGUUAAGUGUACACAACCUUUUCAUCAAUAAAAAUUAUGUUCACACUAAUCAACUCUCCAUUUUUCUUGGUAUAAAUGGCAUUGUUGAGGGAAGAUGAAGGAACAUUCCUUCCUAUAUUAAUUAAUUGAUGUAUUUUAAGCCACUAAAAUUUAAUUGUUGGCAUAAUAAAAUAAAUAAAUAUUUCAAGACUUAUAAUUAAUUAUUAUUAAUGGUUACAUAUUGUUGAAUUUAAAUAGAAAGAGGAAAAGACAUGUAAUCAUUUAUAAUCUAAUAAUUAUUUUCUAUUUUAAUAUUUUGUAAUGUAAUUAUUUUUUAAUUUCAACCAAUCUAUAUAUAUAUAUAAAGCUAGGACUUGAGGAGGUGAUGUGGCAUCACCUCUUGUAGUCCCAACUUUAUAUAUAUUUUCAACCAAUUUAUUAAAUAAUAGACAAUAUGAAAUGAUGAGAAAUGGUGAUGCCACAUCACCUCUUGUAGUCCCAAUUUUAUAUAUAUGUAUAGAUAGAUAGAUUAAUUCAUGUAUUUUAUGCCACUAAAGUUUAAUUGCUAGCAUAAUAAAAUAAAUAAAUGUUUCAAAAGACUUAUAAUUAAUUAUUAUUAAUGAUUACAUAUUUUUGAAUUUAAAUAAAAAGAGAAAAAAAGUACAAAGAAUAUCCACCAAUAUUUUAGAUAUUUUAUAUAAUAGAAAAUAUAAAAAGAUGAGGAAUAAUAUAUAUUAAUAAAGUUACUAUUUAUUAAAUGAGUUAAAUAUAAUCAAAUUAAUUAUGAGAAGAUGAAAAGGCACAUCUAAAAAAAAAAUCUCUAUUUAUUAGAUAAUAGAGAAUAUACAAAGAAGCAAAAUGGUGAUGCCACAUCACCUCCUCAAGUCCUAGCUUUAUAUAUAUAUAUAGAUUAGGAAUAUUUGUGGCCUCACCACUCAUCUUAUAAUAAAUUUUUAUGUUAAUACAAUAACUCCAAUAUAGUUUAAUAUUAAGGACAACGUAAUGAAAUAAUUGUUAUUCUUAUAUCCAUUAAAGAUAUAUUGUUAUCUUAUAGAUGCGAGAAUGCUCCAAUGCUCAAGUAAAAUUUUUAGUGAAACACAUAAGAAUUCUACGUGUAGAGAGAACUUCGUCAAGGUAUUUAAGUUGUCUGUAAUGCUCUUUGCUAGUGUACCACGUUUAAUAUUUGAAUCAUGACACGUGGCAUUGCAAAUAGUGGCUUUAUUUCAGGUCUUCGUAGGUGCUCCGGACAUAUGUGCGCUCCGGAGCUAGUAUUACUAUUAGGUCAUCAUGUGCUUUUUUUAGUGAUCCACGUGAUUCCUUUUAUCCUUACACCAGAGCAUUUCUUGUUGAAUAACCAUGUCAAAUGCUCGUUUGUCAAGGACACGUGUCUUGUCAUUGGAACAUAGUAAAAACAUGACAUGCUAACCCACUGCAUUUCUGAAAAAAAUAAUAAAUUUUAUUUAUAAAUUUUAUUCAAUAAGGUAUAGAGAUCAUUCCAAAUAUAUUUUAGGUGCAAAUUCGUCCGUUUGACGUAAUACUGUGUCUUAUAAUAAGACUAGCAAUAGUCAAAUUAGCUUAUUAAGAUAAGUUCUGUUAAAUUUAAUAUUUUAAAAAAAUUAUCGUCUCAUCAUAAAACACACUGCUCUACUAUUCGGUAGAGCAUGAGUGGUUGGCACAGACCAUGGAUUGCACAAAUAUUUCUAAAAUUUGAAUCCUCAAACCCUCCUGACAAUGCCACCAGUGGGGAUGGGCCAGAUUUUUCUAAGCUCGACCCUAAGUCCAUGUUAUCCAUGCAUUUUUAAUUAUUAUUUUAAAUAUUACUGAAUUUGUAAUGAGUUAAUAAUCAAUAAGUUGUUAUAAUCAACAAUAAAUUAAAAAUGACUAUUUAAAAUAAAAUAAUAAAUAAAAAAUAAAGUAAAUAAAAGUUUACAAAUAUAUUUAAUUUCUUAGUACUAAAUUCUCUAAUUUAAACAUUCUCUUAGUUAAUUAAGAUAUAAGAGAGAGUUUAGUGUCACAAUUUUAAAUUUUUUCAAUUACUAUUGAUUGAAUUAGGGUUUUAAGCUUUCUUUUUUUAAUUAUUUUUUUAUAUUUUGUAUUAAAAAAAUAGAGGACUUAACAUGUCCCGGACUUUUUUUCUUAAAGAAACCCUCAUGUAAAGGACUGGGGCUAAGCCCACUGGCCCUGGGCCGGACCCUUUGAGGCCCAAGGCUAGCCACCAGUCUCUUUUGUCAAUCAUUGUUAAUGAACUAGCCUAGUUGAAUACUUUUAAAUUGAUGGGUCGUAAUUGCCAAUUUCCAAAUACAACAAAUUUUUAUAGGUGUAUUGGUAGACUGAACGACAACUAACAACACGUGACAUAAUUAACUUACUUCCAAAGGAAUUUUUUUUAUUUAAAGAUACAGUGGAUGAACAUAGAAAUCUUGUGUCAAGUUUUGAAAUUUGUCAAUAAUGUGUAUACACACAUGAAAUCUUCCAUUUUUCAUAUGUGUAUACACAUUAUCAUGAUUGAUUGAAACAUAUACAUGAUAAAGAUUAAUGAAUUAAAAAAAAAACAGUGCUUUAGGAGAUAACACUCAAGAAUUUGUCCUACUUCAUCCAGUGGGAAUAUCUACCUCCACCUAAUUGUAUUCAAUAGGAGGAGGAAUUGUUGUGUCCCCUCUUGGGACUCAAACCAUUGUGUCUAUUACCACCCGUUUGUGUUUAAAAUUUUGGUUGAAUUUAUAGAAUACUAUAAAUUGUAAAAGAUGCAACCAAAUAAUAUUUCGUGACUCUGUCUUUUCAGUUUUAGGAACAAUGGUGGAAUCAUUUUUGCCACUUGAAAAACUUACGGAAAAAUUAGGAUCUCGUGCUUUCCAAGAACUUUUAGCACUCUACUGUGUCAAAAAUGACGCAGAAAAGCUAAAGGAGACCUUAACCACUGUCAAAAGUGUGGUUUUAGAUGCUGAGGAAAAGCAAGUCCAUAGCCACCAGUUAAGAGAUUGGCUGGAAAAGCUUAAGGAUGCUUGUUAUGAUGCAGAAGAUGUGUUGGAUGAAUUUGAGGUGGAAGAUCUACGAAGGCAAGUCAUGACGCAAAGAAGCAUCGGAAGAAAGUUACGUAACUUUUUUGGAAGCUCAAAUCCGAUAGCUUUUCGUUUUAGAAUGUGUCAACAAAUCAAGAAAGUAAGAGAGAGGUUUGAUGAGAUUGCAAACAUGAUGCAUAAGUUUGAUCUCACUGCACGACUUGAUGAUCGUAGUUGGCGAAUUGUGCAUGAAGAGAGGGAAUCUACUCACUCGUUUGUGCGUCCAUCAGAUAUUAUUGGAAGAGAUAAAGAUAAAGAAAAAAUUAUUGAAGCUCUGAUGCAAGCAAGUUCUGGCGAAAGUGAAACUGUGUCUGUUAUUCCUAUUGUGGGAAUUGGAAGUCUGGGCAAAACUGCUCUUGCACAGUUGGUGUUCAAUGACCAAAGGGUAGAAGAGCAUUUUGAGUUGAAAAUCUGGAUAUGUGUUUCUGAGGAUUUUGGUGAGAGACAAAUUAUGACAAAGAUUAUCAAGUCGAUAACUGGUCAAAACCAAGGUGACUUGGAUAUAGAGCAAUUGCAACGAAUCUUGCGAGUUUGUUUGACUGGUAAGAGAUAUUUACUUGUUAUGGAUGAUGUAUGGAACGAAGAUCCCAAAGUAUGGGAUAAAUUGAAAAACUUAUUGUCGGGGGGUGCUAAGGGAAGCAAAAUUCUGGUAACCACACGUAGCAAUAAGGUUGCUUCAAUCAUGGGCACGAGGGGAGGUACUACUGGCUACAACUUACAAGGUCUACCGUUCGAGGAUUGCUUGUCUUUGUUUAUGAAAUGUGCAUUUAAAGAAGAGCGAGAUAAACAUUCAAACCUUGUAAAAAUCGGGGAAGAAAUUGUGAAAAAAUGUGGAGGAAUUCCGCUGGCAUUCAGAACACUAGGAAGUCUAUUAUAUUGCUCAACGGAUGAACAUGAUUGGGAAUAUGUGAGGGAUAAUGAGAUAUGGAAGUUAGAGCAAAAGGCAAAUGACAUUUUACCUGUUCUGAGGUUCAGUUAUGAUCAACUACCGCCUCGCCUGCAACAAUGUGUUGCUUAUUGUUGUAUCUUUCCAAAGGAUUAUUAAUUUUCAAGUGUUUAUUUAGUUCAAUUUUGGAUGGCUCAAGGACUUCUCCAUCCACUUAAUGAAAAUGAUGAACUAGAUGACAUUGGCAUGCGGUCCUUGAAGCAACUAUGUUCAAGAUCUUUCUUCCACGAUUUGGUAUGAGGAUUUGAGAUGUUCACUUUCAAAAUGCACGACCUCAUCCAUGAUCUUGCACAGCUAAUGGCCAAAGGUGAAUUCCUAGUAGUGAACUCUGACUGUCAAUCUAUUCCCAAAAGAGUCCGCCAUUUGUCAUUUGUGGGUGCUAAUGCAUCAAGAAAAGAUUUUUCAAGCUUUUUAUCUGAUUUAGGUCGUGUGAGAACCAUUUUCUUUUCAAUUAAUGAUGAGAAGGUAAGCCAAUCAUUUGUUAGAUCAUGCAUCUCAAAGUCACAGUUCCUGAGAGUGCUAAAUUUAAGUGGCUCUGCUAUUGAGGCUUUGCCAAAAGAGAUAGGUAAUUUGAAGCAUAUGAGAUAUCUGGACCUAUCAAGAAAUUAUAAAAUCAAGAAACUUCCAAAUGCCAUUUGCAAGCUGCAAAGUUUACAAACACUGAAUCUUGAAGAAUGUCUGGAGCUAGAAGAGUUGCCUAAAGACAUAAGGUACCUUGUUAGUCUCAGAGUGUUUGAGGUAACCACAAAGCAGAAGUCUUUGCAGGACAGUGGAAUAGGGUGCUUGGUUUCUCUUCGUUGUUUGAUAAUAUCUCAUUGCAGGAAUUUGGAAUAUUUGUUCGACGAUAUAGAUCAACUAAGGGUCCUUCGAUCAUUAUUAAUUGCUGGUUGUCCCGUCUAAUCUCAUUGCCACCUGCUAUGAAAUACCUCAGCUCAUUGGAGACUCUAAUGUUUGGUGUGUGUGAAAGCCUUAGUCUUAAUUUGAGCAUGCAAUUGGAAGGGGAAGGAAGUCAUCAAGCUCGCAAUACCACAAGGCCUCACCUUCGGAAACUUCUCAUUGCCGGAGUAACACCGUUAUUGGAAUUGCCACAAUGGCUUCUUCAAGGUUCUACUGGAACUUUACAACACCUAUUUAUUGCAAAUUGUCCCAACUUCAUGGCACUACCAGAGUCACUGAGAAAUUUCGAAGCACUUGAGGGUCUUGUCAUCGGGAAUUGUCCAAAAUUGUCAUCGUUGCCGGAGGAUAUGCUUCACCUGAAAACAUUGAGGAUUAGAGGCUGUCCUGCACUGAGUGAUAGAUGCAAACCGCUAACAGGUGAAGAUUGGCACAAGAUUGCCCAUGUCGCUCACAUUAAGCUUGAUGACGAGAUAAUUAAAUCAAGUGAUAUUUAGGUAUGGAUUAAUCUCUCCUUUUUUUUUCCUCUUUUCAUUCAAGUUUUUACUUUUGAAUUUCUCAUCUAGCUAUACCGUUUAUCGUUUAAUGUUUUGUUCUGUUUACCGAACAGAAACUUGUUGAAUGUUUAGUUAGUUAGUUCAAAUUUGUACUAAUUUCUUUUCUUCUAACAAAUGAUUAGUUUGUUAAUACAAACUCAAGCAUAUUGUUUGGAAACCGAACCAUUCUUGGGGUUAUUUAUAUCUGUUUCUAUAUCCAAACGGUUCAGGAAUUUUCAGAACGGAAGUUAUAAUGGGAUUUUCUUAAUUAGCCAGUUAUCUUCGUAUGGAACCUUAUUUACAUAAAAGAUUAGCUUUUGAAAUUUCAAUUUUUCUUAAUAUUUUAAUUCGUGUCGAAACAUCUAACAAUUCAUCCUUUCUUUUCUUUUUCCCCAAAUAUUGCAGCUUUCUUCGGAGAGGUUCAACCGAGUUGCAGAGACAGUGAAAUCAUUUCUGUAAUGUUGUUCAGAAUAGAGAUCAACGAUUUCAAUGUUAUGUUUAAAAUUACAAGUAUCAUAUAUUCCUUACCGGACAAUUUAUCCUCUAUUUUCUCUUCUUUUCUUUUCUUUUCCCCCAAAUAUUGCAGCUUUCUUCGGAGAGGUUCAGCGAAGCUAUAGAGACAAUGAAAUUAUUACUGUAAUGUUGUUCGGAACAGAGGUUCAACGGUUUUAAUGUUGUGUUUAAAAUUGCAAGUAUUAUAUAUUCAUUACUUAUGACAAGUACAUCGAGUGAUGUAUAUAUGUUGGAGAAUUAACAAAAUAAAACACACAAAAAACACUAUUUUAUUUCUUCAACAACACUCCUCACCAAUUACAACUCUUAUUUUUCACUCUCUACACCUUAGAGAUUUUGCUACUUCACUUGAUGAUUAAACCAAAGGGGAGAGGGGGUAUUUAUACAUGAAACAAACUAAUCACAACCAUUCAUUUAUUCAAUUAAUACACAAAUCCUCACCAUCCAUUAAAACCUACCACUCACCUACUUCACCAACCACACCUAACACACCUAACACAAAUAAUUCAAAGCUCACCAACCAUACCUACUCAUGGAACCUUCCAUGAGUUGGGCUUGAUUUACUCAUCUUGGAUCAAGUUUAUGAUCCAACACCUCCCCUUAAACUUGAUCCUGUGACACCAAACAAACUUCUGAAUCUUGCAAAGUCUUCUUGCUUGAGUGGUUUAGUGAAGAUAUCAGCUGCUUGAUCUUGUGAUUUUACAUACUUGACUUGCACUUCUUUUCUUGCAAUACACUCUCUUAUGAAAUGAUAGCGAGUGUCUAUGUGUUUACUUCGAUCAUGAAAGACUGGAUUCUUGGAUAGGGCAAUUGCUGAUUUGUUAUCAACACAAAUCUCGGUUGGCUCUUCUUGUGCCAAACUCAACUCCUUCAGCAAAUUUCUGAGCCAAAUUGCAUGACAAACACUUGAUGUGGCAGCUACAUAUUCAGCUUCACAGGUGGAUAGAGUGACAAUUGGUUGCUUCUUUGACAUCCAUGUGAAAGUAGUAUCUCCCAUGAAGAACACAAAUCUUGUUGUGCUCUUUCGAUCAUCUACAUCUCCACCCCAAUCGCUAUCGCUAUAUCCAAUAAGCUUGUAGUCAUUAGAAAAUGAGUAUAACAAGCCGAAAUUAAUUGUACCUUUGAUAUAGCGAAGGAUUCUUUUUGCAGCUUUAAAAUGAGUGGUCUUUGGAUUCUCCAUGUAUCGGCUCACAAGUCCAACAGCAUAAAGAAUAUCUGGUCUUGUGCAUGUCAAAUAACGUAGGCUUCCAACCAAACUUUUAAAGAAUGUUGGAUCUAUAUCUUCGCCUUCAUCAUAUUUGGAUAACUUGACUCCGCAUUCCACUGGCGUGCUUAUAGGCUUGCAAUCAUUCAUCUUGAACCUUUUGAGAAUCUCCUUUGCAUAACUUUCUUGGGAGAUAAAUAUGUCUUCUUCCUUUUGCUUGACUUCAAUGCCGAGGUAAUAUGUCAUCAGUCCGAUGUCAGUCAUCUCGAACUCUUUGAUCAUCACUCUUUUGAACUCUUCAAACAAGUUUGGAUUACUUCCAGUGAAGAUGAGAUCAUCCACAUACAGGCACACAAUCAAAAUAUCUCCAUCUUUUUCUUUGACGUAGAGAGCAUGUUCAUAUGGGCAUUUGGUGAAGCCUUUCUCUUGAAAAUACUUGUCAAUUCUGCUAUUCCAUGCCCUUGGUGCUUGCUUUAACCCGUAAAGAGCUUUCUUCAAUCUCAAAACUUUGUCUUCAUGUCCUUUCACCAUAUAGCCUAAUGGUUGUUCGAUGUAAACUUCUUCUUCAAGGAAUCCAUUCAAGAAAGCAGACUUCACAUCCAUUUGAAAAAUCUUCCAUUUGUUCUGAGGAGCCAAAGAAAUAAUAAGUCUAAUAGUUUCAAGUCGAGCUACAGGAGCAAAUACCUCGUCAUAGUCUAUGCCAGCCUUUUGACUAUAGCCUUUUGCAACUAGCCUCGCCUUGUGCCUUUCAAUUUCUCCAUUCGCAUUUCUUUUUGUUUUAUACACCCAUUUGACAUCGAUCGCCUUAUGACCUUUUGGAAGAGUAGUAAGCUCCCAAGUAUCAUUCUUCACAAUGGCUUUGAUUUCUUCAUCCAUUGCAAUUCUCCACUUCUCAUCUAGUGCAGCUUCUUGGAAGUUGACUGGCUCACAAUCAGCAAAGAGGCAAAAGAGAGUGAGAUUAUCAUGUCUCUCAGUUACCUCAUAGAGAUCUUGAAGACUCCUUGUACGUUCUUCGGUUCUUUCAUUUAAGAAAGGCGGCGGGGAAUCUCCGCAUGUGGUUGGUACCGGUGAGAUAGGUGGAGUGGCAGGCUCUUGUUGUUCGUCUACUUGUUUUAUCUGUGUAUGAUCAUCUUCUUCAAUGGGAAAGAAGUUGAAGUCAUCCACACCAGAGCCAAAAUCCCAUUCUCCUUCUUCAUCAAAAACUACAUCUCGACUGAUCACGAUCUUCCCGUUGUUUGGAUUGUAAAGCUUGUAUCCUUUGGAGUUGUUGUCGUAGCCGAUGAAGAUGAACUUUUCACUUUUGUCAUCCAGCUUGGCUCUACUUUCAUCUUGUACAUGUACAUGGGCAAUGCUUCCGAAAACUCUUAGAUGGGUGAUGCCGGGUUUUCUUCCACUCCAAGCUUCUUGUGGCGUCUUGCCCCACACGCUUCUUGUUGGAGAUCGAUUGGAUAAGUAGACUGCACAUGCAACAGCUUCAGCCCAAAAUUCUUUAGGUAGCCUCUUACUCUUAAGCAUGCUUCUUGCCAUGUCGAGGAUGGUUCUGUUCUUCCUUUCUGCAACACCAUUUUGUUGAGGGGAUCUUGGAACUGUCAAAGGGCGUCGAAUUCCAUUUGCUUCACAAAACUCUAAAAAUUCUUUGGAAGUGAACUCUCCACCUCGAUCAGAUCUCAUGGCUUUAAUCUGGUAUCUACUUUCUUUUUCCACUGCAGCUUUAAACUUCUUGAAAGCUUUAAAAACUUCUGAUUUUUGCUUCAAAAAAUACACCCAAGUUUUUCUUGAAAAAUCAUCUAUGAAGAGAAGGAAGUAGUUACUUUUACCAAGGAAGUUUGGUUUGAAUGGACCGCACACAUGAGUAUGAAUGAGCUCGAGUGGCUUCUGAGCUCUUGAGUUUGACUCCUUUGGAAAGCUCUUUCUGAAUUGCUUGCCAAGUAAACAUCCUUCACAAAGUUGAUCAGGGUGAUUGAUGUAUGGUAAGCCUUUCACCAUGUUCUUCUUGAAUAGUAGCUCCAAUCCUCCAAAGUUGAGAUGCCCAUAUCGAAGAUGCCAAGUCCAGGAUUGAUCUUUGUGACAGGCUUUGAGACAUUUUGCAACAUCAUUUUGAAUAUUUAAUGGAAACAUUCUAUUCUUCGACAUUUUCACCUUUGUAAUUAGAUUUCCUUUGUCAUCUUUUAGGAAAAGACUAUAAUCUUUUAAGUGAAUAUCAUAGCCUUUUUCUAAAAGUUGACCCAAACUAAGAAUGUUGCUUUUCAUAUUGGGCACAUAGUAAACAUUCGAAAUUAUUUGGUGACUACCAUCUUUUGCACGAAAAAGAAUGUUACCUCUACCCUUCAUUGGUACUUUUGAAUCAUCUCCAAAAGCGACACUGCCAUUCAAAGAUUCACUUAGUUGCACGAACAUGUUUAUGUUUCCACUCAUAUGAUUGCUAGCACCUGUGUCAAGAUACCAUGUAUUUUCUUGACCUCCACUUGUGUCAUUGCGUGCUAGUAAAAGUGUGCCAUCUUCACUAUUUUUCUCUUCAGCAUAGUUCACUCUCUCUUCAAUUCUGGUGCUUGGAGCUCUGCAUUCUGAAGCAUAAUGCCCAAACUUUUGACAAUUAUAGCACUGUACUUGGGAUUUGUCAUACCUAGAUCUUGAAUUGCCUCUGCCUCGUCCUCUGGUUGAGCUUUCUCCUUUGGCAUAAUUGGAGUUGUUGUUGUUGAAAUUCCAACCUUGUCCAUGACCACGACCUCUACCUCGUCCAUGACCACGACCUCUACCUCAGACAUAGUGCCUUCUCUCAUUGUCGGAGCUUUCUUCUCUUUUCUUUGGAUUGACUUCCAUCUUGAGAAGUUGUUCUUCGAUUCCUUGCCUCUUUUUUUGUUUUUCUUCAUAGGCUUGCAACCUUCCUUGAAGUUGCUCGAUCGUCAUAUCCUCCAGAUCUCUUGUUUCUUCAAUUGUCACAACAAUAUGGUCAAACUUCGACUCUACUGAUCGAAGUAUCUUUUCAAUGAUCCUUACCUCUUUUAACUCCUCGCCAUUUCUUUUUAAUUCAUUGGAAACAGUCACAACCCGAGUAAAGUAGUCAGAAAUUGACUCUGACGCCUUCAUAUGUAAGGACUCAAAUUCUCCUCGUAAUGUUUGGAGACGAACCUUCUUAACUUGUUCCGCUCCUUUGUAAGAGGUCUCUAGUUUCUCCCAUGCUUCUUUUGAGGAGGUUGUACCAGCAAUUUUUUCAAAAGCAUCUUCAUCUAAUGAUUGAAAGAUGAGAUACUUUGCUUUAUUCUCUUUCUUCUUCAAGUCUUUUAAAUUCUCCUUCUGCGCCGCAGUUAAAGUGGCUUCAUUUUCUGGCACAAUAAAGCCUUUUUCCACGACAUCCCAUACGUCAUGUGCGCCCAAUAGAGCCUUCAUUUUAAUACUCCAAUUGUCAAACUUACUUCCCUUUAAUUGUGGAACUUGAAAUGACAUCAUACCACCGUUUGCCAUAACUCACAAAUUGAGUGAGAAUUUGGAGAUUCUGAAAGCACAAAUGGAUCCGGCACGUCGAAAAACCUUGGGAAUGACUCGAGUCAACUUUCGGUCAACGGUCAACGCUGGUCAACGGUCAACGUCGGUCAACGAUCAACACCGGCUUGGUAGUCUUGGUUCGGUCCGGAUUGGUUCAGCUCGAGUUGGCUCGGUUCGACUUGAUUCGGUUCAGCUCGGUUCGGCUUGGUUCAACUCGGUGAGUCGACUCAGCUUUAGGGCAGAAAACUUCCGGCGGCAAGUGUGGGCGCGUCCGGUCUCCGAUUGGGAUAAUUUUUGCGGCGUCACUUUCCUCUCGUCGAGAUCUUCGAUUUGAUAUGCUAUAUGACCAUAUAUAGCAUCACGUACUAGCUCUGAUACCACUUUGUUGGAGAAUUAACAAAAUAAAACACACAAAAAACACUAUUUUAUUUCUUCAACAACACUCCUCACCAAUUACAACUCUUAUUUUUCACUCUCUACACCUUAGAGAUUUUGCUACUUCACUUGAUGAUUAAACCAAAGGGGAGAGGGGGUAUUUAUACAUGAAACAAACUAAUCACAACCAUUCAUUUAUUCAAUUAAUACACAAAUCCUCACCAUCCAUUAAAACCUACCACUCACCUACUUCACCAACCACACCUAACACACCUAACACAAAUAAUUCAAAGCUCACCAACCAUACCUACUCAUGGAACCUUCCAUGAAUUGGGCUUGAUUUACUCAUCUUGGAUCAAGUUUAUGAUCCAACAAUAUAUGCGUGCCUGUAUGACCAUGACUGAUAACCUUAAAUAUAUAUGUGCCUGUGUUAUCAUGACUGAUGACCUUAAAUAUAAUACCAAUAAUGUUGUAGAAUUUCUGAAAUUCUCAUGACGCACAAUUUAUGUAAUUUAUAGUAUGUUCCUUCUCCUCCUUCGGUAGUCAGUAAUAUAAUUUGCAUUUUUUUUUUUGAAGAAUAUUGACGUGUUGUGUAAUGGAAUGGUGGUGCCUGUAUUUUGUGCUUUGUGAUUGAUGACUCACAUUUUCCCAAAAAAAAAAUGGAAACGGAUAGGCUUCCUUUUGAAUGGUGACCUUUUAUGAUAUGAAUCAUAUGUUCAUCAGUAGCAGUUGGCCUACUAACUAGAUAUUGCAUUUUGGCCUUGAGGUGAAAUUAGUGAGCAUGUUUCUUGAGGUUUUUUUAAAAUUUUUUAUAAGACACUUGAAGAAGGAAAUUCAUGUUCUUGCGAUGCUUCUUUCUCAAUAUAAAAUGAUUAAUUUGAAGAAUACUUAUUAUAAUAGAACGUAGAACUCGUAUGUAUUUUAGUAUAAAAAUUCUUUACAAUAAAAAGUUUUUUAUGUGAAGUCGAUCGACACUAUCACAUUAUCAUAUUGCCAUUCAAUUUUUUAUUUUUAUCUAAUUAAAAUGAUAAAUUAAAGUUGAUACGAGAAAAUUAAAGAAGAUUGGAACUUGGAGGGCAAUGUGAAUUUUGAAACGACACCAUUUCAACUCCACCUACUCUAUAACUAAAUGAUUAUGAGUGAUAGAACAAGAUCAGCUUGAUACAGAGAGAGACUCUCCACUCUUAACAAUGAGCAAAAAAAUGGUACGCAACUUCGUUUUGAUUAAAAUUUAAUGAUUUUUUCGUAUUAAUCAAAUUAAUCAUUAUUAUUAUUAUUAUUAUAUAUACACAUACAUAUAUAAAUACACACACACAUACAUAUAUAUAUAUAUAUAUAUAUUCAAUUUCAGAAGAAUCUGUUUUGUAGUUCUCCUCCUCAAGUGCCUACUUUUCAGUGUGCAAGGAUGUAUGUUGAGGGCAGCGGAUGAAAUCGCUAAACUGUUGGGGGUAGAGGAGGCGGGAGAGGAGAUGGUUCCCAUUUCCGCCCUUGCUUUCCUCCAUUUGGCUGCAAAAGUUCAUCACAAAUCAACUCCGUUACAUUGUUACUGGUCUUUUGCUUAUUUAUUUUCAAUGUCUUAUUAUGUUUUAAAUUAUUAGUUCAUGAGUUGAGUUUGAGUCUACCAAGUCAAGGGUUGUUAAGUUAGACCAAGUCUCGUGAAAAGAAUUAAUUUUUUUUUUCCGUUUCUUUGAGAUUUGAUCAAUAAAUCAGUUUCAAUUGUACUUGAUGGCCAUAUAAGCCAUGAAAGACAUGAAUAAAAGGAUUAUUCAAUUAUUUCAAAUCAAACCAACUCUUUUAAAAAAUAAUAAUAAUAAAACCAACUUAUGUUGUUGAGGGCAAGAUUCCUUUAUUAAUUAUCAACCUUAAACUGAUAGCUUUAAAUUCCCCUCAUGGUAGGUUCCAACAAAAAAAAAAAGAUUUCUCUAUUUUACCAUUAAUUAUAUAUAUUAAUUUCCAAUUUUACCCUUUACCAGAUUUAAAUGACACCACUUAAUUUAAUUUUCACGUGCUCGAUUUCAUUUUACUGGUCAACAAAAUCUCUCAAAAUUGUUGUCCUGAACUUGCGGCAGCUUUCAUCACCGACGGAGGCUGAAGAUUCAAGCAACAGAGCUGAUCGUGAUGAGGCGAAGGAGAAGAGGACCUAGCGAGUUCGCAAGAGCGAGUAUAGAGGAAUAAAGCGGAGGCCAUGGGGAAAAUGGGUAGCUGAAAUUAGAGACCCUUACAGGGGCGUCCGCUUUUGCCUCGGCACUUUCAACACCGCCGAAGAAGCCGCAAGAGAUUAUGCUGAAGCCGCCAAGUGUAUCCGCAGCAACAAGGCCAAGCUCAGCUUUGCUCUGCCGCCGCCGCCGCCAAUAACUCAAUCUCCAUGAUGGUUGUCGAAGCCAGCAAAAAUAAAUAUCUAUUCUAAAUAAAUUGUGUAUAGUGAUUGAGCAGGGUUGUGUCCACAGAGAUCGGUAAUUAUUUAAAUCCUUUUAAAUUGUAAAAUGCAAAAUGGGGGGAUUGUUGACAAUAAUAAAAAUCAAAUUAAAAUAACAAAUGCAAAUUCAAAUUGGGAAAAGCUCUGGUUGAAGGAAUUAACUCAGCUUGAUUCGACUAUUGAUCAUUGAUUCAAAUAUAAAUCAUUACUACUUAUGAAUAGACCGGUUAUAACUACUGAGACUCUCUAAUAACUAAUCUCUCCUUAACUAGUUGAUAAUCAAGGUACGACCAUUGAUUAUUUCCCUAAUCAAUAGACAACUCUAUAUACGAUCAUAGGGUUUAUCAAUUGACAGCCUGAAAAACCAGAGAGACCCAAAUCCUAAUCAACAAACGCAUACGAUGGUUCAUUUAAAUUAGAUUGUUUAUUCUCAUAACACAACGCACUGCUAUGCUAUUUGUCACAAACAUUAAAAUCCUCAUACGAUGAAUCUUUUAAUUGACAAUAGAUUAAGUUGAUAAUUAAAUAGUGGCCAAUUAUCUAAUUAACAAACAUAAUCAUGACAAUAAUUUAGAGAAUAAACAAAUACCCAAAAAGCAAUAAAACAAUUAAAGCAUAAGAAAGAUCUCACAGUAAUGAUGAAUCAAAACUUUAUUAACCUUCAACCAGAAUAAUAAGUUUAGUUCUUCAUAGAGAGAAGAGAAAAAUUUAGAUCUAGGGUUUCUUUCUUCUCAAAAAUCUCCUCUUUCCUUGUUUUUCAUGUCUCCUUCCUCUUAUAGAGUUUUUUUAUAAAUAAAAUACUAACAUCUAAAAUAUUAUCUAAAUAUUAAAUUCAAAAUUAUAAAAAUAACCAAAAAGACAAAACACGUUAAACUAAAAAUUGUAGGUCCGUAGUUGACAGCACGCGCCCACGCCUUAUCAACAAACAUCAUCUUGUAGCUCAAUUUUAGCACCAAUCAAUAGAAUUGCACCUACAAAAAUAAAACACAAGUAAAUCACUAUUAUUAAGUGCAAAACAUCGAAUUAAAGGAAGUAAACAAUGCGAAACUAGUACAUAAAUUGCACUCUUAACACUCCAGCUAAGAAACGCUGCAUGUUAUCCCCUGAGUUGACUCUGCCGUGUUUUGAAGAUUACUUUUUUAUUGGUUUAUGCAUUUGAGUUUACAAAGAAAUGGUAUUCCUUUUCCCUAUAUUUUGAACACUUGGGCUUUUAUUGUUGAAAAUGACCUUUUUUGCACUGUUCUUAUCUAUGAGGUUGUGCCUUCCUUUGGAUGCUCUUUAAUAAACAGCUUUCCCAAUGACAACUGAAGUGAAAAGUCAUUUAUCAAAUGAUUUGGUGAAAUUUCAGGUGCUCUCAUCUUGGUUUUUGCAGUUAAUAGGAAUAGGUUGGUGUUGGGAUGUGCUACAUGUAUCAAGUUCUUAUCGCUAGUGGAUGUGCCAUCAUUUACUCUCACUGAAUGUAUUAUUAGUUUCUUUAUUGAAAAGUCCCAAAUCAGUAAAGAAUCCUCAAUUUUCUCUGUUUUCUUUAGAUCCUAGUAGUGUUUUAGCAUGCACAACUAGUGUUUAUGCAUGUGUCGGCAAGUGUUUAGACAAUAAAUUUAAAGGUUACAGUGACAUAACUUGACUGCAGGAAAGGUAGGAUGUAUGCUGCAUUUGAAGGAAGGUGAAAGUUUUCCAUUUUUGUAAUUGAGUUUAAAGCAGGAUAUGUUUAGUUUCAUGAAAUGCUUUCUUAUUUUUCGAUGACGAAGUAAUGUGAGUCAAUAUUCUCUUUAAAUAAUGUUCCCCAGUUCUUGAAUGUUCUGCCAGUCUUUAUUUCUUAUUUGAAUUUAAAGAAACUUUCUAAGUGCAUACAUCCAUAUAAAGUUGAAGAUCUUCUAGAAAAGCUGGCAUCCAUCAAGAUCAAGAAAUUUUACUGCUUAGUAUGUGUUAUAUUUAUAGAUUGGCUAUUGAAGAAGUAGUAUUUGUACCGAUGCAGAUGCAGGAACUAUACACAUCUAAAGUUUAUGAGAUAUUUUUGUCUUUUUUGACUCAGUUAGAUAACUAUCAGUCGUUUAACCAAUUUAUGUUACUCUUGUUUGGCUAGCCAAUUAAGAAUUUAUAUUUGCUGGAUUGUAAAGCCUACAUCUGCAAGCCAUAUGUGAUUUUAUUUGAAGGCAAUUGGUUCUAGACUAUAUGCGGAUUUCUGUCAUGAUUUCUAUAAGCUUGAAGGAGAUUUCCUUUUUUUUUUUUAAAUGUCUGUGAGCUUGAAAAUUAUACCCGUACAUGUUGAAACCAUUAGAUACAUGCUAAGAAUCAAGCAUAAUUGUGUCCAGUUGAAACCAUAAUUUGGGUACUGUUUUAUGAGAAAAUUAUGUGUAAUUUGGGUGCAGUAAACCUAGGUUGAAUACCAGGACACAGUAUAAAAGCGAAACCACAUAUUGAAUCUUAUAUAAAGACUUUAAAGAUGCAAUUUUGAAUUGUACAUGAGAUGUUGUCUGGACUGAAUUUCAGCGGCUUUGGUUAGGAUUCAGAAAAGAGAAUUGUAACCGCAGAGAAUGCUCUGUGGGAUGCUUAUAUCCAGGUAUGUAAUGGCCUUAUUUUGAUUCUGGGCUGUUUGAGUUUUGUGCAGCUGUUCUUUGUUGCUGCUUUUGCUACUGAUUUUAGCUAUUUUCUGCUACUGUCUUAUUUGCUUUUUUUUUUUUUAAUACUACUUUUGCUGCUGAAUUUUGCUGGUUUCUGCUGUUUCACUCGCUGAUAGCUGCUGUUUAUUACUAUUGUUUGCUACCUUUUGAUUUGCUCCUUUUUUGCUGCUGAUUUUUGCUGUUUCUUUCCGCUGUUUUUGCUGCUUUUGUUGCUGUUUUUUUACUGCUUUUACUGUUGAUUUUUGCUGUUUUCUACUGUUUUGUACUCACUGGUUGCUGUAUGUUUAUUAAUAUUGUUUGCUGCUGUUUUAUUUGCUUUUUUUUGCUUCUAAUUUUUGCUGUUCUCUGCCAUUAUUUGCUGCUGUUGCUGUUUUAAUCGCCGGUUGAUGCUGUUUUGUGGUUCGCCUCCUCAAGUGCCUGCUUUUUUCAAUGUGCAAGCUUAUAUGUUGAGAGUGGCGGAUGAAAUCUCUUAACUGUUACAGUUGAUCCGAGGCUCCUCUAGAGAAGGAUUUGGUCUUAAUUUGGGGAAGGGGGUUUUUCUGGUUUGUACUCAAGCGUAUGCAUUCCUUCAAUCACGUAGCUUUGUGCCAUUAACAUAAUGGCAACUCUGUAUUGGUUUUUCUCUCGCUGUCUGUACCCAUGAUUAAGCAUGUAAUGGCUUUUAAUAAAAAAUAAUAAUAAGACAUAGUGCAGUCAAAUAUCAAGAUUAUAUUUUAAACAAAAAAAAAUUAUAUUUUAAACAAAAAAAAAAAUUAUAAUAAGUAUGAGGAUUCAUUGUCUGUUAGAUAAGACAUAAGAUAUGUGAAUAACAUAGGAAAAAGCCACCUACAUCCUCAAGAUGUGUUUAAAUGUUAAAUGGUUACACAGGUUCUUUUUGCUUCAUAAUAAUUAUAUAGACCCGUUUUGUUUAAUAUUAAACUAAUUAUACCUUUUAAUUACAAUAACCCAAUAAUUGAUUUUGAAUAAAUUUUUAUUAUAAAUAUAAAAUGGAACUGAAAUAAUAUUAUAUAUAAAAUAAGUUAAAAUUUAUAAAUUAUUUUGAAUAAUAAUAUUAAAAUUAUUUUACCCAACCCUCACAUUAAUUUAUAAAAUUUAUAUUGUUUUGCUUACUAUUUUUUUAAUUACGUCUACAUCGUAUAAAUCUUAAAAUCAAUCUUUAGAUUAAUAGAAUUUUGUAUUAAUAAAAACCGCUGGGUAUAUGUUAUUUUAUUAUACAUACUUGUUGCAAUAUUUUAUAUGUAUUAUAUGUUAUUUAUUUCUUAUUUUUAUCUCAUUACUAUAUUUAUAUUUAUUUGUAAUGUUAUAAUCAAAAGAUAUUAUCGCCCAAAUGGGGUUUAUGUGACUAUUUAUAAAGCCAAAAGGGUUUAUGUAAUCAUUUAAGUAAACCUUAAAAACGUGAGUGGCUUUUUCCAUAUAACAUAUGAUCCGAUAGCCAAGAAAUCAAUUAUGUAUUUCUUGUUUCUGAAAAAAUGAGUAAUCCUUUAACGAGGGUUAUCAUCAAUUGCAAGUUUCUAGUUUGGUUGCUUAAUUCGAGGACUAUGAAUAUUAUUGCGGAAAUGUGGGUUGAGUUUUCAACAAUUCUCCACCUCGGCGAAGAUUUAGUAAAUCUGAACCGACUAUCAACAAACUACAUUCCAGUUUCUGCCUUCUUUGGCUACUUUUAAACUUGUAAGAUGUUGAUCAAGUUUAAACAAUGCUCAAACUUGAUCGCCGUCACUACCUUGGUCAACAUAUUUGCGGGAUCAUCUGCAGUUUUAACUUUUUGAAGAAGAAUAUUCCCCUCAUCAAUAAUUUCCCGCACAAAGUGGAAUCGUACAUCGAUAUGCUUCGUACGCGCAUGAUAAACUUGGUUAUUCGUUAAGUGAAUAGCCCUCUGACUAUCGCAAUACACAUUAAUGUGCUCCUGUGCCAAUCGCAAGUUUUCAAGCAAACCUUGUAACCAAAUAGCCUCUUUAACAGCCUCUGUAAUUGCCAUGUACUCGGCCUCUGUGGUCGACAGUGCAACUGUAGACUGUAGUGUAGACUUCCAACUAAUUGGCCCUCUAGCAAAAGUAAAUACAUAUCCGGUGGUUGACCAUCGUUUGUCCAAAUCACCAGCAUAAUCAGAAUCAACGUACCCGAUCACACCUUGACCAAGUGUAUCGUCUCUUUCAAUCAGUAAACCAACAUCCAUGGUCUUUUGAAUGUAUCGUAGAAUUCAUUUCACAGCUUGCCAAUGGCCUUUACCAGAUUAUGUAUAUAUCUGCUCACUAUACCAACUGCAUGUGAAAUGUCAGGCCUUGUACACACCAUUGCAUACAUCAAGCUACCCACUGCAUUUGAAUACGGAACUUGUAACAUGUAUUCUCGUUCCGCAUCUGUUGAAGGAGAUAAUUGUGCAGAAAGCUUGAAAUGAGAAGCCAACGAGGAACUUACAGGUUUUGUCUGCUCAGUCAUACUAAACUGCUGUAGUACCUUCUUCAAAUAUUGCUUCUGAGACAAGCUUACUUUGCCAUGAGCUCUAUCUCUGCAUAUCUCCAUGCCAAAAAUCUUUCAUCUCAAACUCUUAAUUGAGUUGAGUCUUCAACUUCUCUAUCUCAUCUUUGCUCUUCGAUGCUAUUAGCAUAUCAUCGACAUACAAUAGCAAAUAAAUGAAAGAUCUUUCUUGUAGCUUGCGAAAAUACACACAAUGAUCAAAUUUGUUUCUUGUGUACCUUUGCCCUUUCAUAAAUCGAUCAAAUCGCUUAUACCACUGUCUCAGAGAUUGUUUCAAUCCAUAAAGCGACUUUGUCAAUUUGCAAACCCAAUUUUCUUUUCCAGCAACCUUAAAUCCAUCUGGCUGAGUCAUGUAGAUUUCCUUUUCCAAAUCACCGUGUAAAAAUACAGUUUUUACAUAAAGUUGAACUAGUUCAAGAUCAAAUUGUGCAACAAUGGCUAGCAAAAUUUGAAUAGACGAGUGUUUUACAACUGGAGAAAAUACCUCAUUGUAGUCUAUUCCUUCCUUCUGAGCGUAACCCUUCGCUACCAAUCUAGCCUUGUAUCGAAUUUCAUUUUUACGAGGAAAUCCUUCAUUUUUUGCAUAUACCCAUUUGCACCCAAUUGCCUUCUUUUCCUUGGGCAGUGUAACUAACUCCCAAGUUUCAUUUUUGUGAAGAGAAUGCAUUUCUUCGUUCAUUGCUUUCUUCCACUGUAUACUUUCUGGAUUACUUAAUGCUUCUUUGUAAGUGGAAGGAACAUCAUCAUCUACAAUUGGAAGUGCAUAGGCCACCAUAUCAACAAAGCGAGCAGGUUUGCGAAUCUCUCUGCGUGGCCUUCUAUAUGCAAUUAACUCUUGUUGCUGUGAAGGUUCCUGGGUUAGAACCUCUUCAUCAUUUUCGGUCGAUGGAGAAUCACUAUCCAUCUCAUCGACACCAGCUAGAUUAGCUUUAACUUUUUCAAACUUCACCUACUGCAAAGUGCUACUGGUCUUGUCAUCCUCUUGAGAAUCUUUUUGUUUCAACAUGGCUAAUUCAUCAAAAGUUACAUCUCUGCUGAAAAUAAUCGUCUUCGUAACAGGACACCAAAGACGGUAUCUGUUUACUCCACCAGUUAUACCCAUGAACAAUUCUUUCUUUGCUCUUGGGUCUAACUUAGAUUCUUUUACAUGAUAAUAAGCAGUGGAACCAAAAACACGUACAAAAUUAUAAUCAGUAGCAGGUUUACCAGUCCACAUCUCCAUGGGUGUUUUGCCCUCAAUUGCAGUUGAUGGCAAAUGGUUGAUCAGAUGGCACGCAUAUACAACUGCCUCAGCCCAAAAAUCUUUGCCCAAUCCAGCAUUGGAUAACAUACACCGAACUUUCUCCAGUAUAGUCCGGUUCAUGCGUUCUGUCACCCCAUUCUGUUGUGGUGUAUCUCGAAUAGUGAAAUGUCGUACAAUACCCUCAUCUUGGCAUAUUUAAAUAAAUGGAUCAUUUUUGUACUCACCAUCAUUGUCUGAGCGAAGUCUUUUGACCUUUCGACCAGUCUGAGUCUCGACCAUUUUCUUCCAUUUCAAAAAUAUGCCAAAAACUUCAUUUUUGUUCUUCAUUAAAUACACCCACACUUUUCUUGAAUAAUCAUCAACAAAAGUAACAAAAUAGUGCAUACCUCCCAAAGAAGCUAUUUUAGUAAGUCCCUACACAUCACUGUGAACAUAGUCCAUAAUUCCUUUUGUAUCGUGAAUUGCCGAACCAAACUUUACCCUUGUCUGCUUGCCCAGAACACAAUGUUCACAAAAUUUUAAUUUGCAAGAAUUUGUGCCUUUCAAUAAGCCUUGCUUCGCUAAAGUCUGCAAAGCUUUUUCACCAGCAUGUCCCAAAUGCAUAUGCCACAACUUGGUUGCUUCUGAAUUUGCAUCUUUUCCAGAAACUGUUGAUGCUGGUCCAAUAAUUGUACUUCCUUGAAAAUAGUACAAGUUAUUUCUUCUUGUGUCUUUCAUCACCAUCAGCGCCCCAGCUACUACCUUCAACAAUCCAUCUCUUAAAGUGAUUGUGAGCCCUUUAGAUUCUAGGACUCCUAAUGAGAUGAGAUUUUUCUUCAAGCUUGGUACAUAGCGAACAUCUGUCAAAAGUUGGAUUGAGCCAUCAUGAUUCUUUAAUUGGAUUGUACCUAUUCCCAUGGUUUUACAAGCAUUUUCAUUGCCCAUAAAAACAACUCCACCGUCUAGCUCCUUAAAGCUAGAAAAUCCACUCAUCUGAGUGACAUAUCAAUGUCAUGCCAACCAGACUAAAGUUUGACUCCUCAUCAUGCUCUGGUACACAUGCAUCAGAAGUAGCAUUGCCCUUUUGUAACUUAGGACAAUUCUUUUUCCAAUAUCCUUUCUCACGACAAAAAACACAUUCAUCUUUGGCAGGUCUCCCUUUAGACUUACUCUUUUUUCCAGGGUUGAGGCUUUGCGAACGACCUCUCGUUGUUAAUGCUUCUGUAAUUGUAUCUCUGUGAUCCUUUCUGUCUUUCUUUCUGGUCUCAGAGUUGUACAAUGCACUGUAUACAGCAUCGAACGUGACACUGUCCUUCCCAUUAAACAAAGUAGUGGUGAGAUGAUCAUAUUCAUCAGGAAGUGAAUUCAACAACAACAGUGCCUUUUCUUCAUCUUCAAAUCUCUCAUCCAGAUUUAGCAAAUCCACUAAUAUCUUGUUGAAUAAGUUCACGUGGUCAUUCAUUGACAUGCCAUGUGUGUAUGUAAAUCGAUAGAGUUUCUUUUUCAUAUAAAGCCUAUUUUUAAGACUUUUCUUCAUAUACUUUUCUUCCAGUGUCUCCCACAAUUUCUUUGUCGAUGUCUCCCUCAUGACAGAGUAUUUCUGAUCUUUAGCCAGACAUAGGCGAAUAGUACCACAUGCCUAUCUAUUGAUUUUUAUCCACUCCUUGUCAUCCAUCACGUGAGGCUUUUCUUCAAGAGCAACAUCCAACUCUUGUUGACAUAAGACAUCCAACACCUCACAUUACCAUAUACCAAAAUUAUUGGUACCAUCGAAUUUCUCCACUUCAAACUUUGCAUUAGUCACAGUAGUUCUCGCUGAUGAAGACGACAACGAUGCCUCUACCAUCAUUUUUAUCUCAAAUGAUCAGUUUCUUCAACAACUAUUUACACUUAAAAAACAGCCUCUAUGAUGUUUAUUUCGCGUGAAUAAAUGCACCAAGAAAGUUCCCAGGAAACUGGACAGGAACUAGGUCCCAAUUAAAAACCAGAAUCCUUAGACUCUUAUCGCCUUUGUUGACAGAACUUUCUUUGACAUGCAAAAAUACACACUACUUACAAUAGACUGUCUCCCAAGUAUAAAUGGCUGUCUCCACCGUAUUUGUAAACAGUACCGUAUACGUGAAUAAUACCAUAUCCUCCCAAGUACGAACCGUCAGCUCUGAUACCACUUGUUACGGAAACGUGGGUUGAGUUUUCAACAAAUAUUACAUUAUCAUAAUUAAGGGGAAAGAAUAUAUGCUAUAGUCUUUGCCUGAUCACUUUCUUCUUUUUAAUUAACCACUUGCAAGGAAAGAAUAUUGUAUACACAACACACUAUAAUACUCUAAUUACCAAUUCUUUAUGUUAUAUUAAAGUUCAUAGUGAUUAAUUUGUCCAUAUUCAGCAAAAAACAAUCCCAUUUCUCUUUGCUCCAGCCAAUUGAUAGCAGAAUCAUCACAGACACCUUGAGCUCCGUCGAAUCAUCAUAGACAAUUGGUGAUUGGUGGGAGCAUUACAAGAAAGGUACGACUCCUUCAGACUGAUACAUUUGUUUAUAUGAUUCAGUGAUAGUUUUAUAUAUGGUUAAUAGCAAUAAUGAAGAGAUAAUCAUGUACAUCAUCAGUUGCACAAAUGUACCUACUAAUUUAUUCCUCUACUUGCCAGAAUCACACAUGUAAAAUGAGAUAAAUUUUAAAGUUUAAAACUUUGCAAUUCAUUAAAAAUCUAGUGGGAUAUUAAUUGGUAAAAUCACUCAAUGGUAGUACAAGAGGUUUGUGAAUUGCGAUUAUGCCAGUUUAUGUGGAUGGAGUGAGAAUUUUUUUAAUAAAUAAAUAAUAAUAAUUAAUAAUAUUAUUUAUAAAAAGACAUAAAUUUGAAGGUUUAAAAUUUUACAAUUCAUUAGAAUCUAGAGAGAUAUAUUGCGUAAAUUUUUUGUCUCUAAUUAAUUUACAGGUAGGGGAUAUAUAUAUAUAUAUUGUGAGGCUAUUUGCACAAUCUUGGGCUUUGGACACAUACCAAGAUGAGAAUAGUUGGACCCACUAAAAUACACUUUGCAUUCACUUCUCAAUAAAAAAUUUUAUUACAAGAUUUUAUUAAUUAAACUAUUAUUUUUGCCAAAUAUUAUGUUCGUUUCUCUCCCUAAAGUUUUUUUUCCACCAUUUUUUCCCUUUUUCUCUCUCGCUCUCCCUCUCCCUAGUUGUCUUCUAUUCUUUUGUGGUUCUUAUAUUUUGAAACUUCUAUUGGAGUAAAAUCUCUUUAAAUUAUUCUUAUAAAAAAAAGGCUUUUAAAAUUUGGCUUAAUCUUACAUGUAUGUGAUUUCGAUGAAACUUUAGUAAAUGGGUUUCCACUAGAAAUGAAAAGAUCACAAAACAAAUAUCAAAAGAUCACCAACUUAAUCAUACUGGUAGUAAUUAAGAUAAAUAAAGACUUAUUAUUUCUGCUUGAAGUUGAUAUGAUAAAGAAACCAAAAAAAAAAAAAAAAGCAAGCCACUACAAUUACAACAUUGGAGGAUUUGUUAAUAAAACUAUUGCAGAUAUAAGUUUUAAUUGAUAAAGAAGAUUUAAUAGACAGUAGUGAGAAAAACAACUUAUAAAAAUUAAUGAUAUUUUUUAUGGGUAUAUUAGGAAUAUUUGUGGCCUCAUCCCUCUUAUUAUGAUAAUUUUUUUAUUACUACCAUAACCCUAGUAUAUUUACUAUUAAGGGCAACAUAAUGAAAAUUUUGUUACUCUUAUAUCUAUUGAAGAUACAUUAUUAUUUUGUGCAUGCCAGACUCCAAUGUCCAAGUAAAAUUUUUAGUGGAAUGUAUAAGAAAGUGUAGGAAGAAUUUCAUCAAGGUAUUUCAGUUGUAUUUAAUGCUCUUUGCUCGUGUAAACUAUUAUGUCACGUGUAAUAUUUUGAUCAUGACACGUGGCAUUGUAAAUAAUGCUCUUAUUUUAGGUCUUCGUAGGUACUUCGGAGGUACGUCCGCUCUAGAGCUAGUAUUAGGUUAUCAUGUGCUUCUUUUAAUGAACCACAUGAUUCCUUCCAUCCUUACAUUAGAGUAUUUUCUACAAAAUAGUUGUGUCAAAUGUUUGUUUAUCAAGGACACAUAUUGUGUCGGCAGAACAUAAUAAAAAUAUGAAACUUUAAUCCAUUAGCAUUUAUGGAAAAUCAAAUGAGAACAAAAAUUAAAAAAAAAGUAUAAAAGCUAAUUAAUUGACAAUGCAAAAAUAUAAAAUAUUAAUAGAUAAGAGAAAUUAGGUUUUUGAAUUAUGAAAAUUUAUUAAAAAAUUCUAAAUGAACAAAACUAUGGUUUUGUGCCCUUUUUUAUACUAAACCUGAAUAUCAUGAAUUUACUAAAAUAGGUCAAUGUAAAAUAUUAUUUUAUAAUAAAAUUCUAAUAAUCUAAAUCAGGAGAACAAAACAAACUCUGUCCAAAUUCGAUAUCUAAAAAAAGAUAAAAAAUCUAAAAGUAAUAGGAAAAAUAACUUAAAACUAUAAAAUGACUAGGGCAAAAUAACAUGUGCAAUUUUGGUUUGAUUUGUCUCAUCGCAAGCUUCGAAAGGAUAUAUUAUACACUUAUAACGAAUACUUGUAGCUCAAGUUAUGACCUUCGAACAGUAACCCGCUUAUCCUACGCAACCAUCCUACAUCAAUCCCCCUCACUUGGAAAAGAACUCAUCCUUGAGUGGGGCUAGUACAACCACUUAUUAUUUGGAUGAUAUUCAAACAAAUCGGCCAUGUUAAAAGUGUGGGAGAUAUUUCAACUAUCCGGCAGCUAAAGCACAUAAGAUUAUCAUUAAUCUUCUUAGCCACAUGAAAUGGACUGUACUUCAACCUCUCUAAUUUAGUGCAAAUGCCAGGAAAAUGGCUAUGUUACAGAUGUGCCAUCACCAAAUCACCUUCCUAAAACACUUUCUUGCAUUGGUGCUUGUCUGCAUUAGCCUUGUACUCAGUAUUGGCAGUCUUUAAAUGAGCUCACACCUCAACAUGAAUCUGCAAAGCCUUUUCUGCCACAUUAUCCACUGCUUUACUGCCUCUAGCUACUGUUGGUAUAGCAGUUAGAUCAUAGACAUGGCUUGGAGAACAAGUGUAGACAACUUCGAAAGGAGCCUUGCUAGUAGAUCCAUUCAUCGUGCUAUUGUAAGAAAACUCAACUUGAGGCGACACGAUUUCCCAAUUUUUUUGUUUGUCACCACAAACAUAGCGCAACAUAUUAGCCAAAAGUUCGAUUGACCACUUUUGUUUGUACAUCUCUUUAGGGAUGGGAAGCACUAUUAAACUAUAAAUGUGUCCCGAACCUAUCUCACAGAUAAAGCUAAAAUUUGCUGAUGAACUUCACAUCCCUGUUAGAAGUAAUAGCCUUUGGAAUACCAUGCAAAUGCAUCACUUCUUGAAACAAAAGAUGUGCCAUAGAAAAAGCAUCUUUAGUCUUUCUGCAAGUAAUAAAAUGCGCUAUCUUUGACAAUCUGUCAACAACAACUAGUAUAGUGUCUCAACCAAUUCUUGUACAAGGCAACCUCAACAUAAAGUUCAUGGAUAAAUCUAACCAAAUAUUCUCUGAAACAUGUAAUGUGUGUUUAAUCUCGUGUUCUACGAUCCCUUACCUUCUUGACAAAUCUGGCACCUCUGCACAAUCCUUCGAACAUCUUUAUUCAAUUACAGCCAAUAAUAUCACUUUUUGACAAGCACUUUAUGCAGCUCAUGGAUAAUGUGCUCCCUCAAAGAAUUACGAGGCAUACACAAUUGUUUAUCCUUAAACAAAUAUCCAUCUUGAAUGAGAAAGUCUUUCAUAUUUUAAUAAUCGAUACACCAAUCCCAAAUGUACGAAACAGUAACUUCAUUCACGAGUGUUGCUAGUAAGGUUGCUUGCUUACUUAGAACGUUCACAAUUGUAUUCUGCUACUUAGACUUGUGUUUCAGAACAAACUUAUGCUUAUAGCUCACCCAUCUCACAUGUAUCUUCUCAGAUUUUCUUGGCUGUUAAAGCACUUUAAUACUUGAUGGUCAGUGUAAAGCACAAACUCCUUUUGAAUCAAGUAAUGCUCAAAUGACUUCAAUAUUUUAAAGACCGCAUAAAAUUCAUGGUCAUACAUAGAUCACUUCUAUUGUGCUUUAUUCAACUUCUCACUCAAAUAAUUAAUUGGUUAGACUUUUUGAGAAAGGACAGUCCCUACACCCUUACUAGAAGCAUUACACUCGACUUUAAAUGACUUGUCAAAGUUUGAUACGGUCAACACAAGAGUAGUAUACAACUUCUCCUUUAAUAAAAAUAAAACUCGCCUCUUGGUCUUCCCCUCAUUUGAACUUUCUUUCUUCAAACACUCUAAUUGGUGCAGUUUUAGUGUUAAAAUUGUGAAUGAAUCUCCUAUAAGAUAUCACUAGCCCAUAAAAACUCCUAACUUUACCCACAGUUUUAGGCAUAGGCCAUCCUAUAAUAGCUUGUAUCUACUCAAUAUCUCUAAGUCCAUCUGUACCAACUAUAAAACCUAAAAACUCCAUAUUAAUACAAAGAAAGCUAUAUUUGUUCAGGUUAAUGUAAAGUUUAUUUUUCCACAAUAACUCCAUAAGGAUUCUCAAAUAUGUGUCUUGAUACUAAUAGAAUAAAUCAAAAUAUCAUCAAUAUAUAUCAUAAUAAAUUUACAGGAAAAAGGUCUGAAAACUUGAUUCAUUAAAUGCAUAAAGGUACUUGGCACAUUCGAUAACCUGAAUUGCAUCACGAACCACUUAUACAAUCAUUCUUUCAUUUUUAGCGUUGUUUUCUGUUCAUCUCCAAGCCUAAUUCUUAUUUGAUGAUACUUGCUGCAUAAGUCUAUCUUUGGCACCAUCUGACUAACUAGUAAAUCUUGAAACACCGAAAUAGAAAAUCCAUACUUUAUAGUAAUCACAAAUAAAUCUUUUUUGCAACAACUUAUUAACUUGUUCUUGUAAGAUUGCAUGCUCGUGAGGAUUCAUAUGAUAAUGAGGCAUGUUAGGUAUACUCGUACCAAAAACUAGGUCCAUAUAAUGGUGUAUAUCUUAUAAAAACGUAAGCCAUCUGACAUUUCAAAGGGUGUAAUAUCAGUAAACUUAGCCAAUAAAGGUUGCACUUUGUCAUGAAUAGUCUUUACCUCAAAUUCUUCCUCUUUUUACAGCUUUUGGCAACCAUCACAAUCAGCCUUCAAAUAACUCUUUACAAUGGCUAGAAAGUUCUUCCCUUGAGCCUUAGAAUUCUUUUUCUAGUUCUUUUAAAGGUCCUUAACGAACCUUUUUGCUAUUUCACUAAAAUUCAUAUAUAUUAUCCCUUGUUUUAUGAAUUGCAUCAAUAUUGAAUUGCCAAGGUCUACCAAGUAAAAGAUAACAGGCAUCCGCAUCCACCAUGUCACAUACCACGUCACUUUUAUAGAUCUUCCCAAUAGAGAAUAGAACACGACAAACCUCUAUUACUUGUGUUUUUGUCUCUUUCUUUAUUUACCUUAUGUUGUAAAGUAUUAGAUGUUUUUCUGUUAACAGUUCUAUCAUGUCAACCAGUGCCUUUUAAACUAUGUUCUCGCUAUUGUCACUAUUGAUUAUCAUGUUGCACACCUUAUCAUUGGUGAUGCCAUGUUCCUAAAAAUCUUAUUACGUUGGUUAUCCUUAUCAAGCUUCACUGCUAAUAAAAUCUUAUGCACAAUACAACUCAAUAUCUCUCAUUCAUCUAUACUUAACUCUACUGUUUCUUUGUCAUCUCUAUUCUCAAUAGUGUUUGUCUUUAUCUUGUUGGCUUUAGCUUUUACCAAAUUUAAAACUUUACUAUGACAUUCAUUUGAUUGAUGCUUGUGCCUUAUACUUUAAACACUUGUUUAGCAUAGGCUUUGCAUAUAGAUUAUUUUGAGAUUGUUGUCGGUACUGCUACUGUUAGGAUGGCUGCUACUGUCUAGGAAGCUGCUACCUUGUUUAUUACUAUUGUGGUUGUUAUGAUUGACUACUUUCAGCCAUGACUUCUGUUUAUUCUCAACCCCACCAUUAAUCGACUUAUUCUGCAGACCAGGGAAUUAAUACUGUUGCACUUCAGAAACAACACACUUAUUUCAUUCUUUCUAUUUCUUUGCCCUUGCAACCAUCAUGCCCAUAUUCCAGAGUGGCUUUAUGAUCUCAUCUCGAAGCUUUUGUUCCAAUUCGCCAAUAUACUUUGCAAUUGUUCUAGAUUUCGACUCAUUCAUAUUUUUUUUGGCAUUUGUACUCUGCUGGCAAGAAAUACUCUUCCAUUAUCCUUUGCAUUCUAGCCCAUGAUCUGAUCAUUAGCUUUCCUGCAAUUCUUAUUCAAUUUUCUAUGUGUUGCUGCCAAGUGAAUGCUAAUGCCUUUCAACUUAAACGCCACUAGCUUAACCCACUUCUAUUAGGGGAUUUGCAAAUACAUGAAGAAAUUCUCUACUUAUGUUAUCCAAUCUAAAAAUUCUUCAAUAUGCAUCCACCAUAGAAAUCUGGAUGAUCUACACUGAUCUAGUAAUCUGAAUUCUUUCCACGCCUUCUUUCAUAAUCGACAAACUCGUCUUCUUCCUAAGCACUUACAAAGGAAUCUUUGAAUGCACGAGGAUUCAUCUUACGAGACGUAAAUAUUGAGGCAUUACACUGCGAUUGGUGCCCUAAGGCAUUAUUUCAUGAUUAUAUCCUUGCAGUAUCUUCUCAUGGUUAUAAUUUUGAGAUUGUUCUUCACACUUGACUCCUUAAAGUAUUUUCUUGCUAUUAUCCCUAAGAUGUUGAUCUCUCUUCCUAUUUAUAUCAUCAAUAGAAAGCCCAAGACCCUCAAUUGCUGGCUUUAUCACCUUCAUUCUCAGGUUAUCCUCAAUGGCUUGCAAGGCUGCUUCUCUGGCCAUCUAUCUAAUAUCCUCCAUAGACUGUGCUUGUAUAUGAGGUUAUGGGUUUGAUUUAUCUUGUCGUAAACUUCAAAACGAUAUAUUAUACGCCCAAAAUGAACACCUAUAGUUUAAGUUAUAACCUUCAAUGUUUAUCCUGCUCAUCUUAAGCAACCAUCCUACAUCGUUAAUAACGUUUGAGUUUGAGAUGUUGAAUAUUUAAUUUCAUAGGAGUAAAGAGAGGAAAGAAAAGUACGCUAAAUUCAGGCUAUUUUACUAUUAAAUGACAAUUUAAAAUAAAUUUUGUUUUAAAAAUUUUAUUAAAUAAAGGUAGGAAAUUGUUCAAAAUAUGUUUUAAGUAUAAACUCGUCCAUUUGAAGUAAUAGUGCAUGAUUAGCAAUAGUUAAAUCAACUUAUUAUGAUGAGACUCGUCAAAUUUAAUAUUUAAAAAACUUGUCAUCUCAGCACAGAGCACACAACUCUCCAUUUAGGCAGCGUUUACAUUUUGCAUUGAAGUGAGAAUCCCGAGGAGUGAGAAUCCUGGGAUUAGGAGUGUGGAGUGGAAGUGGAAGUAUGUUGUUUAGUUACACUGGAAUGAGAGCAUAAUAUUGAAAUUAGAAUCCAAUUUAUGUGUUUACAUAGUCUUGGAUUGGGAGUAAAUAAUUUCAAAUUAUAGUUUUACCCUUAUUUAAGAAUUGUAGUUUUCAAUUACAAAAAUAAUAAAAAUAUAUUUGAAAAAUAAAAUAUUUAUUUUAUUAUAUUUGUACAUUAAUGAUAAUUAUUAAUAUUCUUAAUUAUGUAAAUCAAAAAUUUUAUUAAUUUUUUUUAAUUAUGUAAAUAAAAAAUUAUUAUUAAGAGCAAUACAAAUGAAACAUUAUCAUUAAUAAUAUAAUACAAAAUUAAUAUUUUCUUAGAAUAAAAUAUUGAUUAUUAUUAAUUACUAAUAUUAAAUAAAUAUAAUACUAUUAUUUUUAAAUAAAUAUAACCAUAUUAUAUUUUCAAAUAAAAAUAGUGUAUAGUAAUAUUAUUUAUUCUCUAUGAGUAUAAUAAUAUUAUUUUUAAGUAAUUGUAAUUUAGAAUAAAUGUAAAUUAUUAUUUUUAAUAAAUAUAAUUUAUAAAAUAAUAUAAUCAUAUUAUUUAAAUAAAUAUGAUAUUAUUUAUUUUAGCUUAUUAAAUAUAAGAGUAAAAAGGGAAGAGGGGGAAGUGGAUUCCCACUUCCACCUCCCCCAUGGGAGUGGGAAUCCCACUCUCCACUCCAAAGAAAGGCGGGUUCCACGGAGUGAGAUUCCCACUCCCCCUUAAAAUUGGUAAGCAAACGUUGGAGUGGGAGAAAUCCAAACUCCUCACUCCCACCUCAGGAAAUAAACACUGCAUUAGUAGAGUAUGAGUGGUUGGCAAACACCAUGGCUUACACAAAUAUUUCUAAUAUUUGAAUCCUCAAACCCUCCUUAAAAAAAAAAAAAAACAGUGUCUUUUGUGAAUCAUUGCUAACGGACUAGCCCAGUUGAGUACUUUUCAAUUGAUGGGCUAUAAUCGCCAAUUUCUAAAUAGAACAAAUUUGUACAGGCAAACUAGUAGAUUGAAUGACAACCGACAACAUAUGACAUAAUUAACUUAUCUAAGAAGAAUUAAAAAAACCAAAAAAAUACAGUGGAUGAACAUAAGACUCUUGUGUCAAGUUUUUGAAUUCGUCAAUCAUGUAUAGGCAAACCAACCUUAAGAUAAGUGGGGUUCACAAGAAAAUAAUUUGAAAAAAUAAAGAGAAACUUAUUUGAGUUAUUUAUUACUUUAUGUUAAGUCUAUUAAAAUAUCUUGUUAAAUUUAUAAAAAUAGUAAACUCAUAAAUCUAUCAAAUUUAAACUUUCAAUUUGAGAAUUAUAAAAGCGCACACUUUAAUUUUAAAAAAUAAAAUCCUACUGUAACUCAUAUGGGUGGUUUUACUAGUAUUUAAAUUAGUCCUAUUAAAUUUAUUAAAAUAACCUUUAAAUAAAUUUUAGUUUUUACUUCUCGUCAUUAUAUAAUUUAGUCCCCAAUAAAUUAUUUUACUACAUUAAUGUCAAUGAUCCUUCAACUUCCUUAAAAUUGAUGUUUAGCCAUAUUGACACAUUCACUCUUACCACUUUUUUCAGAACCCAUAUGCAUUAUUCUAAUCAGACAUUAAUUUAGCUACUGACAAAUUAAGUCUAUCGAUAGAUUUCCAACUUCACUACUAAUUGAGAGAUAUUUAUUCCUCGAGAAGGUUUUUGGUAUUUAAUCAAUAUUUGCCACGUGUAUGAACAUUAUCAUAAUUAGUUGAAACAUACACUUGAUAAAGAGGGAAUGGAAAAGGAACAAUAUUAUUUUAGGAGCUAGCCCUCAAGAAUUUUUCUUACUCUAUCCAUAUGAGUGAAGGAAAUGUCUACCUCCACCCAAUUAUAUAUUAUUGGACGAGGAGUUGUUGAGUCGCCACUAGGGAUUCGUUGGUCCAUUUACCACCACUUUGUAUUCUAAAAUUUUGGUUGAAUUUAUUCAACAGCAACAAGAAUCGUAUAAAUAGGAAAAAAAUACAUUCAAAUAAUAUUCCAUGACUCUAUUUCUUCAAUUUCAGGAACAAUGGUGGAAUCAUUUUUACCGCUUGAAAAACUUACGAAAAAAUUAGGGUCUCGCGCUUUCGAAGAACUUUUAUUGUUCUACUGUGUCAAAAAUGAUGGAGAAAAGUUGAAGGAGACCUUAACCACGGUCAAAUGUGUGGUUUUGGAUGCCGAGGAAAAGCAAGUCCAUAAUCACCAGUCAAGAGAUUGGCUGGAAAAGCUUAAGGAUGCAUGUUAUGAUGCAGAAGAUUUGCUCGAUGACUUCGAUGUGGACGCUCUACGAAGGCAGGUCAUGAAGCAAAGAAGCACUGGAAGGAAUUUGCGUAACUUUUUUGGGAGCUCAAAUCUGAUAGCUUUUCGAUGUAGAAUGGAUCAUCAAAUCAAGAAAAUCAUAGAGAGGUUUGAUGAGAUUGCAAACAUGAUGCAUAAGUUUAAUCUCACUCCAGGACUUGAUGAUCGUAGAGGGCGAGCUGUGCAAGAGAGGGAACCUUCUCACUCGUUUGUACGUCCAUCAGAAAUUAUUGGAAGAGAUGAAGAUAGAGAAAAGACUAUUGAACUAUUGAUGAAAACAAGCAAUGGCGACAGUGAAACGGUGUCUGUUAUUCCUAUCGUGGGACUUGGAGGUCUGGGCAAAACUGCACUUGCAAAAUUAGUGUACAAUGAUCAAAGGGUAGAAGAGCAUUUUGAGUUGAAAAUCUGGAUAUGUGUUUCUGAGGAUUUUGGUGAGAGACAAAUUAUGACAAAGAUUAUCAAGUCGAUAACUGGUCGAAACCAAGGUGACUUGGAUACAGAGCAAUUGCAACAAAUCAUGCGAAGUUGUUUGAAUGGUAAGAGAUAUUUAUUUGUUAUGGAUGAUAUAUGGAACGAAGAUCCCAAAGUAUGGGAUGAAUUGAAAAGUUUAUUGUUGGGAGGUGAUAGGGGAAGCAAAAUUCUGGUAACCACACGUAGCAAUAAUGUUGCUUCAAUCAUGGGCACAAUGAGAGGUACUGGUGGUUACAAAUUAGAAGGUCUUCUGUACGAGAGUUGCUUGUCCUUGUUUAUGAAAUGUGCAUUUAAAGAAGGGCGAUAUAAACAUCCAAACCUCGUAAAAAUUAGGAAAAAAAUUGUGAGAAAAUGUGGAGGAAUUCCUUUGGCAGUGAGAACACUAGGAAGUCUAUUAUAUGACUCAACGGAUGAACAUUAUUGGGAAUAUGUGAGGGAUAAUGAGAUAUGGAAGUUAGAGCAAAAGGAAAAUGACAGUUUACCUGCUCUAAGGUUAAGCUACGAUCUGCUACCGCCUCACCUGAAACAAUGUUUUGCUUACUGUUCAAUCUUUCCCAAGGAUUAUGAAUUUUCAAGUUUUCGUUUGGUACAAUUCUGGAUGGCUCAUGGUCUUCUCCAAUCCCCUAAUGAGAAUGAAGAAUCAGAAAAUAUUGGUAUGCGAUACUUGAAGGAAUUACUGUCAAUAUCUUUCUUCCAAGAUUUAUCUGAUGAAGGAAUUGGGAUAUUCUUUGAAGGAUUGGGGAUGUUCUUUUUCAAAAUGCACGACCUCAUCCAUGAUCUCGCACAGCUAGUGCCCAAAGGUGAAUUCCUAAUAGUGGACACAAGACCUCGUCUAUGAUGUUGAUCUCUCUUCCUACUUAUAUCAUCAAUGGAAAGCCCAAGACCUUUAAUUGCUGGCUUUAUCACCUUUAUUCUCAGGUUACAAGCUUCCUCAAUGGCUUGCAAGGUUGCUCCUCUGGCCAUCUAUUUGAUAUCCUCCAUAGACUAUGCUUGUAUAUGGUUCUGGUUUUGAUUCAUUUUGUCGUAAACUUCGAAACGGUAUAUUAUAUGCCCAAAACGAAUACUUGUAGUUCAAGUUAUAACCUUUAAUGUGUAUCUAGCUCAUCCUAAGCAACCAUCCUACAUCGUUAUUAACGUCUGAGUUUGAGGUGUUGAAUAUUUAAUCUUAUAGGAGUAACGAUAGGAAAGAAAAUUAGGCUUAAUUCACGCUAUUUUAAUAUUAAAUGACAAUUUAAAAUAAAUUAUGUUUUAAAAUUUUUAUUAAAUAAAGGUAUGGAAAUUGUUCAAAAUAUGUUUUAAGUAUAAACUGGUCCGUUUGAAGUAAUAGUGUGUGACUGGCAAUAGUUAAAUCAACUUAUUACGAUAAGACCCGUCAAAUUUAAUAUUUAAAAAACUCGUCAUCUCAUCAUAAAACACACAACUCUCCAUUUAGUAGAGUAUGAGUGGUUGGCAGACACCAUGGCUUACACAAAUAUUUCUAAUAUUUGAAUCCUCAAACCCUCCUAACAAUGCCACCAGUGUUUUUUCUAAGUCAUUGCUAACGGACUCGCCUCAAUUGAUGGGUCAUAAUUGCCAAUUUCUAGAUAGAACAAAUUUGUACAUGCAUACUAGUAGAUUGAAUGACAACUGACAGCAUAUGAUAUAAUUAACUUAUUUUCGAAAAAAAUAAAAAAACAAAAAAAAAUACAGUGGAUGAACAUAAGACUCUUGUGUCAAGUUUUCGAAUUCCUCAAUCAUGUACAAGUAGAUCAACCUUAAGAUAAGUGGGGUUUACAAGGAAAUAAUUUUUAAAAAAUAAAGAGAAAAUUAUUUGAGUUAUUAAUUACUUUCUGUUAAGUCUAUUAAAAAUUUAUAAAAAUAGUAAACUCAUAAAUCUACCAAAUUUAAAUUUUCACUUUGAGAAUUAUAAAAGCGUACACUUUAAUUUUAAAAAAUAAAAUCCUACAGUAACUCAUAUGGGUGGUUUUAUUAGUAUUUAAAUUAGUCCUAUUAACUUUAUUAAAAUAACCUUUAUGAAUUCAUUAACCUAUAAAAUUUUAGUUUUCACAUCUUGUAUUAUAUAAUUUAGUCCCCGACAAAUUAUUUUACUGCAUUAAUGUCAAUGGUCUUUCAACUUCCUUAAAAUUGAUGUUCAGUUAUAUUGACACAUUCACUAUUGCCACUUUUUUGAAAACUCAUAUGCAUUAUUAUAAUCAGACAUUAAUUUAGCUACCGACAAAUUAAGUCUAUCGAUAGAUUUCUAACCUCACUAAUAUUUGAGAGAUAUUUAUUCCUCGAGAAGGUUUUUGGUAUUUAUUCAAUAUUUGCCACGUGUAUGAACAUUAUCAUAAUUAAUUGAAACAUACACUUGAUAAAGAGCGAAUGGAAAAGGAACAAUAUUAUUCUAGGAGCUAGCCCCCAAGAAUUUUUCUUACUCCAUCCACAUGAGUGAAGGAAAUGUCUACCUCCACCUAAUUAUAUAUUGUUGGGCGAGGAGUUGUUGAGUUCCCACUAGGGAUUCGUUGUCUUUUAAAAUUUUGGUUGAAUUUAUUCAACAGCAAUAAGAAUAGUAUAAAUGAAAAAAAAAACAUUCAAAUAAUAUUCCAUGACUCUGUUUCUUCAAUUUCAGGAACAAUGGUGGAAUCAUUUUUGCCGCUUGAAAAACAUAUGGAAAAGUUAGGGUCUUGUGCUUUCGAAGAAUUUUUAUUGUUCUACUGUGUCAAAAAUGACGUAGAAAAGCUAAAGGAGACCCUAACCACUGUCAAAUGUGGUUUUGGAUGCCGAGGAAAAGCAAGUCCAUAAUCACCAAUUGAGAGAUUGGCUGGAAAAGCUUAAGGAUGCAUGUUAUGAUGCAGAAGAUUUGCUGGAUGACUUCGAGCUGGAAGCUCUACGAAGGCAGGUCAUGAAGCAAAGAAGCAUUGGAAGGAAUUUGCGUAACUUUUUUGGGAGUUCAAAUCUGAUAGCUUUUCGAUGUAGAAUGGGUCAUCAAAUUAAGAAAAUCAGAGAGAGGUUUGAUGAGAUUGCAAACAUGAAGGGUAAGUUUAAUCUCACUGAACGACUUGACGAUCAAAAGCGAGUUGUGCACAAAGAGAGGGAACCCACUCACUCGUUUGUGCUUCCAUCAUCUAUUAUUGGAAGAGAUGAAGAUAGAGAAAAGAUUAUUGAACUGCUGAUGCAAACAAAUGACGGCGAAAGUGAAACUGUGUCUGUUAUUCCUAUUGUGGGACUUGGAGGUCUGGGCAAGACUGCACUAGCAAAACUGGUGUACAAUGAUCAAAGGGUAGAAGAGCAUUUUGAGUUGAAAAUCUGGAUAUGUGUUUCUGAGGAUUUUGGGGAGAGGCAAAUUAUGACAAAGAUUAUCAAGUCAAUAACUGGUCAAAACCGAGGUGACUUGGAUACACACCAAUUGCAACGAAUCUUGCGAGGUUGUUUGAAUGGCAAGAGAUAUUUAUUUGUUAUGGAUGAUGUAUGGAACGAAGAUCCCAAAGUAUGGGAUGAAUUGAAAAUUUUAUUGUUGGGAGGUGCUAAGGGAAGCAAAAUUCUGGUAACCACACGCAGCAAUAAUGUUGCUUCAAUCAUGGGCACAAUGAGAGGUACUGGUGGUUACAAAUUAGAAGGUCUUCCGUACGAGAGUUGCUUGUCCUUGUUUAUGAAAUGUGCAUUUAAAGAAGGGCGAUAUAAACAUCCAAACCUCGUAAAAAUUGGGAAAGAAAUUGUGAGAAAAUGUGGAGGAAUUCCUUUGGCAGUGAGAACACUAGGAAGUCUAUUAUAUGACUCAACGGAUGAACAUUAUUGGGAAUAUGUGAGGGAUAAUGAGAUAUGGAAGUUAGAGCAAAAGGAAAAUGACAUUUUACCUUCUCUAAGGUUAAGCUACAAUCAAUUACCGCCUCACCUGAAACAAUGUUUUGCUUACUGUUCAAUCUUUCCCAAGGAUUAUGAAGUUGCAAGUGUUAUUUUGGUUCAAUUUUGGAUGGCCCAUGGUCUUCUCCAAUCCCCUAAUGAGAAUGAAGAACCAGAAAAUAUUGGUAUGCGAUACUUGAACGAAUUACUGUCAAGAUCUUUCUUCCAUGAUUUUACUAAUUAUGAGAUGCCUGAAGGAUUUGAGAUAUUCUUUUUCAAAAUGCACGACCUUAUGCAUGAUCUUGCACAGUUAGUGGCCAAAGUUGAAUUCCUAAUAGUGAGCUCUGAUAGUCAAUCUAUUCCCAAAAGAGUCUGUCAUUUAUCAUUUGUUGGUGGUAAUAUAUCAAGAAAUGAUUUUUCAAGCCUUUUAUCUGAUUUACGUCGUUUAAGAACCAUUUUGUUUUCAAUUAAUGAUGAGAAGACAAGCCAAUCAUUUUUGACCUCGUGCAUCUCAAAGUCGCAGCUCCUGAGAGUGCUAGAUUUAAAGGACUCUGCUAUUGAGGUUUUGCCAAGAGAGAUAGGUAAUUUGAAGCACAUGAGGUACCUUGAUCUGUCAAGAAAUUAUGAAAUCCGGAAACUUCCAAACUCCAUUUGCGAGCUGCAAAGUUUAGAAACACUAUUUCUUGAUGAUUGUCUGGAGCUAGAAGAGUUGCCUAAAGACAUAAGGUACCUUGUUAGUCUCAGAGUGUUUAUGCUAACCACAAAACAAAAGUCUUUGCAAGAGAGUGGAAUAGGGUGUUUGACUUCUCUUCGCAGUUUGAUGAUUGUUAACUGCAUGAAUUUAGAAUAUUUGUUCGAGAAUAUAGGUCAUCUAAGCGUCCUUCAAUCAUUACUUUUAGUUAAAUGUCCUCGUCUAAUCUCAUUGCCACCAGCUGUGAAGUACCUCAGCUCAUUAGAGAUACUGGCUUUGAUCCAGUGUGAAAGCCUUGAUCUUAAUCUGAACAUAGAAAUGGAGGGGGAAGGAAGUCAUCGUGAUCGCAAUAACACAAGGCUUCACCUUCGGAAGCUUACCGUUUUGGGACUAACACUGUUAUUGGAAUUGCCACAAUGGCUUCUUCAAGGUUCUACUAAAACUUUACAAAACUUGGUUAUUAUAGGGUGUCCCAACUUUAUGGCACUCCCAGGGUCACUGAGAAAUCUCGAAGCACUUGAAACAUUGGCCAUUGGAGCAUGUCCUGCACUGAGUGAAAGAUGCAAACCACAAACAGGUGAAGAUUGGCCCAAGAUUGCAGAUAUCCCUGAGAUUUUACUUGACGACAAGAUGAUUAAAUCAAGUGAUAAUUAGGUGUGGAUUAAUCUCUCCUCUUUUUAAUUUCCACUUUUCAUUCAGCUUCGUAAUUUUUAAUUUCUCAUACAGCUAUGCCGUUUGUAGUUUACUGCUCUGUUAUGUUUACCAAACAAAUGCUCGUUGAAUGUUUAGUUAGUUAGUUCAUAUUUGUUCUAAAUAAUUUCUAAUAUAUGAUUGGUUUGUUAAUACAAACGCAGACAUAAUAUUUUGAAAUCAAAGCGUUCCUGGGGUUAUAUCUGUUUCUAAAUCCAAACGGGUUCAGGGUUUUUCAAAAAGGAAAUUAUAAUGAGAUUUUUCUUAAUUACCCUGUUAUCUUCAUAUGGAACCUUAUAGCUUCUGAAAUUUCAAUCUUUGUUAAUAUUUAACUCGUGCCGAAACAUCUAACAAUUCAUUCUAUAUUUUCUUUUAUUUUCUUUUCUUUUUCCCAAAAUAUUUCAGCUUUCUUUGGAGAGGUUCAACCAAGCUGCAGAGACAGUGAAAUUAUUACUGUAACGUUGUCCAGAUCAGAGGUUCAACGGUUUUAAUGUUGUGUUUAAAAUUACAAGUAUUAUACAUUCAUUAUCUGUGAUUAUGUAAUUUGCUGAUGAUAAGUACAUUGAGUGAUGUAUAUAUAUGUGCCUGUGUGAUCAUUACUAAUAACCUUGAUCGUAUGUUUUUAAUACCAAUAAUAAUGUUUCAGAAUUUCUCAAAUUCUCAUGAUGUACAAUUCAUGUUUAUACUAUGUUUCUUUCUCCUCCCUGAGUAGUCAGUAGUAUAAUUUGCAUUGACUGCAUUUUUUGGCUCUACACAAUUUGCUGAUUUUUUUGAAGGAUAUUGAUGCGUUGUGUAAUGGAAUGAUGUUGUCUGCAUCUUGUGCUUUCUGAUUGAUGACUUACAUUUGCCAGGAAGAAAUGAAACCGAAUAGGCUUCUUAAUUUUAUCUAUUUAGUUUUUUGAAUGGUAACCUUUUUAUGAUAUAAAUCGCAUAUUAAUUAGUAGCAGUUGGCAUACUAAUUAGAUAUUGCAUUUUGGCCUUGAAGUGAAAUUAGAGAGCAUGUUUCUUGAGUUUUUUUUUUUUUUUUUUUUAAACAAGACACUUGAAGAAGGAAGUUUAUGUUUUUGCAAUGCUUCUUUCUCUAUAUAAAAUGACUAAUUGGAAAGAAUAUUUAUUAUAAUAGAACCUGGAAUUCCUAUGUAUUUUAGGAGGAAAAUUUAUUGUACUACCACAUCAUCAGGUUACCAUUCAAUGAGCACACGUUCUUCAUUUUCUCCUCUAUUUUUAAUUUCCCAUUGUUAUCCAGACUUUUAUAUGGUAAAAUUAAGAAAUUUAUUGAUUGACUACAUUUUUAAGUUCUUUACAAUUUGUAGAUUAUUUUAAGAACAAUUAGCUACUGCUGCGUUCUGAUGUAAUGUCGGUGUCUAGCAUGCUUUUACCCAAGAUUCAACUAAUUAGAGAUAUGCUGGUACAUUAAAUUAUCCACUUUUAUUAUAUUAAUAUUGGAAAGCAAUCUGAAUGUUGAAACGGCACCGUUUCAGCUCAACCCGCUAUAUGUGUGCGUAUAUUAACAUAUUUAUGCCAUACAGAUAAUUUGAUUGGUCGAUUAAUAUACGUAGUUAGAAAAUUCUAAUCAUCCUAUUAGGUUACAUCACAGUUAUUUCAGAGAAUAACGGGUUUCUAAAAGCUAUUUUUGCUACUAAUUUCUUUGUUAAUGUUCAGGCAGAAAGAAUGGUAAAUGAAUCUUAAUUCCUUUUUCUUUAAAAAUUGCCAAAAAAUUCCCCAGGUUAUUGAGUCUAUGUUAAAGUCCCUUGUGUACUUCAGGUAGCUCUAAGUCAAAAUUAACUAGCACAUUUGCGUAAUCUUGGCAUAAUAUUCAAAGUAGCUGAGGCAGUUUAUGCAGCUAUUUGUACAAUAUUUACUUUUCAUCUUCUUCAUUUCUACAGUCACGCAGGUUUUAUUUAUUUAUUUCUUUUAUAUAAUAAAGGAUGGAUAAAGUUUAAAUCAAAAUUUUCAGCUCACAAUUCGAACUCAAGAGAACAGCAAGUAGCUUGAAAAAUAAAAAUCACUCGGUUAAAUGCCUGGGGCAAUUGUCACAUAGGUUGAAUUAAUGAAAAGAUGCAAUAAAUUUAUUAACAACACAAGCUUGAAUCAAUUUGUCACACUCUCUCUUUCAUUAUUAAUCAGACGAGUAAAAAACAAAAAAUGACAUCUCACAGUCCUGUCUAGUCAAUGGAACCCAAUUUUUUGAGACGAGCGCUGCAUCUUCUCGAACCACCCAACAUCGUCCCUGCCGUCAUGUUUGGUGAAAAAUCAACCUUUAUUUCCUCACACGAGGCUUUGAGACGAUAUCUGGUGUCUGCAGUCUCCGCAAUUGCGUCAACUUCGAUCGUAAAGUUCACAGCUCCGAUUGACGUCCAUUCUUCAACAAUGGCAUCCGCAACAGAGGAAUUGAUGCUCGCCGAGGCAACAUCAACAGUCGCAUUAAUCAGCGUCGUGUGCUCGUGCUCAAAAUACUUAGGAUAUAAAGUAACCAUGGAGGAUAUAUUUUGAUCCAUGUACAAAAGUGAAACGUCAACGUCUCCCAUACCCAGGGACUGAACAUAACACCCAUACAGGCGCCUGCAACUCUCAGGAUUUCUAACAGAGAAUAUAACGCUCCAAUUGGCUGUUAUAUGUUGAAAAGUCAGCAAUCAAAGCCAACUUUUCAAAAAGAAACACACAGCUAGCAUACAAGCUUUGGAGAAAAUACAAAACGUGUUGAAACCAUUGGCCAAAGUUGGCACCGACCCUUGACAAUUAAUUGGCAAGUUGAUGGAGGAGCCACACGCAUUUCUUUUGUUUUUCAAGUCGGUGCCAAAUUGCAAGACUUUUGCCAACUACUUGAAGACUUUUUGCAGUGAAGCUCAACUAUAAAUAGAGCUUCAUUCAGAGAGAAAUUUGCAUCCCAAAAUUGUUAAACUUAUAAGUUUCUAAGCUUUUGAGAGAAGUGAGAGAAGUGAGAGAAGUGUGUCUGGGGAAUUUAUCUUUCUUGCAGAGUGUGAGAGUACUGGGUAUAUUUGGGAUCUGGGAAGUGAGAUUCGUUACUCAAAUAUUGUACUCUAUUAAUUGUUAAAUAAACAAUUAUUCUUUCUUGCCUCCGUGGAUGUAGGUUUAAUUACCGAACCACGUAAAUUUUGUGUCCUUUAUUUUUUAAUAAUUAUUUGGUGCGCUUGAUUCCGCAUUCCGCGCACAACAAGUGGUAUCAGAGCCGACGGUUCGUACUUGGGGGAUACGGUACUGUUCACGUAUACGGUACUAUUUACGCAUACGGUAUUGUUCACAUAUGAUACUGUUCACAUACGGUACUGUUCACGAAUACGGUGGAGACGGCCAUUUGUACUUGAGAGACAAUCUAUUGUAAGUGGUGUGUAUUUUUGCAUGUCUAGGAAAGUUCUGUAAAAAAAAGGCAAUAAGAGUCUAAGGAUUCUGGUUUUUAAUUGGGACCGAGUUCCCGUCCAGUCUUUUGGGAACUUUCUUGGUGCAUUUAUUCACGCGAAAUUAACAUCAUAGAGGUUGUUUUUCAAGUGGAAAUAGUUUGUUGAGAAAAUGGUAGAAGGUGAAACUUCCAGAAUUAUGGAGAGAUCUACCGAGACUAUUUCAGGAGACACUUCAAGUGGGAGGCGAGAUUUGUCAAAUUGCUAUUCAGCACCUGUUAUAGGAGGCCAGAAGAACGAUGUUGAAAAGUUUGAUGGGAAAAUCAAUUUCGGCAUGUGGAGGCGCGAAGUUAUGGAUGCCCUUAUUCAAAUCGAUCUCGAUGUUGUUCUGAAAAUAAAAGACACUUAUAUGAUGAAGAAAUUUGGGAUCGUAUGAAUGAAAAAGCAUGUGAUCAGAUUAGAUCUUGUUGGACUAAGGAGGUGAAAUACUUGGUGAAAGAUGAGGAGUGUGCGGUGACUUUGUGGCGUACAUUGGAGGAGAAGUACAUGCUGAAAAGUCCUAAAAAUCGUCUUCAUGCAAUGAACCAAGUAUAUUGUUUUCGAAUGAAGCCUGGAGUGUCAAUGUACGAUCAUGUCUCAAAAUUUGAAAAGUUACUUGCUGAUUUGAAGAAUCUUGAUGAAGAUAUUAAGGAUGAAGUGAAGGCUAUGAUUCUGUUACACUCACUACCAGAGGAAUAUAGCCAUUUUGUGACUACUUUGAUAUAUGGAAAGAGUGUGAUCGUCUUCAAAGAUGUUUGCACAACAUUGACUAACUUGGAGAUUCGAAAUAAUGAUAAAAAUUCUGAACGACUAUCGUCUGAAGCUUUGGUGAGCAGAGAUUGAGCGAUAGAGAAAAAAAAAAAGCGUGGUGGAAAGAAUUCUCUAUCCAAAUCGAGAAGCAGAAAUCUAGCUCGAGAUAAGUGUGCCUUUUGUCAUGAAAAUGGUCAUUGGAGGAAAGAUUUUCCAAAGGCUCAAAAGAGAGAUGGGAAGAAACCAGCAGCAGCAAACAUGGCACGGAAAGAUGAAGACUCUGAUUAUUCACUAAGUAUUACUCCUGCAACAUGCGUGGCUAGUUCGAGCGAGUGGAUACUUGAUUCUGGAGCAACCUAUCAUUUGUGUCCUAUUAAGGAAUGGUUUACGGAUUUUUGUAAUCUAGAAUCCGGUGCAGUUGUGAUGGGGAAUGAUCAACCUUGUCGCACAAUGAGGAUAGGAACAAUUCGGCUCAAAAUGUUUGAUGGAAUAGUCAAAGAACUCAAAGAGGUUAGAUUUGUUCCAGCUUUAAAGAAAAAUCUAAUUUCUGUGGGUGCUUUAGAAGCUAAAGACUACAAGGUUACCAUUGAAGAUGGCAUAAUGAAGUUUACACAUAGGGCUCUGGUGAUUCUGCAAGGGGUUCGGCAUCACAAUCUGUACUAUUUGAAGGGAGGUACAACUGAUGAAGCAAAUGUUGUUGAGGCGCACAGUGACACCAUCAAGCUAUGGCAUGUACAACUGAGACAUGCUGGAGAGAAGUCUUUGCAAACUCUGAUGAGGCAUGAACUCUUAAAAGGUACCAAAACCUGUAAAUUAAAUUUCUGUGAGCAUUGUGUAGUAGGCAAAAAAACAAGGGUCAAGUUUGGUACAGCUAAUCACGAUACUCGUGAGAUCCUUGAAAAUGUUCAUAGUGAUGUAUGGGGACUAACCAAGACUGCAUUAAUUGGUAUAAGCCAUUAUUUUGUUACAUUUGUUGAUGAUUUCUCUAGACGUGUGUGGGUGUACACCAUGCGAGCAAAGGAUGAGGUUAUAGAGAUUUUCGUGAAAUGGAAGAAAUUGGUGAAGACUCAAACUGGCAGAAAAAUCAAAGUAUUACGAUAUGAUAAUGGGGGUGAAUAUACUUCUGAUCCAUUCUUGCAAGUAUGCCAAAACGAGAUUAUUAAAAGACAUUUCACAGUGAGACAUACUCCGCAAUAGAAUAGUGUGGCUGAGCGUAUGAAUCGUACUUUACUGGAGAAGGUACGGUGUAUGUUAUCUAAUGUUGGUUUAGAUAAAAAGUUUUGGGCUGAAGCUGUGAGUUACGCAAGUCACUUGAUAAACCGGUUGCCUUCUGCUGCAAUUGGAGGUAAAACUCCUAUGGAAAUGUGAUCUGGAAAACAUGCACAAGACUAUGAUUCCCUUCGUAUAUUCGGGUGUCCAGCUUAUUAUCAUGUCAAAGAUGGUAAACUGGAUCCUCGUGCUAGAAAAGCUAUCUUUGUGGGAUUCAAAGGUGGAGUAAAAGGCUUCAAGCUUUGGGAUCUCGAAGAUAAAAAGUUUGUGUGUAACAGAGAUGUCACAUUUGAUGAAGCUUCAAUGAUAAAAGCUUCAGGUUCUCAGUAGGUGGAGAACAAGACCAAAGAGGUAUUGCAGCGGGUGGAGUUUGAUGCAACUCCAUAUGUACCAGUUAGUUUUACAUCAAAGAAUGGUUCAACUAUGGAGGUGAUACAUAGAGUUGAAGAAGAGAUUGUUUCUUCUGAUGUCCAACAAAGUGAAGAAACAAUUGAUGAUGUAGAUAAUGAUGAUUUUAUAGCAACAAAGAGGCCAAGAAAAGAGAUAAAGAAACUCGGAUGACUUACUAAAGAUACGGUGGUAGCCUAUGCACUUCCAGUUAUUGAUGAUGACAUUCCUAACACUUUCGGUGAAGCAUUACGCUGCAGUGAAAGUGAUCAGUGGAAGUUAGCCAUGGAGGAAGAGAUGAAAUCUCUCCAUCAAAACCAGACUUGAGAACUUGUAAAGUUACCAAAAGGGAAAAUGGCUAUUGGCAAUAAAUGGGUCUACACCAAAAAGCAAGGAUCUCCGAAUCAAACAACUCCUCGAUACAAGACAAGGCUCGUGACAAAAGAUUUUGCUCAAAAGGAAGGUAUUGACGACAAUGAAGUUUUCUCUCCAGUUGUAAAACAUACUUCCAUUCGUAUCCUACUUGCCUUAGUUGCAGAAUAUGAGUUAGAGUUGGCUCAAUUGGAUGUUAAGACGACGUUCUUACAUGGAGAUUUGAAUGAGGAAAUCUAUAUGAUUCAGCCUUGUGGUUUCAAAGUUGCUGGAAAGGAGAAUCAUGUGUGUAGGUUGAUUAAAUCUUUGUACGGACUGAAGCAAUCGCCAAGGCAGUGGUACAUAAGAUUUGAUCAAUUUAUACAAGGGCAGAAAUUCACCAGAAGUGAACACGAUCAUUGUGUUUACUUUAGAAGACUACCAGAUGGAGCUUUCAUUUAUUUGUUACUCUAUGUCGACGAUAUGCUUAUAGCUUCGAAGAAUAGAGAUGAGAUCGAAAGAUUAAAGAAGCAGCUGGCUUCUGAGUUCGAGAUGAAAGACUUGGGUGAUGCACAGAGAAUACUUAGGAUGGAGAUUCAUAGAGACAAGAAGAAUGGGAGCGUAUGGUUGACUCAAAAGUCUUAUUUGAAGAAAGUGCUAGAAAGAUUCGGUAUGGAUGACAAAACUAAACCGAUAUGUACACCUCUAGCUCCUCAUUUCAAAUUAAGCUCUUCUUUAUGUCCUAAAUCUCAAGAGGAGCGCGAUUAUAUGGCUCGUGUUCCAUAUGCUAGUGCUGUGGGUAGUCUUAUGUAUGCUAUGGUAUGCACAAGGCCCGAUAUAUCUCAAGCAGUGAGCGUAGUUAGUAGAUACAUGCAUAAUCCGGGUAAAAAUCAAUGGCUUGCGGUAAAGUGGAUUCUCCGAUAUCUGUAUGGGACAAUUGAUGUUGGUUUAUUGUUCAAGAAGGAUUGUGGUCAAUAAUGUGUUGGGUAUUGUGAUUCUGAUUUUGCUGGAGACCUUGACAAGCGAAGAUCAACAACGGGCUACGUAUUCACAUUGGGUGGAGGUCCGGUUAGCUGGAGGUCGAUUCUACAAUCGACAAUUGCUCUGUCCACUAUGGAAGCAAAGUAUAUGGCAACAACUGAAGCUGUAAAGGAAGUUAUCUGGUUGAAAGGCUUGUUAGGUGAUUUGGGAGUAAUCCAGGAGAACAUUGCAGUCUUCUGUGAUAAUCAAAAUGCGAUACUCCUUGCGAAGAAUCAAACAUAUCACGCUCGAACGAAGCACAUAGAUGUGAAAUAUCAUUAUGUGAGGGAGAUUAUCGAGAGCGGUGAUGUGUUGUUGAAGAAGAUCGAUACAAAAGAUAAUCCAUCAGAUAUGUUGACGAAGGUAGUUUCUGGAGUUAAGUUUCAACAUUGCUUGAAACUAAUUCAAAUCCUUCGAUUGUGUUAAGUUAUGUCCUUUGGAAAUCUUGAAUUACAGUUGGCUUGAUCCCAAAUUUUGGGUACGUAGGCAGUCAUAGAGAUGCAACCACUUUGAGGAUGAUGGUUCGUUGAUAGUCGGCUCAGAUUUGGCUAAAUCUUCGCCGAGGUGGAGAAUUGUUGAAAAGUCAGCCAUCAAAGCCAACUUUUCAAAAAGAAACACACAGCUAGCAUACAAGCUUUGGAGAAAAUACAAAACGUGUUGAAACAAUUGGCCAAAGUUGGCACCGACCCUUGACAAUUAAUUGGCAAGUUGAUGGAGGAGCCACACGCAUUUCUUUUGUUUUUCAAGUUGGCGCCAAAUUGCAAGACUUUUGCCAACUACUUGAAGACUUUUGCCAAAUUGCAGUGAAGUGAGAGAAGUGAGAGAAGUGUGUCUGGGGAAUUUAUCUUUCCUGCAGAGUGUGAGAGUACUGGGUAUAUUUGGGUUUCUAGGAAGUGAGAUUCGUUACUCAAAUAUUGUACUCUAUUAAUUGUUAAAUAAACAAUUAUUCUUUCUUGCCUUUGUGGAUGUAGGUUUAAUUACCGAACCACGUAAAUUUUGUGUCCUUUAUUUUUCAAUAAUUGUUUGGUGCGCUUGAUUCCGCAUUCCGCGCACAAAAUUAUACAACUAGAAUUAUUCGAGAUGUUGAACUUGAAUGGAUGUACACUCAAUGAAUCAACUUUGAACGUUAAAGGUCCGCCAGAGUAUUCUUUUCCAAUAAAGAUAUGGAGACUAAACCAGAUUGCCAAACAUAAUCUAAAGAAAGAGCAGCAAGCUAGUAUGCAAGAACAGAAAAGCUUACAGCAACUAGUAGCAAAGUCCUCGUCCAUUGUCGAAGAUUGUGCUUCUGCACGUUGAUUCCACGUAAUGCUGAGAAUUAACAAAUUCAAAAACUCACCUUUGGAGACUGAAAUAAUAUUUUAACUAGAAUCAACUACUAAAGACUACAAAAGAAAUCUAUUUAUAUUAUUAGCAAUUAUCCUCAAAUAUUUAGGAAAAGGGAAAAAUUUUUCCUACUAACAAUAAGGAAACUGCAACCAAUCUAAAUAGUGAUAAGGAAAGCUAGUCCUAAUCUGCGUUAAUAUAUCUAUAGAGAGAGAGAGAGAACAAAAGUGGACGAAGGUUUAUUAAGAUUGUUGAGGAUUUAAUUUGAACAAAUUGAAUGUUGAUUGUUCAAAUUUUAAACAAAUUUGCGAUACUGAAUCUAAGUUUUGAAGAACACCAAUUAUACAAUUAGGGUGUGUUUGGAACAAGAGAUUAUAGGGUAUUAAAACAUUAUUCACAUUAGCUUAAUACCAAUAUCAUUGGAAAGAAAUUGUAAUGGAUUAAAGAGAGUGUGCUAAUGCGGCAGUUGCCACAUUAAUGUUUUUUUAAAAAUAAUAAUAAGUAAAUAUAACUUUUUAAUUCAAUGUAAUAUUAUAUAAUAUUCAUCUUUCUUUUCUUUUAUUUUUACAUUAUAAUUAUUAAUAUAAACUAAUAAAUUUAUAAUUUUAUUAUUGAUAUUUUAAUUUUUUUAUAUUAAGAAUAUAACUAAAAUAAUAUAUUAUUUAAUUAUAUAAUAAUUAAUAUAUAAAAUUGAUUAAUAUUUAAUAAGUUAAUACAACUAAUAAAAAUACUUAAAUAAUAUAUAAAAAUAAAAAUAUAAGAUAAUAUUACAUUAUUCAAUUAUAUUAUAGUAAUUAAUCUAUAAAAUUGAUUAUUAUUUAACAAUUUAGUAUAAAUAAUAAUAAAUAUUUAUAUAUGAAUAAAUUUAAAUAAUAUUAAUUUAAAAUUAAUACCAAUAUAAAUAAUAAUAUAAAAUAAUAUUACAUGUACUAUGGGAUUCUUACUUGGAUUAUUUAGCACAAUUCAUUUUAUUGGUGAAUAUAUUACAACUAUUGUAUCACUUUAUUAUUUUCUGAUUAUCUUGUGGCAUAUAUAAACACUUUUAUUCUAUCAUCCGAAGAUAACUUUUAAACUAAUCUUGUAGGUUUUAACCAAUUUAUUUAUCAUUUAGAAAUUAUGUUAUUAAAUUAUUUACUUCGAUCUUUAUUUCACAAGUUAUAUAUUAAAAAAUACUAAAAAAUAAAUAUUAUGCUGCCGAAAAUGUAAGGUUAUAAGCUUCAAUCUUUAUGAAAAAAUUUCUAAAAUUUAAGACUUCUAUAUUUAGUAUUUUUCUACAUACUAAUAAAUAUUAUUUUCUAAAUAUAUAAUUUAAAUUAAUCACAAAAAAAUUAAUACAAUACAAUGUAGCACCAAGCGUUGUACAUCAUUAUUAUAAUAUAGUGUCAAUGCAAUACAAUAUACAUGUAUUAAAAUAAUGCAAUACAAUAUAAUACAAUACACUAUGCCAAAUGCACCCUUAAUACAGAAUUGAUCCAUUGCUUUAGAAUCGUUCAAAAUCUUUCAUAUUAACCUUGGUCUGAUUCAAUUCUUGGAACCAAUGACAAGCCUUUGAUGUUUUUAGUCCACUUAAUAUAUAUCUUAUAAAGAUUUUAUAAUUAAUUAAUGGGAAACUAUCAAUUUGUCAUUUAGGUUUUUUAGAUGAUAUAUCAAUUUGAUAAAUUUGUAAGAUAACACAUUAUAAAAAAAAAAAACUCUUAUAAUUUCUUAUACUGUUAACAUUUUUGAAAAAAUAAAUACUUGUUUUGGAAAAGGUAGAUAAACCACAUUAGUUUUACUUGUUUAACCAAAAUACAAGUAAGUUAGUUCAUAAAACAAAAAAUUUAAAUCGCUUAAUUACAACAAAAGAACAUGAGAUUAAAUUUUUUAGGAAAAUAAAAAAAUAUUUUCAUUAAAUAAGUAUUUAUUAAUUAAUACAUAAUUUUAUAAUUUUAUAAUUUUUGAUUAAUUAAAAUUCAUUUAUUUAAUAUAUUUUUUGUGGAUGGUUCUUGAGUAAUACCCAAAUAUUUUUACCAUAAGUGCUAAGGUGGUACACACGCCCAUUGAAUGAUCAAUUUCAUGAUUAAUUAAAUUAUCUUUUAUUCCAUUUGACUAUCUAAUGAAAGAAUAUAUAUCACUUUAUUUAGUAUUGUAAUGGUUAAGAUACGGCUUGAGAAGUAUAAUUGGUCAACUAAGUCAUAAGAUGGGCUUGACGGUUUUUAAGUAACUUUAUUUAGUUAGCCACCCAAAUUUAAAUCUUGAAAGAGGUUGACAAUGACAAAUUAAAAUAAAAAAGUCAUGAAAAUGAGCCAUUGGAGUAACCUAAAUUGUCUCAUAUUUUGUUACCUUUUUUCAUAUAGUAACGAUAUUGGUUACAAUGUAGGGAUAUAUAUGAAGUUUGUACUUCAAAUUAUGCAAAAUGACAUGACACUUGAUGGGUUAUUUAUUCAUUUUUUUUAUCAAAUUAUCUUAUUUAUGAUUAGUAUAAAAAAUCAACUACUAACAAUAAUGAUUCAUAAAAAAUUAAAAAUAAAAUCAAUUAUUAAUGAAAGAACAAAUUCAAUUAAAAUUUUUAAUUCAAAAAAAUUAAAAUAAAAAAUGUAAUUUACGCUUGCCACUUACCUCCACAACACGCUUGAGUCACGUGAAGUGUAAACAAAAACCAACUUUCCCAAAACAGAAGCUCAAACAAUUAGUUUCAACAACUAUAUCUUUGAUGCCCUAACCCUAACUAACACCGCCAAAUAAUGGCUAGUUGCUGGUGCUUAAACUUUUGGCACCAAUUGAAUGAAUUUUUCUUCAUUAAUAAACUUGUUGAUACAGCACCCGAAUUCAGGAUUCAUAUAGCACUACUUUAAAGAGAUUUCACAGCGAUUAUAUCGUUGAGCCAAAUUUUAGUAUCAAAAAAUUAAACUUAAUGUGCACUUAAGAGAAUACUCACCUGGUUUCCUGAUUCCAUUCGAAUUAGAUAUCAAAUGACAACAAUUCCCCCAAUAUCCUGCUUCACGUACACAAACGCAACAACACUUGAUUUCCAAGUAACUGAGAGAGUUUCCAAAUUUUGCUUUUUUAUCUCGUCAUUCAUUCUCUCCAAUCAAAUUUACCCACCAAAAGUCUUCCUAAUUCCAUCUCUAAUUCUUUCAUUUUAAAUCUUGCUUUCCGAUUUCGUGGACAAAACAACAAAUAUGGCUCAAGUUAGAGAUCAACAAGAGCUGUUGGAUUACUGUCUCUUCAACAAGAUGACACAAUACCCUCUUCUUCAUGAAGAUGGGAAAUGGUAUUCCCGUAAGAAAUUGCAAUCUUUAUGUCUUCAACGAGCCAUCUAUAAUUUGGAGUUUGUACGAAGGAGACCAAUUACUUGAGAAUCAAGCUUUCUACGUUUUCACCAGGAUGAAGAAACUAUCUCCAAAGACUUCAAGAUUUACAGAAAGAUUGGUUCUAGUGUGUGGCGGGGAAAGGAUGGAGCCAAGCUUGUUCUUGCUUCUGGCUCUGUUGAUCAGAUUUUAGGGUUCAAGAAGAGGAUCUUGUAUCAAAGUAGUAAAAACCCUAGAGAAGAUAGAGGAUGGAUCAUGCAUGAAUUUACUAUUAAUCCAACCUUGUUGGAGUAGCAAUAUUCGCAUAAAGCCUUCAACUUUGUUCUCUACUGCAUUAAAAAGAAUGAAUCUGAACGACAAGCAAAUGACUUGGAUUAGCCAUAUUAAUCAGAAUGAUGAGUGCUUUCAAAAUAAGCACUUAAGAGCUCAACAAGCAGCAGUUCUAGUUCAACAUAACCCACUCACCAUGUUUAAGCUUUGCCAGUAGUGGAAUAUGAAGGGGAAUUCUGAUACCACUAUUGCUUUCUUUAUUUUGAUAUGAUUUUAGGAAGCAUAAAAUUGAUUGCCGAUGUAUGUAAACAUUUUUUUAAUUGUUUUUAAUCAUAGUCAAUUGUAUUACAAUCUCAUCUUGGUGGGAGUGCUUAAAUACUUAUUGGGAAUGCAGCUGCCUUUAUAUACUUGUUAGGAAAGUUUUGUCGCUCUAUUGGUCCUACCCUACUUGAAUCUGGAUUAGUUGAGGCACAAUACAAUCUUCACUAUAAGGAUGGCAAUUGUGCCCGCAAACCUACAAAUCUGCCCAAACCCGCCCGCCAAAACCCACCAAUUGCGGAUAAUUUUGCGGUUGCGGGUGGGUUUGGUAUUAUAAAUUGAAACCCGCACUUGGAUGUGGGUGAGUUUGGUAUUAGCUCAAUAUCCUGUGGAUACCCGCAUGGAUAUCCGCUAGACCCGCAAUUUUUUUAAAAUAUUUUUAAUUUAAUUUUAAUUUAAAAAUAUUUUAAUCUAAAAAAUAUAUAAAGAAAAUAAUACAAUUAUGCAAAGUGCCAAAUAACCGAAGUGUUUUUGUAUGGUCUAUUUUUCUUUAACUUAAUGCAUGAAUUAUUUCAUUAUUAUAAUUUUUUUAUUCGAAUUAAUAUUUAAAAAGUAUUAUUCUUUGGAAAAUAUUAAUCUUAGUAAUUAUUGUAGGCAUCAUGUUGGAUAUGUGCUAAUGAUGGUGAAUGAAAUGAAAAUCUUCUCUUGGAGGAACUUAUGUUGAAUGAUAAUAUGAAAAAUUAUUAUUAUUUUUAGAUACUAGUUUGUGGGUUUUUUUUAAUGGAUUUGUGUAUUUGAUACUUAAAUUUGAGAAUAUGUGUUGGAUUGAUGUUGAAAUUUUAAUUUUUCAUUUACAUUGGUUAAAUUUAAAAUUGAGUAUGUUAUGUCGAAUUUGAGGUUAUUAUUGUAAAUUUAUAUAUUGAACAUUUGUGAUUUUAAAUGUACAAACCCGCAAAAAAUCAGUUGGAUACCAUUGCGGGUUUGGUAAUUGUCAAAACCCACAGCGAGUGGGGUUUCUUAAAAAAAUUAAAACCCGCUAUGGGUUGCGGGUGGGUUUGGUAAUUUAAACCCGCUGUGGGUUUGCUAACCACUAAACAGAAGUCUUUGCAAGAGAGUGGAAUAAAGAGCUUGGGUUCUCUUCGUUGUUGUCAAUUUCUAGUUGUAGGGAUUUAGAACAUUUGUUCGAGGAGAUAUAUCAAUUAAGUGUCCUUCGAACAUUAUUAAUUGAUAGUUGUCCUCGUCCAAUCUCAUUGCCACCUGCUAUCAAAUAUCUCAGCUCAUUAGAGACUCUGUCUUUGACUGGGUGUGAAAGCCUUGAUCUUAAUCUGAACAUGGAAGGUGAAGGAAGUCAUCAUGAUCGCAGAAACACAAGGCCUCUGUAACACCCCAGUCUGAAUUCCAUGGACAAAUAUGUCCACAACUCACAUAUGAAUUUAAAUAACUCUUUAUAAACGCUAAAAUUCGAGCCUUAAAUACAAAAGCCAGCAGAAUAACUUAAAAUUUUAGUCAAACCAUCUACCAUCCUCAAUUUAAAUCCAUCUUCUCGCUCAUCACGAAUCAAUCAUGACUUCUGGAAACUGAAUCACAAUAAACUAUAAUGAGUACAAAACCCAGUAAGCAAACUAGUUUUUCUUAUACGAAAAUACAUACAUACUUAUAUAUAAUGCAAUGGAUGAUAUGACAUGAUCUUUUGGAAAUAUUGUAAAACAAAUUCAUCAAUUUUUUUUUUUUUGUCGCUUUCAAACUUUCACAUUUUCUUUCCAUAAAAUACGUAUCCUGCAAUGUGGCACUUUGCGCUGUGCGUGGCACUUUGCGAUGCUUUGGCCCUCAAGAGGUGGCCCCUGCAUAGUCUCAAGAGGUGGCCCCCACACAACUUCAAGAGGUGGCCCUUAAUGUAAAAUCUCAUAAAACAGAAAUUUCAUUUGGUAAAAUCCACUUUUUCUUUCAUAGAAAACUCAAUGCAUUUUCGUGCUUAUACAAAUGAACCAUCACACAUGCAUAUGCCCAUGUAUAUAAUCACACCCAACACAUAAGAACACAUCACAUAAACACAUGAGCAGAGACAUAUAAAUCCAUAUUCGUACAUAUCAAAAUAGGCUUUUCAUACAAAUCAAACAUAUAUAUUGUUUAUUGUGAUUCGUUUUAUAAUCCAAUUUACUUACCUCUUGGCAUCCUUAUGUAACAAAUGCGUACUGAUAUCACCAACCUAAAAUCAUCAAUAAAUUUCUCAUAAGAUAUAAUCGAGUCUCAAUCAUAAACUCUAAUGUCCUCAAAUAUCUCAAUUUACACAUCUCCUAAGCUCAACCUCAAAUGUCCUCAAUAAUCGGCCCUCAAAACAGAACAGUCCAUAUUCUCCCAUUUUUUUAAUAAAUUAUUCCCUCGUUGGAAAACUCUCAAAUUUUACAGACCAUAUGCUGACAUAUUGAAAGUUCAUUGAUAAAAAUUUCAUAACUUGAUUCCUUCAAAAACUAUUGAAAAUAAUUGACGUUUCAGACAUCAUCAAUGUUGUCAAACAGUUUUCUGUUUUGCACACACUUGGUUUAAAAAUACAAAACAAUUGAUUGCUUUAUCAUAAAAUCAUGAACAUUUACAUAAUCAUACUAGACAUAUAUAAAAAUCACUGAUCCAAUUUUCAUAAUUUUUGAAGAAGUCUAGCUAUGGUAAAAAUAAUUUCGUAAUUCACGUUAUGCACUGAAAUCAGAAAUUUUCAGGUUUUCAGACUUGAAUUUGAAAAAUCGUAACUAAUUGAAAUCUUAUCCGAUUAACUUGAAACAAGUUUCAAAACAUUCUAGACGAUGUCUAGUUUAACAUAUCCAAAAAUCAGAAUCAAAAUCAAUUUGUACAAAUUACUAAGAUUUUCGUAAUAAUUCACUGUUAGCAUAUUUCUGCAAAAUCUUAAGUUUAUACUUCUAUUGCAAUCAUACUUCUCCAUAACAAAUUAAUAAAAAUCAAGAAUUAAAACUUACCUCCAAAUCCAAAUCUUCUCUCAACAAUACCCAAUUCAAAUUAUGCAAUUUGAUCUCAUGUGUUGUCAUGGCAGAACAAAGAAGAAGAAGACUUUCUUCUUCUCUUUUUCUUUUCUUUUCUCUCCGUCUCUCUCUCUUUUUUUGUCGUUUUUUUUUUGUCUUAGCCGAUUUCUCCUUCUUCCUCUCUCAUAAUGGAAAAGACAUCUUGUUCUAUUUAUACUAGGGUAAAAGAGAUCACUAAAAACUAAAAAGACUUAAAUACCCUUAGGAGAUUUGGGGUAUUACAGCCUCACCUUCGGAGGGUUGUCAUUGGGGAAAUAACACAAUUAUUAGAACUGCCACAAUGGCUUCUUCAAGGUUCUACUGAUACUUUGCAGAACUUGUUAAUUUUUGGUUGUCCCAACUUCAUGGCACUACCAAGGUCUCUAAAAGAUCUCGAAGCUCUUGAAACUCUUGUCAUUAUAGGAUGUCCAAAAUUGUCAUCGUUGCCGGAGGAUAUGCAUCACCUCACUACUUUGAAAUCAUUGGCCAUUGGAGGAUGUCCUGCGCUGAGUGAACGAUGCAAACCGCCAACAGGUGAAGAUUGGCCCAAAAUUGCACAUAUCCCUCAGGUUAAUCUUGAUGGCAAGAUGAUUAAAUCAAGUGAUAAUUAGGUAUGGAUUAAACUCUCUUCUUUUUUAAUUUCCUCUUUUCAUGCAGCUUUCUAGUUUUUAAUUUCUCAUACAGCUAUACCGUUUAUAGUUAAUGUUUUUUUAUGUUUGCCAAACGAAAACUUGACUUUGAAUGUUAGUUAGUUAGUUCAAAUUUGUACUGAUUUAUUUUCUUCUAAUACAUAACUAGUUUGUCAGUACAAAACACAAAAAUAAUAUUUCGGAAACCGCACUGUUCUAGGGGUCAGAUCUGUUUCUAAAUUCAAACAAUUCAGGAUUUUUCAAAAUGGAACUUAUAAUGAGAUUUUUUUUAAUUGCCUAGUUAUCUUCAUAUGGAUUUUCAAUCUUUGUUAAUACUUUAACUUGUGCCGAAACAUCUAACAAUUCUUCCUCUUAUCCUUUUUUUCCCAAAUAUUGCAGCUUUCUUCCUCUUAUAAGGCAGAGGCCAUGGGGAAAAUGGGCAGCCGAAAUUAGAGACCCUUACAAGGGUGUCCGCGUUUGGCUCGGUACUUUCAACACAGCCGAAGAAGCCACAAGAGAUUGUGCUGAAGUCGCCAAGUGAUACACCUCUACGAAACCAAGAAUGUAUCGGAUUAAACUUGCACUCUUCGAGUGAGUGUUGACUCCAAAAAUAGAAAGAUCAGAGAUGAAUAUUAAGAAGGGAAGAGAGGUUGAGAAAGAGAGAAGAGCCAAGAGAAAUAGAAAGAGAUAUUUUAUUUCCUCAUGCCCCACACGAAUUCGUUCUGCUCUACAUAUAUUCCUCUGUCUAAGACGUUAGCAAAAAUAUUACAGCUCAGCAACUUCUAACAGAAAAUAUGACAGCAAAAACAAACCAGCAAUCAUAAGGUACUAGCAAUUUCACUACACGACAUAAUCCUUAAACCACCCAGGGGAUCUUCUAACUCGUGUGCUUGUGUGCCGUUCCUCAUGGGCUGAUUCUUCCUCAACCUGUAAUGUGGCUUCCUUCAUGGGUUGUUCAUAAUUGGACUCGCUGUUGGGCUGCCCUUCUUGUAAGCAAUCCGGUUGAUCCGACUGAAUGUGAAAGGUUGUAUCACCAAGCGUAUCCGUGGCAACAAGGCCUAGCUCAACUUUGCUCACCGGCCGCCAAUAACUCCACCUCCAGCUAAGCAACGCUUCAUGCUAUCCCCUGAGUUGACUCAGCCGAGUUUCGAAGAUUACUUUUUUAUUGGUUUUCAUUGAUUUCUUUUCCCUUAAAUUGUGAACACUUGGGCUUUUAUUGUUGAAAAUCACUUUUUUGGCGCUGCUUUUAUCUACGAGGUUGUGCUUUCCUUUGGAUGCUCUUUAAUAAACAGCUUUCCUAAUAACAACUGAAGUGAAAAGUCAUUUUAUCAAAUGAUUUGGUGAAAUUUCAAGUACUUUCAUCUUGGUUUUUGCAGUUAAUAGGAAUAGUUUGGUGUUGGGAUGUGGUAUAUGUAUCAAGUUCUUAUUGCUAGUGAGCAUUACAGGUUUAGUGUGCGAUCAUGUACUAUCACUGCAUGCAUUAUUAGUUUAUUUUAUUGAACUAUCCCAAAUCAGUAAAGAAUCCUCAAUUCCCUCUGUUUUCUUUAGAUCCUAGUAGUGUUUAGCAAGCAUCAACUAGUGUUCAUGCAUGUGUCGGUUCAUCAUGGACAACUUCAGCACACAUACAACAGCCCUCAUUUCUCCUUGCUCCAACCAAUCGAUGGCAGAAUCAUCACAGACACCUUGAGCUCUGUCGAAUCAUCAUAGACAAUUUGUGAUUCUCACAAUGUAGAGAUAAAAUAUGCAAAACAUCAUUUAUGUCCUGUAUCAAUUUCAAGGUCAAUAAUCCCCAUCAAUCCCUCUCCAUGAAUUAAUUAAUAUAAGAGAGUUUUGUAACAGAAACUAAUUAAGAGAUUAAGAAAGCUUUGAAGAGGGGACACUUGAAUGUUCGUAAUGACAUCCCAAUAAUUGAUGUGCUUUUACAAACAGGUCAUUUUAUUUUAGUAUGAUGGCAUAUCAGUAUAAGGAGUUUAAGUAGAGAAUCAUCGUGACAAUUCUUAAGUUAGAUUAUUUGUAAUUUAUAAUUGACUUAAAAUUAAUUUCUCAUAAUUUUUUUAAUUAUUUACCAACCAACCAUUGAAUUAUAAAAAAAUUAAAUGUAAAUUAGAUAUUAUGUAAUUCUAGAAGGGUCAACAACUAACUACAAUAAUUUUUACAGAGACAAUCAUGUACGUCAGUAUUUAAAUAAAUGCAUACUAAUCUAUACAUCUACUUGCCGGAAUCAUAUAUGUAAAACGAGAUAAAUAUUAAGGUUCAAAACUUUGUAAUUCAUUAAAAAAUUAUCCAUCUUUACGUUCCAAAUAUAAUUGGUGAGUUUUUAUUGGUCUGUUUGAUAUUUUAUGAUUUCUGGCUUUAUGGGUUUGAUGGAAUUUUUCAUUUUUACGUUGUGAAUGUUAGGGUACGCGAGAGUGCUCUUGAAUUGCAUUGCCUUGGCUUUUUAUGUUUUCUCUGUUCUUUACUUUAUCAGCUGAGAAUAUAUUUUAGAAGUUUACUUUGAUUUCUAGCUUUAUGGCCUCUGUUUGAUGUGUGUAGUAUUUGACUAAUGCGAGUAUUGUGUGUUUUCAGCUUUGUAUGUGAUGCAGUAGAUAGUUGGUGUGCUCGUAAAUUCAAUCAAGGCAUGAAGUGACUGCUAUCUAUCUUUCGGCAAAUUAAGCGUCGAUGAUUUAUGCUAAUGGAGCUGCUAAAAAUUGUCUUUGUGUGUGAUUGAGUACAUGUUAGUGUGAAUUCUCGUAAUCUUUAUCAGUCAAAGCAAACGUUCGCCUCUCACAUUGACGGUUAGGCUAGAUGUUUGGUCCUGUAUAAGAUGAUUGAGUUUAUUAUAGUCUUCUUAUAUUGUCGGUUCAAUAUCAUUUUGAAAUAUCACAUCAACUCCGCUUUUGGAGUUUUAAUUCAUGCCCAGUUACACCUUUAUUUUACUUUUGAGCUGCAGCAUUGAGUCACAUUCUUUUUGCUGUUAUUAUUUCGAUUAGCGACUGGUACAGUGGUAUUUGAACUGCAUAGUAUGUCAACUUUCGCUCUAAAUGUAUUAGAAAUUCUGUGUAUCACUAAUUUCCUAGAGCAGGCCUCGAUGACAGUCAAAGAUUUGAGGCAUAUUUCUGGAUUAAAGGCUUUUCUGUAGUCUAUUUGAUGAUAAGCGCAUUUAUUAUCUCCAACAUUUUAAGCACUAAUUUGUAACUGCUAGUAACCAGUACCUAAGAUGUUGCAUUUGACCGUCUUCUCUUUCUGGUUCACUUUCAACCUUUGGAGCUGUUUUAGACAUGGUAACCGAUAGGUAAUUUCUCUACCCCACCCCCCAAUGUAUCAUUAGUCAUCAUUCGUUCUGGUUGGCGUAGAUACGCAUACUAAUUUGGUGGAUUAUUGUCUGUGUCUUCGUCUUUUGUCAAUAAUCUUUUGCAUUUCAGGAUUAGUACAGCUUGUCUACUGGUAAUACUCUCUCAAGUAUACAGGUAAGACUUUGUUACGUUUUCUUGACCCGUAAUCUAAUGCUUUAAGAUGAAUGCAUAAUUCAGCUAUUUUGCAUCCCCAUGCAGGCCUGGUUUGGUUUUUGUGUCACUACUUGCAUUAGAUAUUGGCAGUCAAUGGCUGCGGAUGUAUAGGUGCCUCUUCGUUUCCCUGACAUAAUCUCAUGUAAGAUGACAUUGCUUGUGGAACUGGAAGAUAUUUGAUUUUUUUUUUCAUUUUUGCUAAAGAAAAGUGUUACUUGCGUUGGGAAAUAUGCCUACCACUCUGGAUCUCCGUUGCAGUACAUUCUUGAGAGGAAAAUCUAGCCAUAAAAUGUAAAAGACAACACAAAUUGGCUUUUAAAAGCCUAUUAUGGGAACCGGAUGUUUAUGGGUUAUAGUUGUGUGGCAUGUGAGGUAAUUGUAGCUUUCCGUGUUAUUAUCCAUAUCAGGAUUUGCAAAUGUUAUCAGUGCUUUUUACCUGAUCCAACUGUUUCAACCCUGCAGCUUCUUUACCUAAUCCUAUUUCUUAUUGCGGAGACGCAGAGUGAAAGUUUGGUGGAUGUAGGAUCUCAUUUUCUUACUAUUAGAUUGUUCUGCAUAUAGAAAGAUUUCCCCUGUUUCUCGCUUUGCAAACAAUCUCUUCUUUCAGGUAGUGGUGAGUGCUGUGCAACAGGGCUCGCCUCUUUCCUUCCUAGUUGCAUUGAGUUUAUUCGGAUGGGCAAUCAAGCAAACGAUCAAUGUCAUACAGGUAACUUCAACCCCAUAUGAUGGUAAUGUUCGUUUAUCCUGAUACUUCUUGACAAUAAGUAAAUUUCUUGAUGUCUACAAAUUAAGGAGACUUUUGUAUGGGUAAAGUUGACAUUUUACAAUGGCAUUCUGGAUCCUGAAAUCGGUCGGUUUGAGAUUCACAUGCUGUGAUAUGCUCUAAUGUUAAAACUCAAACCUUUUCUGUAUCUUAAAUGGAUUUUCGUGGAUAUGCCUGGGAUGAUCAUUUUCUUCCUCUUCAGCUCAUCAUCUUUGUCAUAGUAGUUAUAAUUGAUUGAGGAGUGAGAAAACGCAUUGUGAUGAAUGAAUGCACAAGCUAUGUGAUUAAGACUGCAUUUAUUAGGUUGGUGACGGCAAAUAUCAGGCAGGAUAUUCACAAUGAGUAAUGAUAUAGCCACAAACUCUUGUACAAAUUUAUUUUGUACAAACUUAUGUGGCAUGAUAAGAUUGGUUGAAUUAAAUAUCACUUGGGCCACAUGAUUUGUUUUCAUUAUUUUAUAUUUUCAUUCAACCAAUGAAUUAGUGCCACGUCAGUUUGUACAAAAUAAGUUUGUACAAUAGUUUGUGGCUGUAUCAUUACUCAUUCACAAUAGUGCUACUGAAGCUUUAUAUGGAAUAAGGAGACCAAACCUCUAUAUGAUAAGAGUUGUACGAAUACCAAAUGAAUUGUAAGAGGAUAUGGUUAAUUUAGAUUGUAAUUUAAGAAAGCUUGAGUUCUAAGAGCACAGAAAUGGGAUCAGUCUUGCUCAAGUGUGAACUCCAUCAGUUCGGAAGCUGUCCAUCAAAUGGAAAUAUUUACGUGAUUCAGAGAAAUUUUGGACUUUUGAUGAAAACAAAAAUCCUGUAUGCAUUUGCUUGCUCCCAAUCCUGUAUGCAUUUGCUUGCCCCGAAGGAGCUGAAAGUUCUCAAAUUUUUUGUAGACGUCAUAGUUCUCCUGAUGUCAUUUGGCUUGGUAAUCUUUUUUGCUCGAAAAUUUGCCCAUUGUGUGGUCUUGACGGUGGGUGAAAUUGAUUUGUGGUUUCAGAUGAAGACAGCAGCAGAUGUGUGUGCGCUAUAUGACAUCGAGAAAAAGCAAAGGCCUUAAAGAGUUCAUCAACAUUUUCCAUUUCAGAAGAAUCUGUUUGUGGUUCUCUUGCUCAAGUGCCUACUUUUCGGGGUGCAGCAUAUAUGUUGAGACCGGCAUAUGAAAUCACUAAACUUUUACAGUUGAUCCGAGGCUUCUCUAGCAAAGGAUUUGGAAUUAAUUUGGGGAAGGGGUUUUUUUUUGGGUAUAUGAGUGUGUGCAUUCCUUCAAUCACGUAGCUUCGUGCCAUUAACAUAAUGGCAAUUCCACAAUGGUGAUAAUGAUAAUUUUAUGAUUGGGGCACAGUGUUAGGAACUCUUUACUGCUUUUUCUUUCGCAUUUGUGUCUAUGAUUAAGGUUGUUUAAGGUGGUAUGGAUUUCAGUACAUUGAACAAAAAUUUAUUUAUUUUUAUUCAAAUUAAAAUACCUAAAAAUCAAACCUAAGUUAAAAAAAUAAAGUUAAAAAAAUUCUGAAAUUAAUCAAAUUUUAAAACUUGAGACUUUUAACAGAUUAAUCCAACCUUUGAAUAAAUAAACUAAAUGGGGGUCAGUUUUUCUCGUGUCAGCUUGUUCAAUCGACACUAUCUUUUCAACCUCUCACGAAUAAACAAAUCACUAAUGAUGUGUCCAUUUCUUCUACUUUAUACUAAUUUUUAAUAAAAAGAUUAUUAAAUUGGUUCGGCUGUGGGAGCCACACGUGUCUGUGGCAGCGCACACCCAAGAGAAGCCAGUCUGGUUCCAAGAAGAAAGUGAACAUGUGAUGAUGAGAUGCCGUAUCAAAUGGGGCCACGUAGACAGAGGUGCUUCGAGGUGACAUGUCAGCAGAUACCUCCACCGACGAUCUUCAAAAUAAUUUGAACGGUUGGGAUUUUAUUUUCAACUUACCUGUGUCCAGGCUACUGUUGAUUGUCGCUAUCCUGAAUUGUCCACUUCGAACAACCGAUGGGAACUAAUGACUUUCCAGAUUAAAAAAAAAAAAAGUAGUCUUUGAGGGAAAUACAUCGAGGCGACCAAACAUGAUGAGCAGGUGGUUGGUGGCAGGGUUCUGCGAGCAGGUGUAUCCUGCAAGAGUCAAGUAGCAGGAGAAUAGGAGCAAGAGUAUUCUACUCGUCCACGAAUAUGCCAUUCGUGAGGCCGAACUCCUGUUAGAGGCAUAAGGUCAUUCCUGCUAGGCAUCGAGGCGAGGAGACCCAGUCAACGACAGUUGGCAGGACGUGCAUUCCUAUCUGAGAAUUAAGGCACGAGGUCCAUCUCCAUUCGCCGACAAUGGCGAUAAUGGGGCGUCCACACCUGAGAGUGGGGAGAAUGACGUGCGUGGACUGCGGAAGAUCUGGAUUCAGAGGAAGCCUAUAAAAAGGUAGCCAACGAAGGUAAAAGGGUGAGAAUUUUUGCUAUUUGAACUAAGAAAAGAGAACUCUAAGAACUGAGAUUAUAGAAAAGCCAUAAGACCUGUGGCAAGCGUUCCCCGAACCUUCACAUAUGACUUGAGCAUCGGAGGGUUUGCGCCGGAAAAACAACCGGCGUACUCUGACUUGUCUGUGUGCGCAGGAACCUCUGGAGAAGAAGCCUUACGAGGAGACCUUCUGGUCGUGGUGAAGUUGAUCGAGCAGAGAGCCUGGUCGUAGAACGAGGAGAACCAGAAUCUCGCAUCAACAUUUUGGCGCCGUCUGUGGGGAACUGAUCAAAAAGCUUCUGUUGAUAGCAAGAAGGGGAGUAAAGCAAGUGAAAAGCGAUGGAAACAGGGGAAGCAAUGCAGAUAACAUCCCUCGAUACCCGAGUGGAAAACAAGAAUGGCAGACAAGAACCUGUAGAGGAUCUGGAAACUGUAAGCCUGGGACCAGAGAAUCCGGGAAAGACAAUCAGAAUCGGGUCGAGACUUAAGGGAGAGCAAAAGCAGGAGUUGGUGAAAUGCUUACAGACUCAUGCAGAUGUGUUUGCUUGGACACAUGAAGACAUGCCAGGGAUUGAUCCUGAGGUAGCAUGUCAUAAGCUGGCAAUAAAGAAAGGUGCUCGGACAGUAAGGCAGAAGAGGAGGUGCUUCAACCAGGAGAGGUAUGAGGCUAUAAAUGGCGAGGUGGAGAAGCUCUUGAGAGCAGGGUUCAUUCGGGAAGUCAAUUACCCUGAAUGGAUAUCGAAUGUGGUGUUGGUAAAGAAAGCGAAUGGCAAGUGGAGGAUGAGCGUGGAUUUCACAGACCUCAAUAAGGCGUACCCAAAAGACAGCUUCCCUUUACCAAAGAUCGAUCAGCUAGUAGACUCAACGGCUGGACACGCUCUGCUUAGCUUCAUGGAUGCGUUCUCGGGAUACAACCAAAUCCCCAUGUACGAGCAGGACGAGGAGAGCACGGCUUUCAUCACUAACCAGGGUUUGUUCUGUUAUAGGGUAAUGCCAUUUGGUCUCAAAAAUGCUGGGGCCACCUAUCAGAGGCUGGUGAACAAAGUCUUUAAGCCAUUGAUUGGGAAAACCAUGGAGGUGUACGUGGAUGACAUGAUCACCAAGUCCAAAAUCCCGAAGGAACAUGUCAGACACCUCGAGGAGACAUUCGAGCUUUUGAGGAAGUAUAAGAUGAAGCUCAACCCGGAGAAAUGUGCUUUUGGGGUCGAGUCGGGGAAGUUCCUUGGAUUCAUGGUGAGUUAUCGGGGGAUCGAAGCAAAUCCCGAGAAGAUCCAGGCGAUCUUGCAGAUGAGGUCUCCUCGUAGCCUGAAGGAAAUACAAAGCCUUACGGGGAGAUUGGCGGCAUUGAGCCGAUUCAUAUCCAAGGCUACAGAUAAGUGUCAACCAUUCUUUCAAGUGAUAAGGAGGGGAAAGAAAACAGAGUGGACCCCGGAAUGCGAGGAAGCCUUUCAGAACUUGAAGCAGUAUUUACAGCAAGCCCUUCUGCUAUCCACACCGAGGGAUGGGGACAAGUUAUUUUUGUAUCUGGCGAUAUCGGAACGGGCCGCCAGUUCUGUUCUGGUGAGAGAGGAAGAAGGAGUUCAGUAUCCAAUAUACUACACCAGCAAGGCCCUGCUCGACGCUGAGACUAGGUACCCACCGUUGGAGAAAUGGGCACUUGCCCUUGUGGUUGCUGCUCGGAAGUUGAGGCCAUAUUUUCAGGCAUUCCCAGUCUCGGUUAUAACAAACCGGCCAUUGCGUCAAACUCUGCACAAGCCCGACGCUUCUGGUCGGCUCGUCAAGUGGGCUAUAGAGCUGAGCGAGUUCGACAUAGACUACAAACCCCGAGCAACGAUCAGGGCUCAGGCAAUGGCCGAUUUCGUAGCAGAAUUCACAGAGCUUGAAGUAUGUUUACACCAACAAGAUGUAGUUGCAGACAGUGGCGAAGCUCAAGUAUGGCAAAUGUCUGUAGAUGGGUCAUCAGGGGAGCAGGGAUCAGGAGCAUGGAUUGUAUUGGAAGGCCCAGAGGGGGAGGAGAUCUCUUAUGCUGUAAAGUUAGAAUUCGCAGCAACGAAUAACCAGGCAGAGUAUGAAGCCUUGAUAGCAGGAUUAGAACUGGCUAAGGCCGUGAGAGCAGAUAGAGUGAAAAUCAGAACUGAUUCCCAGCUGGUUGCGAAUCAUGUCAGUGAAAGAUUCCAACCGAGAGAGGAGAAGAUGGAGCAGUACCUGAAGAUAGUCAGGCAGAUGAUGGGGAAAUUCGAAGCGGUGGAGGUGGUACAAAUCCCUAGGGAGCAGAAUAGUCGAGCAGAUAUUUUGGCCAGGAUGGCAGCGGUAGCAGACCCAAAAAAGCCAAAGUCGGUCCCUUUGGAGGUGAAGUCCAGCCCGAGCAUCGAGCAGAAUUUGGGGGUGCUGCGAAUAGAACAAAAAUGCUCGUGGAUGGACCCAAUAGUUUCAUACCUCAGAGACGGGGUACUACCACCAGACAAGCUGCGAGCUCGGAAGAUUAGAGCCCAGGCCUCGAGAUACACGAUGAUUGAUGGGAUACUGUAUCGGCGAGGAUAUACACUACCGUUCCUUCGAUAUUUGGAUGAGGACGACGCGGAUUACGUACUGAGAGAAGUACAUGAAGGAAUUUGCGGGAAUCAUUCUGGUGGGAGAUCCCUGGCGCACAAGGUUCUAAGGCAGGGAUAUUUCUGGCCGACAAUGCACCAGGAUGCACAGGAGAAGACCAGGAGCUGUGCAAGCUGCCAGAGUUUUGCAAGUUUCCCCAGCCAACCACCAGAGAAGCUCACCUCUAUGGUCUCCCCUUGGCCAUUUGCUCAAUGGGGAAUUGAUUUGAUCGGCCCGCUGCCAAAGGGACGAGGAGCAGCAACACAUGCAAUAGUUGCUAUAGAUUACUUCACGAAGUGGAUAGAGGUCGAAGCCCUUAGCAAGAUCACAGAGAAGAAAACAACAGACUUUGUGUGGAGAAACCUGGUCUGUCGAUACGGGAUCCCUUACGCCCUGGUAACGGAUAAUGGCAGGCAGUUCGAUAAUCACAGCUUCAGGGAUUUCUGCCAGAACCUCGGGAUAGAGCUGAAGUAUUGCUCGCCUGCUCACCCGCAAUCGAAUGGACAAGUAGAAGCAGCCAACAAGACCAUCAAGAGGCUUUUGAAAACCAGGCUUGGAGCAAAAAAGGGCACAUGGGUUGAUGAGCUAUCAGGUGUCCUAUGGGCAUACAGGACAACCCACAAAACAACAACUGGGGAGACACCGUUCGCCCUGGCUUUCGGACAUGAAGCGGUCGUACCAGCUGAGAUAGGAACGACCACGCACCGGACAGACCAUUUCAAUGAGCAGGAGAACGACGAGCAGAUGUGUUUGAAUCUUGAUCUGCUAACGGAGAAGAGGGAGCAAGCAGCUGGCCGAUCAGCCAUUUACCAGCAAAGGGUUGCUCGCUAUUAUAACCAGAAGGUGAAUGUACGGCAGUUCAGGGUCGAAGACUGGGUACUGAGGAGAGUGAAUCAGAACACCAAAGACUCGACUCAAGGAGUGCUCGGUCCGAAUUGGGAAGGGCCAUAUAGAGUCAAGCAGCUAGUUGGUCCGGGAGCUUACAAGCUGGUUCGCAUGGAUGGCCACUAGGUGAAGCGCCCAUGGAACGCAGCACACCUCAGGAAAUAUUUCCAGUAAGAGUCGUUAAUAUUCUCAAGUUCUUUCUGUUCGUAUUUGCCGUUAUUUAUUUUAUGACUAAGCAAUUUCAUGUAAGUUGAAUCCUACCAUUAAUGGAACGUCGAGGAAUUUCAUUCGCUUGAAACUGUGAAAAUUUCCUAAGGCAUGCAAAGGCUCAUCAAAGUCUCAAAGCCUGUUUUAUGGCGAGACAGAAGCCAAGCGUGCCAGGAUCUGCUCGACCACGAGAAGGCGAGCAGAAUCCCAAUCAUUGAAGAAUUGAAGGCUUGCAAAGGCUUAUCAAAGUCUCAAAGCCUGUUUUAUGGCGAGACAGAAGCCAAGCGUGCCAGGAUCUGCUCGACUAUGAGAAGGCGAGCAGAAUCCCAAUCAUUGAAGAAUUGAAGGCAUGCAAAGGCUCAUCAAAGUCUCAAAGCCUGUUUAUGGCGAGACUAGAAGCCAAGCUUGCUAGGAUCUGCUCGACCAAGCGAAGGCGAGCAGACUCCCAAACGUUGUAAAAAUUCCUAAGGCAUGCAAAGGCUCGUCAAGUCUCAAAGCCUGUUUUUGCGAGACAGAAGCCAAGCGUGCCAGAAUCUGCUCGACCACGCGAAGGCGAGCAGAAUCCCCAAGCAUCGAAAAAUUUUCCAAGGCAUGCAAAGGCUCGUCAAGUCUCAAAGCCUGUUUAUGGCGAGACAGAAGCCAAGCGUGCCAGGAUCUGCUCGACCACGCGAAGGCGAGCAAAAUCCCCAAGCAUCGAAAAAUUUUCCAAGGCAUGCAAAGGCUCGUCAAGUCUCAAAGCCUGUUUAUGGCGAGACAGAUGCCAAGCGUGCCAGGAUCUGCUCGACCACGGGAAGGCGAGCAGAAUCCCCAAGCAUCGAAAAAUUCUCCAAGGCAUGCAAAGGCUCGUCAAGUCUCAAAGCCUGUUUAUGGCGAGACAAAAGCCAAGCGUGCCAGGAUCUGCUCGACCGCGCGAAGGCGAGCAAAAUCUCAAGCAUCGAAGAAAUUUCUAAGGCAUGUGGCAAAACCAUAUGCCAAGCCAGAACCUGCUCGACCAGACAAAGACGAGCAGGUUCCCAAACGGAAAAUAAGUGAUGAUUACAACACGAGAAAGUAAUCAAAAACAUCUUUAUUAAUUGUUAGUAAUUAACAGAAGAGAUAAUCGCCACAAAAAUUGUUCAUUAUAAUACAAGAAAUAUAUCAAGAAGAUGGUGGAUCAGUAAGCCGAGCAGCAUCUGUUGGCUGGACCUCCUCAGGUGCAGGGGGGUAUCACCAGUUGCGUCCAGAGGGGUACUCGCCUCGCCAACAUCAGCAGGGACUGCACGAGGAGGAGAGUUUUCCUCCUCAAUCACGAUCGGCUCUACCCCUUCAGCAUCAUCCUUGGCCGCCUCCUCGUCCAUAUGUUGAGCAACACCAGCUGCAAGGUCAUCCAUUUUCAGAUCAGGGUGUUGCUUCCCGAGGACAGCCAUGAUGCAACGAUAGGAAUGCCGAAGUCCCUGGUCGUACUGGUUCUCGGCCUCCCUCUCCAAGUUCUCGACCUGAGCUCGGUUGGAGUCGCGGAGAGAUUCGAGCUGGGCGUCAUACAUAGCCUUCUGCCUUUGCAGAUCCUCCUUGACCUUGGUGGUCAUGCAGCUGAGGUGGAAGGCGCUAUACUGCAUGGCCCCCACCAGCUCACCCAAGGUGCAGCCGUCAAAGUCCUCCAGGUCCUUCUUGCUCACGAGUUUAGAGAACUCAUUAAGGUAGGGGACCAAGUGUUCUGCUCGGCUGUCAGGUAAGUGAGAUCGAGGCCCGACAGGGGGCGAAGAGGAAGCAGGAUCCGUGGCUGCUCCACUAGUCUCCCCAAUUUUGGCAGGAGUAGGAGGUAAAGUCUUCAAGGGCGUCCUUGUUCUGGUCCCUCUUCGUGGUUUGAGGUCGAGAACGUUUCCUGUUCAGAGCCCCAAUCACAGCGUCCUCCAUCUUAUGGCCAGGUAGUAUCAAGCGAGACUCGAGCAAGUUGUAAGUAGUUAACAGCUCUCGGCUCGGGCAGGAAUUGACUAGCACAGCCUCAACCUGUUUGAGCUGGCCAGGUUGGAACGGGAAAUGAACACCCCAAGAAACUACAACACAAACAGACACUUGGUUAGAGACAAGCCAAUAAAGCAAGAACAAUUAUGGAUACAGGACAUUUAAAGCGAGCAGGCAACCUGGGACCGUGAAAUGGGGUGGGACCCGAUAAUCCUUCCCGUCCAUUUGUGCAACCUGACCCCAAGGGCCUCGUAACCAUUGGUUUGACAUUCAAAUAGAGGGGCAGAUUUCUGCCACAUCACCUCGUACGCAAUUAAAUGCGACACGACUCUUGGCAGCCUUUUCCAGUCCCACGCGAGCAAGAACCGUUGAGUUUCUACUACUGGUCCAUUACAUUACCCAACACCAGAAACUGGGGGACCGGUGUUUGAGGGAAAUACAUCGAGGCGACCAAACAUGAUGAGCAGGUGGUUGGUGGCAGGGUUCUGCGAGCAGGUGUAUCCUGCAAGAGCCAAGUAGCAGGGGAAUAGGAGCAUGAGUAUUCUGCUCGUCCACGAAUAUGCCAUUCGUGAGGUCGAACUCCUGUUAGAGGCAUAAGGUCAUUCCUGCUAGGCAUCGAGGCGAGGAGACCCAGUCAACGACAGUUGGCAGGACGUGCAUUCCUAUCCGAGAAUUAAGGCACGAGGUCCAUCUCCAUUCACCGACAAUGGCGAUAAUGGGGCGUCCACACCCGAGAGUGGGGAGAAUGACGUGCGUGGACUGCGGAAGAUCUGGAUUCAGAGGAAGCCUAUAAAAAGGUAGCCAACGAAAGUAAAAGGGUGAGAAUUUUUGCUAUUUGAACUAAGAAAAGAGAACUCUAAGAACUGAGAUUAUAGAAAAGCCAUAAGACCUGUGGCAAGCGUUCCCCGAACCUUCAUAUCUGACUUGAGCGUCGGAGGGUUUGCGCCGGAAAAACAACCGGCGUACUCUGACUUGUCUGUGUGCGCAGGAACCUCUGGAGAAGAAGCCUUACGAGGAGACCUUCUGGUCGUGGUGAAGUUGAUCGAGCAGAGAGCCUGGUCGUAGAACGAGGAGAACCAGAAUCUCGCAUCAACAAGUAGGAUUAUCAAACUAUGUAGCAUUGUUAUGUAAAGUUUUAUGGUUAUUUUAAGGCUAAAAUUGGUUUAGAAAUUAAUUAAAAGACAAUAUUCAUUCUAACAUAAAACGAGUUUUUAACAAGAGGAGGAGGUUCCUUUUAUAAGUUACUAAUUUAUACAACCUUUAAUAUUAAAACAAUAUUUUAUAUAUUAAGGACGAUGAUUCUUGCUCACUUAGUAAGAUAUGUACAUAACAUAGGUUUGUUAAGCAAGGAAUCAAUUAUGUAUUUCUUGUAUCUGAAAAAAUGAAUCAUCCUUUAACGAGGGUUAUCAUCAAUUGCAGGUUUCUAGUUUGGUUGCUUAGUUUGAGGAAAGAAUAUAUGGUAUGGUGUUUGGCUGGUCUGCUUUUUUCUUUUCAAUUAAUGUAAUAUUCUUAUGCUAUGGAAUUGAUUAUCAUAAGUACUAAAGGAAAGAAUAUAUACUAUGGAAUAUAUGCUAUGGUCUUUGGCUGGUCUACUUUUUUCUUUUCAAUUAAUGUAUUAUUCAUAUGCGAUGGAAUAUGAAUAUUACAUUAAGGGAAAGAAUAUUUUUACACAGCACACUAUAAUACUCUAAUUACCAAUUUUUUAUCUUGUAAUACAAGUUCAUAGCGAUUAAUUUAUCCAUCUUCAGCCAAAAAAAAAGUCCCAUUUCAGCACAUAUACAAGAGCCCUCAUUUUUCUUUGCUUCAGCCAUUUUAUAGCAGAAUCAUCACAGACACUUUGAGCUCUGCCGAAUCAUCAUAGACAAUUUGUGAUUGGUGGGAGCAUUACAAGAAAGGUACGACUACUUCGAACCGAUAGAUUUGUUUAUAUGAUUUAGCUAUCGUUUUAACUUUUAACAAUAAACAAGAGACAAUCAUGUACAUCAUUGGUUACAUAAAUAUUAAAAUGAGAUAAAUUUAUUCCUCAACUUGCCAGACCCAUACAUAUUAAAAUGAGAUAAAUUUUAAGGUUUAAAAAUUUGCAAUUCAUCAAAAAUCUAGUGCGAUAUUAAGCGGUAAAAUCACUUAGGGUUAGUACAUGAGGUUUAUGAUUCCCUGACUCAUUUAUAUGGGUGGAGAGGGAAUUAGGCAAUGAAGAAUUGAUACAAAUUAAUAAUUAUAUUAUAAAAAGAAAUAAACUUCAAGAGAGAUCAUAAGUUCGUAGAAGAUUGUAUGUCAGUUAUUUGUAGUGGAAUGGAGUUUUUUUGGAGAGGCUAUUUGGCUUGGAAUAUAUAUUAGAAUGAGAUUAUUUGAACCCACCGCAAUACUCUCUAAAAUCCACUUUUCAAUAAAAAAUUUCAGUACAAAAUUUUCCUUAAUUAAAUUACUAUUUUAGCCAAAUAUUAUGUUGAUUUAUCUCCCUAAAGUUUUUAUUUUUUUUCACCCUUUUUUCUCUUUUCCUCUCUGUUUCCCCAAUUUUUUUUUUUCCAGUCCUAUGUGGUUCUUAUAUUUUAAGGCUUCUAUUGGAGUAAGAUCUAUAUUCAAAUUGCUUAUCCAAAAAAAAAAAAAUUCUUUUAAAAUUUGCCUUUCCUUUACCCUCGAGUCACUAUUAGAUGUAUAUGCUCCUCAAGAAACUUUAGUAAUUGGAUUUCUAUUAAAUAUUUUAAUUUCAAAAAAUGAGAAGGUCACUAUACAAAUAUCAAAAGAUCACCAACUUAAUUAUACCAGUUAUAAUUGACGGAAAUAAAAGACUUACUAUUUCUGUUUGAAGUUAUUAUGAUGAACAAAGAAAGGGGGGGGGGGGGGGGGGAACAAGUCGCUGCAAUUGCAUCAAUUGAGGACAUGUUAAGAAACGUAUCAUUGAGAUAAGAUUUAAUUGAUAAAAAUAAGAUUUACUAGAAAGUAGUGAGAGAAACAACUAACAAAAAUUCAUUAUACUUAUUGAGGGUAUAUUGAGAAUAUUUGUGGCUUUUUUUAGUUAAAAAAAUAAAGUUUUAAGUUGUGAUAAUGUGUUUAUUACGUAAAUGAGUUUAUUUAAUAUUACAGUGGAUUUAAGUAGCCUUACCCUUCAUAUUAUAAUAAAUUUUUACAUUACUCUAUAAUAGCCCUACUAUAGAGGACAAUGUAAUGAAAAUAUUGUUACUCUUAUACCUAUUAAAAGAAACAAUAUUAUCUUGUACGUACAAGAACGUUCUAGUGCCCAAGUAAAAGUUUUAGUAAAACGUAUAAGAACUCUAAGUGUAAAGAGAGUUUCGUCAAGGUACUAUAGUAGUAUCUAAUGCUCUUUGCUAGUGUAAACUAUUUGUGCCAUGUGUGGUAUUUCAAUCUUCACAAGUGGCAUUGCAUAUAGUGGCUCUUAUUUCAGUUCCUCAGAGGCACUCUAGAGGUACGUUAGCUUAUAAGCUAGUAUUUGGUCAUCAUGUGCUUCUUUUAAUGAAACAUGUGGUUCAUUUUGUCCUUAUACGAGAGCAUUUUGUGUGGAAUAACCUUGUAAAAUGCUCAUUUAUCAAGGACACAUGUCGUGUUGUCAGAACAUAGUAAAAAUAUGAUACGCUAACCCAUGUGCAUUUAUGAAAAAUCAAAUGAAAACAAAGAACUAAAAAAAAUGCAAAGGCUAAUUCAUAAUGUUUGAGUUUGAGAUUAUUAAUAUUUAAUUUUAUGGUUGCAAAGAUAAGAAUAAAAGUAGGUCUAGUGAGAAAUACCCUCAUAUUAUAAUACUAUUUAAAAUAAAUUUUGUUAUAAAAGAUUUUAUUUAAUAAGUAUGGAGACUGUUCAAAAUAUAUUUUACGUACAAACUCAUAUGUUUGACGUAAUAGUAUGUCUCAUGCUAGGACUAGCAAUGGUCAAAUCAACCUAUUUCGAUAAGAUCCAUCAAAAUUAAUAUUUAAAAAAUUUAUCAUCUCAUUAUACAAUACACAGCUUUGCCAUCACAGCUUUGCCAUCUAGUAGAGAAUGAUUGGUUGGCACACCAUAGUUUACACGAAUAUUUCUAAUAUUUGAAUCGUCUAUUAGAAAAUUUUAAUCCUACCAAGAUCUUGUAAGUAAAAAUAUCAAAUAAAUAGUAAAUAGAAAAUAUACAGAGAAUAAGACCAAUCAUACAACACAAUAAUUUACGUGAAAAAUUCUUAUAUUGAAGAAAAACCACAGUCGCCAAAGAUGACAAAAGAAAAAUCUACUAUUUAAAUAUCAUUAUAAUUACUUUAAUAUUUUCCUCACAUAAAAAACCCCAAUAACAAAUAAUCUCUCAUUUCAGAAACUGGCUACUUGUAUAGAACUGAUUGUUGUGUUAUUCAAACAAGUGAAUCUAAUCUUUCGUAUAUAUUGUGAUUAUUUCAUAUUGGAGAAAUAUUUAUUUCCUUAUAUAAUUUGUAUUUCUCCUUUAAUAAGUUCUUUGGCAUUACUUAUUCCUUAAACAUGAAACCCCCCCCCUGAACAAGAAAAUUACUAAAUAAAAACAUUCUAGGAAAUAUCCUAAUUUAGGAUUUACAAAUCUUCAUUGAAAAAGGAGAUAUGUUUCUUAAAAAUCUCCACUUUGGUGAGUUUUUCAAUUAAGCGACAAAAUAUAAUCUGCCAUACAUCUAUGCAACCAUGUCGUCUCCCCCUUAUUUAGUCUACCAAAACCACACUGACAUAAGUCUAAUGAGAAUCACUCCACCAUGAGUAAAAUCUUGUCCUCUAUCCAGCAGCCAUAAUUUUCUACAUCGAGAAUCAUCAUACUCCACAUUAUCCAGAGCACACAUGUUUUGUAACACUCCAAAAAUUACCCAUGAAAACACAAGGGUAAAAUUGGAAUGAAACUUUACAUCAUUUAUUCUUAUUAAUAAAUCUCAAGAUAGACAAUUAUUCAUACUCCAACUGAAUCCUUACAUAAAACAUCUGAAAUAAAGUCUCCAAAGAAAAGUCUCUAGUCCAAAAUAAAAAGUCUAGCCAAAUUCACUCUUGAAAGCAACUCCAAAGUCCACUAAGAAAAAUUCUCCAUCUAAGCACCCAAGCCACAUUUCUAAUCAAUCUCCAAAAUAUUGGAGACGAGGGGUGAGCCGUCAACUCGGUAAGCAAAUCUAUGCACAAUAUUUGAAAACCUUGUCAUUUUACCUUUAAAUAUUUUAUAACAACAUCUUCAUUUAGCAUAAGGGGUGGAUUCAUAUAAAAGCAUUAAAAACAUUAAAACAUUCAUAAAACCGUUAAAACAUAAACAUUGGUAGCUCAUGCCUCGUACUCAUCAUCAUUCAUCAUUCAUCAUUUAGGGUGUUAUACCCCGCAUUUUUCCUCAUUUAGGGUACUAUACCCCACAUUGUUCAUAACAUCCUUGUGCACCAGAUCAUCAUCAUACCAGCAAGCUGGCCUUAGCAUUUCAUAACAUCAUAACAUUAACAUCAUAUACAUUACUACGGACUAUGAGCCAAAAUAUUUUUGAAUCCACCUUACAUCUUUUCAUAAAUAGCAUUUAAAGUCUUCUAAAACAUUUAAGAACUUUUCUUUUAAACAUUUAAUUCUUUUAAAAAAAUUCUUUAAGAAAACAUUUAAUUUAAAAAAAACUAAUUUCUUAAGAAAAAAUCAUUUUAAAAUACAUUUAUAUAAAUUCAUUUAGAAGCAUUUUUAUUUUAAAAAAUUCAUUUAAAUAUGUUAGAAAUCAGUUUUGUAAAAAUCUCUAUUUAAACAUAAUUCUUAUAACAUAAUUCGCAUUUAUUAUAAAGGACAUCAUGCAUGAAUCUACUUACCUCGAUCCAUAGCAAUCAAUUCAAUGUCUCAAGAAUAACCAACGAGCUCACCCACGUCCUAUAGUCAUCAUAAAAAUAUUCUUAUCAAUAUCAUCUCUAACCUUAAACAUAAUCCCAGUCAGCCUUAAAUCAUAGGCUCUUAUACUAGCUUAAUACUUAUACAUAUUCUAAACAUAUCCUAUACUUAUGAGUAUCCUGUACAUGCUGAUUUUUAAUAACCUAUACACAUGUCGAAAAACCAUGAAAAUUUACAGAGGCACUGUGAACAUGCAUAGCAUUGCAUACAAUAUUUCACAAUUUACAGAGGCACUAUCAACAGAAGCUUUUUGAUCAGUUCCCCACAGACGGCGCCAAAAUGUUGAUGCGAGAUUCUGGUUCUCCUCGUUCUACGACCAGGCUCUCUGCUCGAUCAACUUCACCACGACCAGGAGGUCUCCUCGUAAGGCUUCUUCUCCAGAGGUUCCUGCGCACACAGACAAGUCAGAGUAUGCCGGUUGUUUUCCCGGCGCAAACCCUCCGACGCUCAAGUCAGAUAUGAAGGUUCGGGGAAUGCUUGCCACAGAUCUUAUGGCUUUUUCGUAGUUUGCUCUUCUUUAGAAUUUCUUUAGCUCUCUUCUAAUCUCAAAAUUGCUAACCCUUUUACCUUCGUUGGCUACCUUUUUAUAGGCUUCCUCUGAAUCCCAGUUUUCCGCAGCCUAAGUCCGUUAUCCUCCCACCUCUCGAACGUGGAUUCCCCAUUUCCGUAGUCAUGGGUGGUUGCGUGGCCUUCGUGCCUAGAUUCUCGGGCUGGAGAGCAUGCCUCGCCAACUGUCGUUGACCGGGUCUCCUCGAAUCAACCCUUAGCAAGAAUACAGCAGGAAUGGCUUUAUGCUUCUUGCAGGAAAUUGACCUCGCGGAUGAUGUGUUUCCUGGUGACUUCCUGGUCGAGGUGACCAAUAACAUCCUGGUCGAGGUCAUGUGCUCGAGGUCACCACAUAUUUUUCUGGUCGAGAUGAUCUGCUCAACCAUUUGCUUACUUUUACUUUGAGGAGAGCACGAUAAUGUAUGAGCAAACACCUUUAUCUUGGUCACCCUAUUUCAUUCCCUAAACACCAGUCCCCCAGUUUCUAGUGUUGAGAGUGAAACGAAUCAAGACUGGAAACUUUAGUGGUCUGCUCGUCUUCGCUUGGUUGAGCAGAUCCUAGUAUGCUUGGCUUUCUGUCUCCCCAUAAAACAGGCUUUGAGACUUUGAUGAGCCUUUGCAUGCCUUUGAUUCUUCAAGGAUUGGGAUUCUGCUCGCCUUCUCGUGGUCGACCAGAUCCUGGCACGCUUGGCUUCUGUCUCGCCAUAAAACAGGCUUUGAGACUUUGAGCCUUUGCAUGCCUUUGAUUCUUCAAGGAUUGGGAUUCUGCUCGCCUUCUCGUGGUGGAGCAGAUCCUGGCACGCUUGGCUUCUGUCUCGCCAUAAAACAGGCUUUGAGACUUUGAUGAGCCUUUGCAUGCCUUUGAUUCUUCAAGGAUUGGGAUUCUGCUCGCCUUCUCGUGGUCGAGCAGAUCCUGGCACGCUUGGCUUCUGUCUCGCCAUAAAACAGGCUUUGAGACUUUGAGCCUUUGCAUGCCUUUGAUUCUUCAAGGAUUGGGAUUCUGCUCGCCUUCUCGUGGUCGAGCAGAUUCUGGCACGCUUGGCUUCUGUCUCGCCAUAAAACAAGCUUUGAGACUUUGAUGAGCCUUUGCAUGCCUUUGAUUCUUCAAGGAUUGGGAUUCUGCUCGCCUUCUCGUGGUCGAGCAGAUCCUGGCACGCUUGGCUUCUGUCUCGCCAUAAAACAGGCUUUGAGACUUUGAGCCUUUGCAUGCCUUUGAUUCUUCAAGGAUUGGGAUUCUGCUCGCCUUCUCGUGGUGGAGCAGAUCCUGGCACGCUUGGCUUCUGUCUCGCCAUAAAACAGGCUUUGAGACUUUGAGCCUUUGCAUGCCUUUGAUUCUUCAAGGAUUGGGAUUCUGCUCGCCUUCUCGUGGUCGAGCAGAUCCUGGCACGCUUGGCUUCUGUCUCGCCAUAAAACAGGCUUUGAGACUUUGAGCCUUUGCAUGCCUUUGAAAAUUUCCACAGUUGUAAGUGACUGAAAUUCUUCGACGUUCCAUUAAUUGCAGGAUUCAACUUACAUGAAAUUGCUUAGUCAUAAAAUAAAUAACGGCAAAUACGAACAGAAAGAACUUGAGAAUAUUAACGACUCUUACUGGAAAUAUUUCCUGAGGUGUGCUGCGUUCCAUGGGCGCUUCACCUCGUGGCCAUCCAUGCGAACCAGCUUGUAAGCUCCCAGACCAACUAGCUGCUUGACUCUAUAUGACCGAGCACUCCUUGAGUCGAGUCUUUGGUGUUCUGAUUCACUCUCCUUAACACCCAAUCUCCGACCUUGAACUACCGUAUGUUCACCUUCUGGUUAUAAUACCGGGCAACCCUCUGCUGGUAAAUGACUGAUCGCUCGGCUGCUUGCUCCCUCUUUUCCGUUAGCAGGUCAAGAUUUAAGCAUAUCUGCUCGUCGUUCUCCUGCUUAUUAAAAUGGUCUGUCCGGUGCGUGGUCGUUCCUAUCUCAGUUGGUACGACCGCUUCAUGUCCGAAAGCCAGGGCGAACGGUGUCUCCCCAGUUGCUGUUUUAUGGGUUGUCCUGUAUGCCCAUAGGACACCUGACAGCUCAUCAACCCAUGUACCAUUUUUUGCUCCAAGCCUAGUUUUCAAAAGUCUCUUGAUGGUCUUGUUGGCUGCUUCUACUUGUCCAUUCGAUUGAGGGUGAGCAGACGAGCAAUACUUCAGCUCUAUCCCGAGGUUCUGGCAAAAAUCCCUGAAGCUAUGAUUAUCGAACUGCCUGCCAUUAUCCGUUACCAAGGCAUAAGGGAUCCCGUAUCGACAGACCAGGUUUCUCCACACAAAGUCUGUCGUUUUCUUCUCUGUAAUCCUGCUAAGGGCUUCGACCUCUAUCCACUUCGUGAAGUAAUCUAUAGCAACUAUUGCAUGCGUUGCUGCUCCUCGUCCCUUUGGCAGCGGGCCGAUCAGAUCAAUUCCCCAUUGAGCAAAUGGCCAAGGGGAGGCCAUAGAGGUGAGCUUCUCUGGUGGUUGGUUGGGGAAACUUGCAAAACUCUGGCAGCUUACACAGCUCCUGGUCUUCUCCUGUGCAUCCUGGUGCAUUGUCGGCCAGAAAUAUCCCUGCCUUAGAACCUUGUGGGCCAGGGAUCUCCCACCAGAAUGAUUCCCGCAAAUUCCUUCAUGUACUUCUCUUAGUACGUAAUCCGCGUCGUCCUCAUCCAAACAUCGAAGGAAAGGUAGUGUAUAUCCUCGCCGAUACAGUAUCCCAUCAAUCAUCGUGUAUCUCGAGGCAUGGGCUCUAAUCUUCCGAGCUCGCAGCUUAUCUGGUGGUAAUACCCCGUCUCUAAGGUAUGAAACUAUCGGGUCCAUCCACGAGCAUUUUUGUUCUAUCCGCAGCACCCCCGAAUUCGGCUCGAUGCUCGGGCUGGACUUCACCUCCAGAGGGAUCGACUUUGGCAUUUUUGGGUCUACUACCGCUGCCAUCCUGGCUAGAAUAUCUGCUCGACUAUUCUGCUCCCUUGGGAUUUGUACUACCUCCACCGCUUUGAAUUUUCCCAUCAUCUGCCUGACUAUCUUCAAGUACUGCUCCAUCUUCUCCUCUCUUGGUUGGAAUCUUUCACUGACAUGAUUCGCAACCAGCUGGGAAUCAGUUCUGAUCUUCAUUCUAUCUGUUCUCACGGCCUUAGCCAGUUCCAAUCCUGCUAUCAAGGCUUCAUACUCUGCCUGGUUAUUUGUUGCUGCGAAUUCUAACUUUACAGCAUAAGAGAUCUCUUCCCCCUCCGGGCCUUCCAAUACACCUGAUCCCUGCUCCCCUGAUGACCCAUCUACAGACAUUUGCCAUACUUGAGCUUCGCCACUGUCUGCAACUACAUCUUGUUGGUCUAAACAUACUUCAGGCUCUGUGAAUUCUGCUACGAAAUCGGCCAUUGCCUGAGCCCUCAUCGCUGCUCGGGGUUUGUAGUCUAUGUCGAACUCACUCAGCUCUAUAGCCCACUUGACGAGUCGACCAGAAGCAUCGGGCUUGUGCAGAGUUUGACGCAAUGGCUGGUUUGUUAUAACCGAGACUGGGAAUGCCUGAAAAUAUAGCAUCAAUUUCCGAGCAGCAACCACAAGGGCAAGUGCCCAUUUCUCCAACAGUGGGUACCUGGUCUCAGCGUCGAACAGGGCCUUGCUGGUGUAGUAUAUUGGAUACUAAACUCCUUCUUCCUCUCUCACCAGAACAGAACUGGCGGCCCGAUCCGAUACCGCCAGAUACAAAAAUAACUUGUCCCCAUCCCUCGGUGUGGAUAGCAGAGGGGCUUGCUGUAAAUACUGCUUCAAGUUCUGAAAGGCUUCCUCGCAUUCCGGGGUCCACUCUGUUUUCUUUCCCCUCCUUAUCACUUGAAAGAAUGGUUGACACUUAUCUGUAGCCUUGGAUAUUAAUAGGCUCAAUGCCGCCAAUCUCCCCGUAAGGCUUUGUAUUUCCUUCAGGCUACGAGGAGACCUCAUCUGCACGAUCGCCUGGAUCUUCUCAGGAUUUGCUUCGAUCCCCCGAUGACUCACCAUGAAUCCAAGGAACUUCCCCGACUCGACCCCAAAAGCACAUUUCUCCGGGUUGAGCUUGAUCUUAUACUUCCUCAAAAGCUCGAAUGUCUCCUCGAGGUGUCUGACAUGUUCCUUCGGGAUUUUGGACUUGGUGAUCAUGUCAUCCACGUACACCUCCAUGGUUUUCCCAAUCAACGGCUUAAAGACUUUGUUCACCAGCCUCUGAUAGGUGGCCCCAGCAUUUUUGAGACCAAAUGGCAUUACCCUAUAACAGAACAAACCCUGGUUAGUGAUGAAAGCCGUGCUCUCCUCGUCCUGCUCGUACAUGGGGAUCUGGUUGUAUCCCGAGAACGCGUCCAUGAAGCUAAGCAGAGCGUGUCCAGCCGUUGAAUCUACUAGCUGAUCGAUCUUUGGUAAAGGGAAGCUGUCCUUUGGGCACGCCUUAUUGAGGUCUGUGAAAUCCACACACAUCCUCCACUUCCCAUUCGCUUUCUUUACCAACACCACAUUCGAUAUCCAUUCAGGGUAAUUGACUUCCCGAAUGAACCCUGCUCUCAAGAGCUUCUCCACCUCGCCAUUUAUAGCCUCAUACCUCUCUUGGUUGAAGCACCUCCUCUUCUGCCUUACUGCCCGAGCACCUUUCUUUAUUGCCAGCUUAUGACAUGCUACCUCAGGGUCAAUCCCUGGCAUGUCUUCAUGUGUCCAAGCAAACACAUCUGCAUGAGCCUGUAAGCAUUUCACCAACUCCUGCUUUUGCUCUCCCUUAAGUCUCGACCCGAUUCUGAUUGUCUUUCCCGGAUUCUCUGGUCCCAGGCUUACAGUUUCCAGAUCCUGUACAGGUUCUUGUCUGCCAUUCUUGUUUUCCACUCCGGUAUCGAGGGAUGUUAUCUGCAUUGCUUCCCCUGUUUCCAUCGCUUUUCACUUGCUUUACUCCCCUUCUUGCUAUCAACAGAAGCUUUUUGAUCAGUUCCCCACAGACGGCGCCAAAAUGUUGAUGCGAGAUUCUGGUUCUCCUCGUUCUACGACCAGGCUCUCUGCUCGAUCAACUUCACCACAACCAGGAGGUCUCCUCGUAAGGCUUCUUCUCCAGAGAUUCCUGCGCACACAGACAAGUUAGAGUAAGCCGGUUGUUUUCCCGGCGCAAACCCUCCGACGCUCAAGUCAGAUAUGAAGGUUCAGGGAACGCUUGCCACAGAUCUUAUGGCUUUUUCGUAGUUUGCUCUUCUUUAGAAUUUCUUUAGCUCUCUUCUAAUCUCAAAAUUGCUAACCCUUUUACCUUCGUUGGCUACCUUUUUAUAGGCUUCCUCUGAAUCCCAGUUUUCCGCAGCCUACGUCCGUUAUCCUCCCACCUCUCGAACGUGGAUUCCCCAUUUCCGUAGUCAUGGGUGGUUGUGUGGCCUUCGUGCCUAGAUUCUCGGGCUGGAGAGCAUGCCUCGCCAACUGUCGUUGACCGGGUCUCCUCGAAUCAACCCUUAGCAAGAAUACAGCAGGAAUGACUUUAUGCUUCUUGCAGGAAAUUGACCUCGUGGAUGAUGUGCUUCCUGGAGACUUCCUGGUCGAGGUGACCAAUAACAUCCUAGUCGAGGUCAUGUGCUCGAGGUCACCACAUAUUUUUCUGGUCGAGAUGAUCUGCUCAACCAUUUGCUCACUUUUACUUUGAGGAGAGCACGAUAAUGUAUGAGCAAACACCUUUAUCUUGGUCACCCUAUUUCAUUCCCUAAACAUUUCCUUCUCCAAAGACUUAUAUUUCUUUCUUUUCUUUCUAGGGUUUGUAACGGUGUAGAAAAUAAAAGACGGCUUUUUCUUAAAUACUUGUCAAUUAAUAAAUACUUUUUUUAAAAAAAAAAUUUAAUAACUUACGUAAUUUAUUUAAAGCAAUUUGAUAAAUUUUACUCACACACAAACACUCAAUAAUAAUUAUCCUACUCAAUUUUGAUAAGGGUAAAAGUAGAAAAAUAAAUAAAAGUGGGCGUUACAUGUUUGGCAUAUGUCGAUGACAUUUCUAAAAUUACCCACUCUCAUGUUUGGCUUUUUUGAGAGCCCUCAUCAAUCAACAUAAAAAUUUCACCUCAUACCUUGCAUAAAUACUAAACUAGGGGUUGUGUGCAUAUCUUGUGGACCAAUUAGCAAUAACACAUCCUCUUCACGAAACACCAAUAGAUGUCAUAAUUACUAUCUCUUUCUGUUGAUUUAAAUCUACUUUCCAAAUUUGCUAUAUUCCAACAAUCUCUUUUAAGAUGCUUUGAUUACCUACACUCGUCCAAGGGUUUCUACUAGUGGAAUAGGCCUUACAUUGUUCUUUGCUUUACUUGUAUAGACAUAUUGAAUCAUUACGUUAUUGACUUGAGCUUCCCAUAAGCAAACAUUGAUUAUUCUGUCAAACUUUUUUGUUUCUAUCUUCAUAGGUUUUGAAAACCUCCUUGUUGCCAUAUUUGCUCUACAUUGCAACCUUAGCUCUAUUAUCACCUACUAAGAAAUAAUUAAUCCCACUUAAGAUUCGUAAGAAAAAAUAUCAAAUAAAUAGUAAAUAUAAAAUAGAUAGAGAAUAAAGCCAAUCAAAUAAUACAAAAUUUACAUGAAAAUUUCUAUACUGGAGAAAAAUUAUAAUAGCCAAGGAUGUUAAGAGAAAAAAUUAUUAUGUAAAAAUUAUUAUAAUUACUUUAGUAUUUUUUUAACACCUAAAACGCCAAAAGCACCUAAUCUCUUAAUAGAACUAUCUUUUCUCUUUCAGUAAAAACUAUUUACUUACAGACAACCAAUUAUUAUAUUAUGCAAAUAAGUAAACCUAAUCUCCACAUAUAUAUAUAUAUAUAUAUAUAUAUAUAUAGAUAGAGAGUAGUUUUCCAAUCCAGUAUCCUGGAUUGGAGUUAUAAUCCGGGAGACAAUUUGUAGCCGUCGGAUCAAAUCCAACGGCAACUUAUAUUUUUAUUUCAAAUAUUGAUUCCAACAGUAGGGCCCACAUGCAGACUUUUACAAUUUUUAAUAUUAAAAAGUAAAGCUGCUUUUAAAUAGAGAACUGAUAUUCCCUCCCCGGAUUCUUCAUCACUGACUAAAGGCAAAAAGAACUGAUACUAACAAAUCACCAUUUGGGAUUUCCACUUUUUCAUUAUCCAUUUUAGUACAACUUAAAUCAAGGGGGAAAAAGGAAUAAAACAAGCAGAUGAUUACACAUGCACACUGAGUUCCAUUUUGUCACCAUUUCUUGCCGAUGUUGCCGCCGUAAUUCUUUUUUUUUUUUUGGUUUAUCUCAAACUUUGUAAUUUUAUUAAUAUUGAGAGCAUAAAAAACAACGAGUUCAUGAUCCAUCUGAUUUUAGUAAAUCAAUCAGGUGAGCUUUGCUAUUAACUUUCCUUCACCGGCAACUAUAGAGAAGUGCUGGAGCAGGAUCUCCAGACUCCAGUCAGGCAUCAACAUCCAUCAAAAACUCACAAAACUUUCUCUCUUAAUCGCCUUUACAGACUCUUCGUUUCUCAUUUUUCUCGCUUUCUUCUUCUUCGAAAGCAGCGAGCCCUUCCAAUCCCUUCUUUUGUGGCUCUCCUUUUCCCUCUUCAUCCGCCCCUUCGCCAUCGCUCAACUCACCUGCGGUCACACUGCGUCGGUCACAGCCCAAUCAUUGAAACCCCUCAUAUCCAGAUCCAAAGAUUAAAAGGAAGCCUUAGAAGUCGAUCGUUAAAAUCUCAAAUGGGUCAAUUGGAAUUGAGUAAAAAGAGAAGAAAUUUGAAGUCUUGGAGGAAUCAAAUGGAGAGGAUAUUCAGAUUCUGAAAAGCAGUGAUGAAGAAACCGAUGGGGAAGAUCAGUUCUCUCUCUAAAAAUUUAUCAGGCAACUUUAUUUUUUUAAUAUUAAAAAUUAUAAAAAGUCUGCAUGUGGGCCCUUAUGUUGGAAUCAAUAUUUGAAAUUAAAAUAUAAAGUUGCUACAAAUUGUCUCCCGGAUUAUAACUCCAAUCCAGGAUACUGGAUUGUAAAACUACUCUAUAUAUAUAUAUAUAUAUAUAUGUAUGUAUGUAUGUAUAUAUGUAUAUGUAUGUGGGUAUGUAUGUAGGUAUGUAUGUUCUGAGGUUAAGCUACGAUCAAUUGCCAUCUCGCCUUAAACAAUGUGUUGCUUAUUGUUCAAUCUUUCCCAAGGAUUAUCCAUUUGAUAGUUAUACUUUGGUUCAAUUUUGGAUGGCUCAUGGUCUUCUCCAAUCCCAUAAUAAGAAUGAAGAGUUAGAAGAUAUUGGUAUGCGGUACUUGAAGGAAUUAGUAUCAAGAUUUGACUUUUGAGAUGUUUGGACGGGAGGUGUUGUAUUUCAAAAUGCACGACCUUAUGCAUGAUCUUGCCCUGCUAGUGGCCAAAGAUGAAUUCCUAGUAGUGAACUCUGAUUGUCAAUUUAUUCCCAAAAGAGUCCGCCAUUUGUCAUUUGCUGCUGCUAAUGCAUCAAGAAAUGACUUUUCAAGCCUUUUAUCUGAUCUAGGUCGUGUGAGAACCAUUUUCUUUUCAACUGAUGAUGAUGAGAAGACAAGCCAAUCAUUUGUUGAAUCAUGCAUCUCAAAGUCGCAGUUCCUGAGAGUGCUAAAUUUAAGUGAACCUGCUCUUGAGGUUUGUCCCAGGAAGAUUGGUCAUUUGAAGCACAUGAGGUGUCUUGAUUUGUCGAGAAAUUAUAAAAUCAAGAAACUUCCAAAAUCCAUUUGCGAGCUACAGAGUUUACAAACACUGAAUCUUGAAGGAUGUCUGGAGCUAGAAGAGUUGCCUAAAGACAUAAGGUACCUUGUCAGUCUCAGAUUGUUAGGAAUAACCACAAAACAGAAGUCUUUGCAAGAGAGUGGAAUAAGGAGCUUGGGUUCUCUUCGUUGUUUGUAUAUUGCUGAUUGUAGGGAUUUAGAACAUUUGUUCGAGGAGAUAGAUCAAUUAAGUGUCCUUCGAACAUUAUCAAUUGGUGAUUGUCCUCGUCUAAUCUCAUUGCCACCUGCUAUCAAAUAUCUCAGCUCAUUAGACACUCUGAAUUUGUGGAGGUGUGAAAGCCUUGAUCUUAAUCUGAACGUGGAAAUGGAAGGUGAAGGAAGUCAUCAUGAUCGCAAAAACACAAGGCCUCGCCUUCGGAGGGUUUUGCUCAGGGCAAUAACACAGUUAUUAGAACUGCCACAAUGGCUUCUUCAAGGUUCUACUGAUACUUUACUUAGCUUGGUAAUUAGAGAUUGUCCCAACUUCAUGGCACUGCCAGGGUCUCUAAAAGAUCUCAAAGCUCUUGAAGCUCUUGUCAUUGCAAGAUGUCCAAAAUUGUCAUCGUUGCCGGAGGAUAUGCAUCACGUCACAACUCUGAAAUCAUUGACCAUUGCAGGAUGUCCUGCACUGAGUGAACGAUGCAAACCGCCAACAGGUGAAGAUUGGCCCAAGAUUGCACAUAUCCCUGAGAUUUUACUUGAUGGCGAGAUGAUUAAAUCAAGUGAUUAUUAGGUAUGGAUUUUUUUUUCAAUAAGCAUACCACUCUGUUAUAUUUCCUCUUUUCAUGCAGCUUUCUAAUUUUUAAUUUCUCAUACAGCUAUACCGUUUAUAGUUUAAUGUUUUGUUAUGUUUACCAAACGAAAACUUGACUUUGAACGUUAGUUAGUUCAAUCAAAUUUGUACUAAUUUAUUUUCUUCUAAUACAUAACUAGUUUGUCAGUACAAAACACAAAAAUAAUAUUUUGGAAACCGCACUGUUCUGGGGGUCAGAUCUGUUUCUAAAUUCAAACAGUUCAGGAUUUUUCAAAAUGGAACUUAUAAUGAGAUAUUUUUUUUAAUUAUCUAGUUAUCUUCAUAUGGAAUUUCAAUCUUUGUUAAUACUUUAACUUGCGCGGAAACAUCUAACAAUUCUUCCUCUUAUCCUUUUUUUUUUCCCAAAUAUUGCAGCUUUCUUGGGAGAGGUUCAACCAAACUGCAGGGACAGUGAAAAUAUUACUCUUAACGUUGUUCAGAACAGAGGUUCAACGGUUUUAAUGUUGUGUUUUAAAGUUACAAGUAUUAUAUAUUCGUUACGUGUGGUUAUGUAAUUUGCUGAUAAACAAGUACAUUGAGUGAGGUAUAUGUGUGUGCCUGUGUGGUCAUUACUGAAUUUCUCAGUAAUAUAAUUUGCAUUGACUGCAGAUUUGUGAAGAACAUUGAUGUGUUGUGUAAUGGGAACGGUGGUGUCUGUAUUUUGUGCUUUGUGAUUGACGACUUACAUUUGCCCAGGAAGAAAUGAAAACAAAUCGGCUUCUUGAAAUUAACCAUUUAUUCUUUCGAAUGGUAACCUUUUUGUGACAUGAUUCGCAUAUUAAUCAAAAGCAGUUGGCAAACUAAUUAGAUAUUGCAUCGUGAUUCGUGGCCUUGAAGGGAAAUGAGUGAGCAUGUUUGUGGAGGUUUUUGUUUUUUUCCUCCAUAUAAAAUGACUAAUUCGAAAGAAUAUGUAUUUGUAACGACCCGCUCCGACCUCCACAGGGCGAAUCUUACUGAUAGAUUCUUAAAAUAAAAUAAUAAUAAAUAAGAAUAAUAAUAAUCCUUUUACAAUCCAUAAAAAUCAUAUCCUUGAAAAUACAAAGAUAAAAUGCAAACUGCAGCGGAAGAAUUUAAAAUUCAUGCCAAACCAUCUAAUUCCUCCAUUCAAGUCCUUCUCGUUGCUCAUCACGACUCAAUCCUGAUUUACAAAAACUGAAUCACAAUAAACUAUAAUGAAUACGAAACUCAGUAAGUAAAUCAGCUUUGCAUAUACCAAAAUACAUACAUACAUAUAUAUAGUGCACAUGAAUGACGUACCGUGGUAUUCGAAAACAUUGUAAAACAAAUCAUCGAAAUCUCAUUCUGUCUUUCUCAAACUUUCACUUUCUCUUUCAAACCACUUACUUGAGCUACCUUCAUUCGAUUACCGCUUAGUAAGACACUCUCUUAACUUUCAUAACUUUCAUAGUUCUCACCAAUGUGUCCUUCGCCCACUUAUCUCAUAACUAUAUAAACAUCUAGAGUAUCCUCCACUAAGCCAGUAACGAAUUCAAGCAUCCAAGCUAAAACUGUAAAACAAUCUUUCUUUCGUCAAAUUCCACUUGCUAAAAUCAACUUUCUCAUUUUGCAGAAAUCAUAAUGCAUUUUCAUGCUCAUGCCAAUGAAAUAUUCACACAUACGUAUGCCCAUGUCCAUAAAUACACAUAACAACAUAUCAUACCAACACAUCACAUAAACACAUGGGCAAAACAUAUAAAUCAAUAUCCGGACAUAUACAAAAAUAAACUUUUCAAACAUGUCAAACAUAUAUAUUGUUUAUUGUGAUUCGUUUGGAAAUAUAGUUUACUUACCUCAUGGCAUCCUCGAAUAACAAAUGCACAUCGAUAUCAUCGGCCUAUAAAUAAAUAAAAAUACUCUCAUGAGAAUAAAAUUAAACAAUAAUCAUAAACUCCAAUAUUCUUAAAUUCCUCAAUAUAAUCACAUUCCAUACUAACCUCAAAUAAUUUUAAUUUAAAUAAUAAAUCAUCAAAAUACUCACAAUUCUUGAAAUUACGAAAUUACCCUCAAAUAUCAAAAUUACCAAAAUACCCUUGAAUUCAAUAUUACUAAAAUACCCUCAUAUCAAAAUUACCAAAUUAACCUCAAAAUCAUAAAUUACCAACUUUAUCCUCAAUUUCAGCAAUUAUUAAAACACCCACAAAAUCUGAAAUUACAAAAUUGCCCUUGGACUGUGAAAUUACCGAAAUACCCUUGCCGGUGGACGGUCACCGGAAUUCAACCGACGGCGACGGGAUGGCUCCGGAUCGAGCUCCCAAAAUCGUGAAUCCUCCAACGGCCGAUCAACGGCAAAACGACGUCCCCGGCGUCAGUGGUUAGUCGGAAAUGGCAGAGGGAAAGGUAAGAAACAAAACUCAAGUGAUGGCUUCACCGGAAACCGGCGAAAUCACGGCGAAUCGAGCCGGCGAUUCCGCGGUACUUCAAAGCUUCGAUCGGUGGCUUUCCGAUCGAUUUCCGGCGGCAAGGACGGCAUGGAUACGUUGCUCGUCUCUCAAGCUUCAAAUCGGUACCAACCUUGACCGGAACGGUGGCCGGAAAUGGAAUAACCGGCCGGGUCGCGCUCGCGGGUCGGGUUGGAUCCGGUUCUGUUUCUCCUCUCUCUCUCUUCUCUUCUCUCUUUCCUUUCUCUCUUUCUGUCAAUUUAUAUGGGUGGUCAACAGAGUCAAAACCGGGUGUGGGGUAUUACAGUAUUGUAAUAGAACCUAGAACUUCUAUGUAUUUUAGAAUGAAAAUUCUGUACAAUAGAAAAUAUUAAAACGAAAAUUAAAGUUGAUAUGAGAAAAUUAAAGAAGCUUGGAACUGCAAUCUAGCUCGACCUACUAUAUAUAUAUAUAUAUGUUAUUAAUUAAUUGAUCAGGUAAGAUAGAGAGAGACUCUCGGACUCUUUACAAGGAGCAAAAAUGGUAUGAAACUCUGUUUUGAUUAAAAUUCAAUGACUUUCUUCGUAUUAAUUAAUUAUUUUGGUGAAAUUGAUUCACGGUUUCAAAUGAGGACAUGCCGCGGAUGCGUGCGUGCCGUAUGACAUCGAUGAAAAAGUAAAGAGUUUGAUUUCUCUAUUUUACCCUUAAUUAAUCGUUGACAUCUAAUUUUACACUCCCAACAAAUUUGAAUGAAACAAUCCUAAGUGAUCUGCUCUUCAAUUGCAUUGCCUUUGCUUUAUGUUUCUCUGACAAAAGGGUUUGCUUGUUCUUUACUUUAUCAGCUGAGAAUAUAUUUUACAAGUUUACUUUGAUUUCUGGCUUUAUGGCCUCUGUUUGAUGUGUGUAGUAUUUGACUGUAAUGCGAGUAUUGUGUGUUUUCAGCUUUGUAUGUGAUGCGGUAGAUAGUUGGUGUGCUCGUCAAUGCAAUCAAGGUAUGAUUCGUACGAAGUGAUCUGCUAUCUAUCUUUUGGCAAAUUAAGCGUCGAUGAUUUAUGCUAAUUGAGCCGCUAAAAGUUGUCUUUGUGUGUGAUUGAGUACAUGUUAGUGUGAAUUCUCGUAAUGUUUAUCCAGUCAAAGCAAACGUUCGUCUUUCACAUUGACUAUUAGGCAAGAUGUUUGAUAGUGAAUUAGAUGAUUCAGUUUAUUAUAGUCUUCUUAUAUUGUCGGUUCAAUAUCAUUUUGAAAUAUCGCAUCAACUCCGCUUUUGGAGUUUUAAUCCAUGCCCAGUUGCACCUUUAUUUUACUUUUGAGCUGCAACAUUGAGUCACAUUCUUUUUGCUGUUAUUAUUUCCAUUAGCGACUGGUACAGUGGUUCCUGAACAACAUAGUAUGUCAACUUUCACUCUAAAUGUCUUAGAAACUCUGUAUAUCACUAAUUUCCUAGAACAGGCCUCGUUGACAGUCAAAGAUUUGAGGCAUAUUUCUGGAUUGAAGGCUUUUUUGUAGUCGAUUUGAUGAUAAGCACAUUUAUUAUCUCCAACAUUUUAAGCACUAAUUUGUAACUAGUAUUUUAAACAUGUCAAGAGUCGCUAUAAUCAUUGUGCUUGGAGCCCAUCAGGCCAUCACAGCAGGGAGAGUAAAAAUGAGUUCGUGGGUCCUCUCACUUAUGGACUAAAGCCUAUUCACAAGAAUUCCAGGAACGGCUCAUCGCCGCACGUCCCUGGAGUUUGUACGUGCGGCCGUCCACUUCAGGUUCUUCUUUUAUGUAUAGAAGCUGGACACGUGCUAGCAUCACGACAAGAGCCGUCCAUUUCCACAGCCAUCAAGACAAGUUGGCUAAGGCAACUAGUCAAUAAAUCAACGGUCGGUUAGCGGCAGAGCCCACUGAACUCAUUAAAACUCAACUCUCUAUAUAAUUUAAACAAUUAAUUGGGUCCUCCUAACUUGCAACAGUUGCAUGAUACCCUAAAUUUUGUCAUUUUCUGAUUCAGCCAAUAAAUCUAAUGGCUAAAGUAUUCAACGGUUGAGAUGUAUUCAAUUAGUUAUUAACAUUUAAGUCCUUAUUGUUUAUAUAAAAUUACAAAAGCUAAAAGUUCUUAAAUAUUUAUUUAUAUAACUCUUAUUGUUUUAAAUUUUUUAAAGUUUGAUCCAUUGACCUAACUUAAUCAUAAACAUGAUUGAUGGUGUAAAGAUGAUAAUGUAAUAUCACAUAAAAUUUUUUAAACACAUGAAAAUUUGAUAAAUGUAAAUAAUAUUUCUAGAAUAAAUAAACUGAAUAUGUAUUAAGAAUAUAGGUUAUUGACCUUGCAAUACUUUAGAAAAGUAUAAAAUAAAAAAGGUGAAAUUUCAAAAUAAGAAACAUGUAAAAAGUGUUACGUUGUAAAAUUUUAUCAUUUUAAUAUUACGAAACUUUACUUUUUUUUAAUUACAUUUUUGUUUUUAACAUUAGCUGACAUGCUAGUUUAUUUAAUUAUUUAUACAUACAAUGUGUUAAUUUACCUAUAAAAUACCAAUAUUACUCUUGAAAUUUAAGGAAGCCAUUUUAAUUUUUUAAAAUUUUAAAUGUAGUCCAAUAAAGUUAUAGAAAGAUAAACAAAGAAUAAUAUAAAAGGAAGUUAUUUUUUUAAGAAUAUUUCAAAAGAAUUUGAGUUUUAUGUUUCUUGAGAAUUAUCUUUUUUUUUUAUAGAUGUUUGAGCUUGUAAAUCUUUUUGUAAUGAUAAUUUAUUAUUUAUUAAAAAUAAUUAAAUAGUAAAUUUAUUGAUUUUUAAAUACUCUUUUAAAUGUAGGAUAGCAGCUUAAUUUUUAUUAUGUCAGCCUAAACUUUUUUUAUAAUAGCUAAUCAACUAUCACAAAAGACUCUGCCACGAUUAUGUUUACUUUUUCUAUACCCUUUAGACCAUCAUCACUCAAAAAAUUAAGGAUCUGUUUGGCAUACUAUACUAUAUUAUAUUGUAUUGCAUUAUUUAAUAUAUGUGUAUUGUAUUAUGUUAUAUUACAUUAGUAGUAUAUUAUAAUAAUAUUGUAUAACGUUUGGUAAUUGGUAUUACAUUGUAUUGUAUUAAUUUCAUAUUAAGACUAAACUAACAUUAUUUAAAUUUAUUAUUAAUUAUAUUAAAUUUUUAUUUUUUUAUAUAAUAUAAUAUGAUAUAAUAAAAUAAUAUUAUAGUAUAGUUUAUUUUUAUAUUUUUAUUUAUAAUUUAUUUUUAUUUAUUAUAAUAAAAAUAAAAAUAUAAUUAAAAUAUAUUUAAUGCUCAAUUAAAGCAAAUUAAUAAUAAUAAUAGCAAUAGUAUUAUUUAAAACGAAAAAAUGUAUAAAGUUUAAUAAUGAUGAUGAUGGUGUUGUUGACUACAUUAAUAACAACAUAAUAAUUAAAAUAAUAAAGUUAAUAUAUAGUAAUGACUUAAUUGAACUAAUCAUAACAAUUAAAAUAAUAAAAUUAAUAAAUUUUCAUAAUAAUAAUAAUAAUUAAUGACAGUAAUAAUAAUAAAUUAUAAAUAAAAUCAUAAAUUAACAAAUUUUAAUGAUAACAAUAAUAUUAAUAAUAUUAAUAGUGAUGAUGUUUAUGAUAGUAAUAAUACAUAACAACAAUUAAAAUAAUAAAAUUUAAUAAUAAUAAUAAUAAUAAUAAUGAAAUUAAUAAAUAAUACUAAUAAUAACAGUUAAAAGUUUUUUCAAAAGCCAUUUUAUUAAAAAAAAAAGUUAUAUAUAAAAUUUUGUAACUUCUAAUGUCUAUUCUAUUUUUUCAUAAAAUAUAAGAUAACACAGUGUAAUUUACUAAAAAAAUAAAAUUCAUUGAUAUGCUGCAACAGUUACAACAUAAUUUCACCCCAAUUUUAACAACUAUAAAAAAUUUUCAACGAUAAAAUUGGAGGCUAAGGAAACAAUAAAAAAAUGUGCAGAAAAGUUGUUAAUAAAGAGGAAAAACGAAAGCUCCAUCUCCAACAAUGCCGCGUACAGCGUGGACCGACUUUUGCUGAUCAGACAAGAAAAAUAAGUACCGUGUUCGGCAACACAGAUUGUGGCACGUGGCGUACGUCUCUUGGGCCUGAGUUGUGGUGGACCCAUAUGGGCCGCGUGCUGUUGAAAAUCCAAUAAUAUAUCCGCCAGGACUCUGCUUUCGUCUUAAGACAUCAAAAACGCGGACAGCUGUCCACCUUGUUCAACGCGGUUACUUACAUCAUCAUCGUCGUCAUUAUCAUAUUAAACACAAGCUUACCCCAUUGGUUUUGUCGCCUACAUCAUCAACCCGGUUACUUACAUCAUCAAUCCUUAUCCACUACCGAACCUACCCUUGUCUCAACAUUGGGUUUUUAGCCUACUGGCUACUAAACUCUAAAGCAGGGCAAUUUUGGAAUGAAAUUAAGCUAGAGCAGAUGAUUAACGUGACCGCAUUAGCUACAAUAAAGUAGUUUUAAUUUUGGUUGGUGAAUACUCGAUCUAACCUCAGUUCUUAGAGAUCACUACAAACUGAGUGGGGAGAUACACUCAAAAAAGUCCCAUUUCAGUACAUAUACAAGAGCCCUCAUUUUUCUUUGCUUCAGCCAUUUUAUAGCAGUGUCAUCACAGACACCUCAAGCUCUGCCGAAUCAUCAUAGACAGUUUGUAAUUGGUGGGAGUAUUACAAGAAAGGUACGGCUACUUCAAACUAAUAGAUUUGUUUAUAUGAUUCAGCUAUAGUUUUUACUUUUAUAUAUGGUCAAGUUAUAACAGUAAUCAAGAGAUAAUCAUGUCCAUCAUAAUUUACAUAAAUGUACAUACUAAUUUAUUCCUCUACUUGCCAAAACCAUACAUAUAAAAUGAGAUAAAUUUUAAGGUUUAAUCUUAGGGUUGGCACAACAAUCCGGAAGAUCCAAAUCUGGAAAAAUUUGGAUCUGUAUGUUAAAAAAUACGAAUCCAGAUCUUAAAAAUCACAAUCCGUGCGGAUCCGGAUGUAAGUGCAUCUGGAAAACCGAAUAUCUGGAUUCACAAUUUUUUAUAAUUAAAUUUCAAUUGAAAAAUAUAUAAAUUAAAUUAUUUAUUUAAAUGUAUAAGCAUAAUUAACUCUCUAAUCUUCAUUAACUUUAAAAAAUAUGUUAAUAAACUAAUAAUAAUAAUAAUAAUAAUUAGAGAAUAUUGUAAUAAAUCGGUUUACCUUACAUUUUUUUAUUUUUUUAUGUUUGAUUUAUAUUGUGAAAUUAUUGUUUGUGAAUUUAUGGUGUUGUUGUAUGUUAUUUAUGUUGAAUUGAAGUUAAAUUGUUGAUUAUUAAAUUAUAAUUGAAUUUUAUUUAAUAUUAUUAUGUAAAUUAUUAAAUUUAAAAUUAUAUUUAAAUUUAUUAUUAUGCGGAUCUGGAUAUCCGGAAUAUCCGCCUGCAAUCCGUGCGGAUGUUAUCCGCAUCCGGAUCCGUAUUUUUUUUUGCAGAUCCGGAUGUCAAAAGUUCUUUUGACAUCUGGAUCCAGAUCCAAAUUUUGCCAUCCCUAGUUUAAAACUUUGUAAUUCGUUAAAAAUCUUGUGGGAUAUUAAUCGGUAAAAUCACUUAGGGAUAGUACAAGAGGUUUAUGAUUCCUCAACUCAUUUAUGUGGGUGGAGAGAGAAUCAAGUGUUUUUUUUUAAAAUAAAGUAUAAUUAAUAAUUAAUAAUCAAAUUAAUAUAAAUAAAUAAAUUGUAAGGGGGAUCGUAAAAGUUUUGUAUGUAACAUAUCGGUAGUGGAAAGAAAUUUUUUUGGAGAGGACAUUUGGCUUGGAACAUAUAUUACAAUACUCUCUUCAUCCACUUCUCAAUAAAAUAUUUUAUUACAAAAUUUUCCUUAAUUAAAUUAUUGUUUUAGCCAUAUAUUAUGUUCGUUUAUCUCCCUAAAGUUUUUAUUCUUUCACCAUUUUUUCUCUUUUCCUCUGUGUCUCCCCAAUUUUUUUCCAGUCCUAUGGGGUUCUUACUAAAGCUUCUAUUGAGUAAAAUCUCUAUUAAAAUUGCUUAUAAAAAAAAAAAGAAAAAAAGAAUGGGUCUCUUUUAAAAUUUGACUUUUCUUUCUUUACCCUUAAGUUACUAUUAGGGCAGUGUUUACUUUCUGGAGUGUGAGUGUGGAGUGUGAAUUCCUCCCACUCCAGUGUUUACUUACCUUAAAAAAGGGGGAAGUGGGAGUAGGAAUCUGUGGAUCCCACCCAAUUUUAGAGUGGGGAGUGGGAUUCCCACUCCCAUGGGGGAGGUGGGAGUGGGAAUCUACUCCCCCCUCUUCCCAUUUUAUCCUUAUAAUUAAAAUAAAUAAAUAAUAUUUAAUAAAAUAAAAAUGAAUAAAUAUUAUAUUUAAAUUAAUAAUAUUAAACAUUAAUUUUAAUAAAUAUUAAUUAUUUAUUUAAUUAAUAAUAAUAAAUAUUUUACCGUAAAAAAUAUUAAUUUUGUACUAUAUUAUCAAUAAUAAUAUUUCAUUUGUGUUGCUAUUAUUAAUAAUUUUUAUUCACAUAAUUUAAAUUAAAAUUAAUAAAAAAUUAUGAUUUACAUAAUUAAGAAUAUUAGUAAUUAUUAUUAAUUUAUAAAUAUAAUAAAAUAUUUAUUUUAUUUUCCAAAUAUAUUUUUUAUUAAUUUUUUAAUUACAAAUUAUAAUUCUGUACAUAAGGAUAAAAUUGUAAUUUAAAAGAAUUUACUCCCAAUCCAAGACAAAGUAAACAAAUAAUUGGGAUUCUGAUUCACAAUCCAUACUUUCAUUUAGUCUAAGUAAACACCCUACUCCCACUCCCACUCCCACUCCACACUCCUAAUCCAAGGAUUCCCACUCCUCAGGAUUCCUACUCCAAUCCAAAAAUAAACGCAGCAUAGAUGUAUAAUCUCACGAUGAGAGUAGUAAUUGGAUUUCCAUUAAAAAUUUUAACUUCAAAAAAUCAGAAGAUCACCAUACAAAUAUCAAAAGAUCACUAACUUAAUUAUACUGGUAAUAAUUAAGAUAAGUAAAAGACCUACUAUUUCUGUUUGAUGUUAUUAUGAUAAAGAAAGGAAAAAAAAAAAGAAAUAGCAAGUCGCUGCAAUUGCAACAAUUGAGGAUAUGCUAAUAAAAGUGUUACAGAGAUAGAUUUAAUUGAUAAAAAUAAGAUUUUAAUAAAAAGUAGUGAGAGAAACAAUUAAUAAAAACUAAUGAUAUUUAUUAAGGGUAUAUUAUGAAUAUUUGUGGCCUUUUUUGAGGUAACUAAAUAAAUUUUAAGUUGUGAUAAUGUGUUUAUUACAUAAGUGGAUUUAUUCAGUAUUCUAGUGGAUUUAAAUAGUUUCAACUCUCAUAUUAUAAUAAAUUUUUAUAUUGCUACAAUUGCCCUAAUAUAGUGGACAAUAUUAUAUUGUACGCAUAAGAAUACUCUAGCACCCAAUUAAAAUUUUUAGUAAAACUUAUAAGAACUCUAAAUGUAAAGAGAAUUUCGUCAAGGUAUUGCAGUAGUAUUUAAUGCUCUUGGCUAGUGUAAACUAUUGUGCCACACGUAGUAUUUCGAUCCUGACAAGUGCAUUACAAAUAAUGACUCUUAUUUCAGGUCUUUUAGGUACUUUAGAGAUAUAUUAGCUCUGGAGCUAGUAUUAGGUCAUCACGUGCUUCUUUUAAUGAAAGAUGUGGUUCAUUUUUCCCUACACCAGAGCAUUUUCUAUGGAAUAACAUUGUCAAAUGCUCAUUUACCAAGGUCACGUGUGGUGUUGUCAGUAUGAUAUGCUAGCCCACAUGCACUUAUGGAAAAUCAAAUGAGAAAAAUGAAUUAAAAAAAUACAAAAGCUAAUUAAUAAUGUUCGAGUUUGAGAUGAAGAAUAUUUAAUUUUAUGGAUAUAAAGAUAAGAAAGAUUUAAUGAGAACUAUCCUAAUAUUAAAAUACUAUUUAAAAUAAAUUCUAUUUGAUGUAAUAGUAUGUCUCAUAAUAAGACUCGUAGUGGUCAAAUCAACUUAUUUUGAUAAGAUCCAUCCAAUUUAAUAUUUAAAAAAUUUAACGUCAUGUUAUACAACACACAACUUUGACAUUUGAUAGAAAAUGAUUGGUUGGCACAUCAUGGCUUACAUGAAUAUUUCUCAUAUUUGAAUCUUUUGUUAGAGAAUUUUAAUCUUAUCCAAGAUCUUGUGAGUAAAAAUAUCAAAUAAAUAAAAAAUAGAUAUAGAAUAAAAUUAAUCUUAAAACACAAGAAUUUACAUGAAAGCUCCUAUAAUAGAGAAAAAUCACCGUUGCUAACGACAAUGAGAGAAAAACCCAAUAUGUAAAAAUUAUUACUAUCAUUCUAGUGUCUUUUUUCUCAUGCAGAAUCAUAAUAACAAUCAAUCUCACAAAACCUAGUAUUUUUCUCACAUUAAAAACUGUCUAUUUGUAGAGAACUGAUUGUUAUGUUAUGCAAACAAGUGAAUUCAAUCUCCUUAUAUAUAGUGAUUAUUUCUUAUAAAAGAAUCAUUUCUUUCCUUAUAUAAGUUGUGUUUCUCCUUGAAUGAGUUCUUUAGAAUUACUUAUUCCUAAAACACAAACCCCCAAUAAGAAAUCUACUAAAUAAAAGAAUUUUAGAAAAAAUCCUAAAUUAGGAUUUACUAAUCCUCAUGGAAAAAAGAGACAUAUUUCUUAAAAAUCUUCACCUUGGCAAGUUUUUUAAUUAAGUAAUAAAACAUGAUCCACUAUGUAUUGAUAAAACUAUAUCGUCUCCAUCCUUUUUACUCCACCAAAACCACACUCACAUAGGGCUUAUGAGAAGCACUCCACUAUGGUAAAAUCUUGUCUUCUAUCCAACAACCAUAAUUCUCUACACCGAGAAUCAUCGUAUUCUACCUUAUCUAGUGUACACAGAUUCGGGACAUGUUAACCACCUUUAUGAAAAUAUCCACUCUCAUGUUUGGCUUCCUUGAGAGUCCUCAACAAUCAACAUAAAAAGUCCACCAUACACUUUGCAUAAAUGCUAAAUCACGGCUUGUAUGCAAAUUCUGUGGACCUGUUAGUAGUAACACAUCUUUUUCCAUGGCAUACCAAAGAUGAUAAUCCAGUCUCUCAUGGAAAAAAUAGACACACCAAUAAAUGACAUUAUCAGUAUCUCCUAUUGAUUUGAAGCUACUUGCUAAAUAUGCUAUAUUCUAAAUUCUUUUUAAGGUGUUUUGAUUGUCUACACUCCUUCAGGGGAUUUCUACUAUCGGAAUAUGGUUUACAUUGCUCUUGCUUUCCUUGUAUAACCAAAUUGAAUCAAUAUAUUAUUGGCUUGAACUUGCCACAAGCCAAAAUUGAUUAUUUCGUCAAACUUUUCUAUUUCUAUCUUCACAAGUUUUGAAAAUCUUGUUGUUGACAUAUUUUCUCUACAUUACAGCUUUAACUAUGUUAACACUUCCUGGUAAAUAAUUAAUCCCACCUAAGAUUUUCUAAGCAAAAAUAUCAAAUAAAAAGUAAAUAAAAAAAUUGGAGGGUAAAACUAAUCAAACAACACAAGAAUUUAUGUGGAAAACUCUUAUACUGGAGAAAAAUCAUAGCUGCCAAGGACGAUGAGAGAAAAAUCUAUUAUGUAAAAAUUAUUGCAAUUAUUCUAGUAUUUUCUCACACCUAAAAACCUAAAAGCAUCUAAUCUCUCAAUAAAACUAUUGUUUCUUAUAGUAUAAACUAUCUGCUUGCGAAAAAUUGAUUGUUAUUUUAUGCAAACAAGUAACCCAACCUCCCUAUAUAUAGUGAUUUUUUCUUAUAGGAGAUUUAUUCUUUUCCUUACAUAAUUUGUAUUCCUCCUUAAAUAAGCUAAGUUCCAAAGAAAAUUUCUUAUUUUUUAAAUAGAAAUCAUACUGAAUAAGAAAAUUAUUAAAUAAGAAAAGUCUAAAAAAUAUCUUAAUUUAGGAUUUACAAAUUUUCUUUGAAAAAGGAGACAUAUUCCCUAAUAUCUCAAAUCCUCCUUGCCAAUCUCAUUUGUCAGUCAUUACUAACGAACUAGCCUAGUUGAAACUUUUAAAUUGAUGGGUCGUAAUUGUCAAUAUUUGAAUAAAACAAAUUUUCAUGGAUAUAUUGGUAGAUUGAAUGACAAUUGGCAACAUAUGAUUUAAUUAACUACUUCCCAAAAAAGUAAAAGAAGAAGAAGAAGAAGAAGAAGAUAGAUACCGUGGAUGAACAUAACACUCUUGUGCCAACUUAUGGAAUUCGUCAAUAAUGCAUGGGCAAAUCCACCUCAUGCUUAGUGGGGUUCAAACCCUCCCUAAAUAAUGAGAAAAAUAUUUGAAUUACUAAUUACUCUUUAUUAGGUCUAUUCAAACUUUAACUUUGAGAAUUAUAAAUGUCUACACUUUAAUUAAAACAACACAAGCCGACAUGUUUGUAUUUAAAAUUUUGGUUUGAAUUUAUUCAAGAGCAACAAGAAAGAUACCUAAGUUGCAGUUCAGAAAGAUACCUAUAAAAUUGUAAACCACUCUAUAUUAUUUACAAUUUAUUCAUAAGUAUUAUGAAAUUUAUAGUGCAUUCACUAAAUAAGAAUCAAAAUUAGCUGGAAACAUAAUGAGUUAGAAUCGAAAUAGCUAUAAUCAAAAUUAAGAAUUGAAAUUAAAAUAAUUUAUUUACUUAAACUGCAUGAUUCGUAAUUAGAAUGAGCUGUAGUAUUUAUAUGUUUACUUUGUCUUAGAAUCAAAAUCAGAAUGAGUUAAAUUGUAACAAAUUAAUAUAAAAUUCUUAAUUAAUUUUUAUCAUUAUUAUUAUCUUGUAUUUUAAAUAUUAUUAUUAUUAUUAUUCAAAAAUUAAUUAUUUAUAAUAAUUAUCGUUAAUUAUUAUUAUUAACAAUUUAACAAAAUAAUAAUUAUUAAUUAUUGUUAUAGAUUAAUUAAUUAUAAUACUUUUUAUUCUUGUUAAUAAAUAUAAUCUAUUUAAAAAUUAUAAUUAUAUUUAUAGUUAUAAUAAAAUAACUACUAUAAUUAUAAUUAUAAUUCAUUUAAUAAUAAUGAUAUUUUUUAAUUAAACAGAUGAUAUUUUGGGAAUUUAAAAUUAUAGGAAAAAUUACUUAUUUCUUAAAUAUGAAUUAUCUUCAAUAAGAAAACUGAAAGGUGUAGAAAAUUCCUAAUUUAAGACUUAAAAAUCUUCUUUGAAAAAAGAGACAUCUCCCAAUAUUCUCAAAUCCUCCGUACAAUGCCACCAAUCUCUUUUGUGACUAGCCCAGUUGAAACUUUUAAUGGAUGGGCUGUAAUUGCCAAUAUUCAAAUAAAAAAAGAAAAGAAAAAAAAAGAACUUACAUGCAAAAAAAAAGAAAAAAAAAAAGAUACAAUGGAUGAACAUAAGACUCUUGUGCCAACUCAUGGAAUUCAUCAAUAAGGCCUUGGCUGAUCCACCUCAUGACUAGUAGAGUUCAAACCCCCGCUAAAUAGUAAAAAAAUAUUUGGAUUAUUAAUUACUCUUUCUUAAGUCUAUUUAAACUUAACUUUGAGAAUUAUGAACGUCUACACUUUAAUUAAAACAAUACAAGCCCACCCGUUUGUAUUUAAAAUUUUGUUUGAAUUUAUUGACGAGCAACAAGAAUAGUAUAAAUGAAAAAAAAACCAUCAAAUAAUAACCCAUGACUCUGUUUCUUCAAUUCAGGAGCAAUGGUGGAAUCAUAUUUUCCGAUUGAAAAACUUUUGGAAAAAUUAGGGAGCUCUGCUUAUAAAGAACUUUUAUUGUUCUGCGGUGUCAAAAAUGACUUACAAAAGUUAGAGGAGACGUUAACCACUGUCAAAAGUGUGGUUUUGGAUGCUGAGGAAAAGCAAAUCCAUAAUCGCCGGUUAAGCGAUUGGCUGGGAAAGCUUAAGGAUGCUUGUUAUGAUGCAGAAGAUGUGUUGGAUGAAUUUGAGGUGGAAAAUCUACGAAGGCAAGUCAUGAAGCAAAGAAGCAUCGGAAGAAAGUUUCGUAACUUUUUUGGAAGCUCAAAUCCGAUAGCUUUUCGUUUUAGAAUGGGUCAUCAAAUCAAGAAAAUGCGAGAGAGGUUUGAUGAGAUUGCAAACUUGAGGGGUGAGUUUAAUCUCAUUGAACGACUUGACGAUCAUCGGCGAGUUGUUCACAAAGAAAGGGAACCCACUCACUCGUUUGUGCUUUCAUCAGAUAUUAUUGGAAGAGAUAAAGAUAGAGAAAAGAUUAUUGAAGCUCUAAUGCAAACAAGUUCUGGCGAAAGUGAAACUGUGUCUGUUCUUCUUAUCGUGGGACUUGGAGGUUUGGGCAAAACUGCACUUGCAAAAUUGGUGUACAAUGAUCAAAGGGUAGAAGAGCAUUUUGAGUUGAAAAUCUGGAUAUGUGUUCCUGAGCAUUUUGGUGAGAGACAAAUUAUGACAAAGAUUAUCAAGUCGAUAACUGGUCAAAACCAAGGUGACUUGGAUACAGACCAAUUGCAACGAACCUUGCGAGAUCGUUUGAAUGGUAAGAGAUACUUGCUUGUUAUGGAUGAUGUAUGGAACGAAGAUCCUGAAGCAUGGCGUGAAUUAAAAAGCUUAUUGUUGGGAGGUGCUAACGGAAGCAAAAUUUUGGCAACUACACGUAGCAGGAAGGUUGCUUCAAUCAUGGGCAGGAGGGGAGGUACUACUGGCUACAAUUUACAAGGUCUACCAUUCGAGGAUUGCUUGUCUUUGCUUAUGAAAUGUGCAUUUAAAGAAGAGCGAGAUAAACAUCCAAACCUCAUAAAAAUCGGGGAGGAAAUUGUGAAAAAAUGUGGAGGAAUUCCUCUGGCAGUCAGAUCACUAGGAAGUGUACUAUAUGACUCAACAGAUGAACAUUUUUGGGAAUAUGUGAGGGAUAAUGAGAUAUGGCAGUUAGAGCAAAAGGAAAGUGGCAUUUUACCUGCUCUGAGGUUAAGCUACGAUCAAUUGCCACCUCACCUUAAACAAUGCUUUGCUUAUUGUUCAUUCUUUCCCAAGGAUUAUCAAUUUGAUAGUCAUUAUUUGGUUCUAUUUUGGAUGGCUCAUGGUCUUCUCCAAUCGCAUAAUAAGAAAGAAGAUUUAGAAGAUAUUGGUAAGCGGUACUUGAAGGAAUUAGUAUCAAGAUCUUUCUUCCAAGAUUUGAAUUUUGAGACGUUUGGACGGGAGGUGUUGUAUUUCAAAAUGCACGACCUUAUGCAUGAUCUUGCCCUGCUAGUGGCCAAAGAUGAAUCCCUAGUAGUGAACUCUGAUUGUCAAUCUAUUCCCAAAAGAGUCCGCCAUUUGUCAUUUGCUGCUGCUAAUGCAUCAAGAAAUGACUUUUCAAGCCUUUUGUCUGAUCUAGGUCGUGUGAGAACCAUUUUAUUUUCAACUGAUGAUGGGAAGACAAGCCAAUCAUUUGUUGAAUCAUGCAUCUCAAAGUCGCAGUUCCUGAGAGUGCUAAAUUUAAGUGAAUCUGCUCUUGAGGUUUGUCCCAGGAAGAUGGGAAAUUUGAAGCACAUGAGGUGUCUUGAUCUGUCGAGAAAUUAUAAAAUCAAGAAACUUCCAAAAUCCAUUUGCGAGCUACAGAGUUUACAAGCACUGAUUCUUGAAGGAUGUCUGGAGCUAGAAGAGUUGCCUAAAGACAUAAGGUACCUUGUCAGUCUCAGAGUGUUUGCGCUAACCAUAAAACAGAAGUCUUUGCAAGAGAGUGGAAUAAGGAGCUUGGGUUCUCUUCGUUGUUUGACAAUUUGUGAUUGUAGGGAUUUAGAACAUUUGUUCGAGGAGAUAGAUCAAUUAAGUGUCCUUCGAACAUUGUCAAUUGCUCGUUGUCCUCGUCUAAUCUCAUUGCCACCUGCUAUCAAAUAUCUCAGCUCAUUAGAGACUCUGAUUUUGUGGAUGUGUAAAAGCCUUGAUCUUAAUCUGAACGUGGAAAUGGAAGGUGAAGGAAGUCAUCAUGAUCGCAAAAACACAAGGCCUCACCUUCGGAGGGUUAUCAUCAGGGGAAUAACACAGUUAUUAGAACUGCCACAAUGGCUUCUUCAAUGUUGUACUGAUACUUUACAGAGCUUGGUUAUUCUUGAUUGUCCCAACUUCAUGGCACUACCAAGGUCUCUAAAAGGCCUCGAAGCUCUUGAAACUCUUGCCAUUAAAGAAUGUCCAAAAUUGUCAUCGUUGCCGGAGGAUAUGCAUCACGUCACAACUCUGAAAUCAUUGCUCAUUGAAGGAUGUCCUGCGCUGAGUGAACGAUGCAAACCGCCAACAGGUGAAGAUUGGCCCAAGAUUGCACAUAUCCGUCAGGUUCAUCUUGAUGGCGAGAUGAUUAAAUCAAGCGAUAAUUAGGUAUGGAUUUUUUUUUCAAUAAGCAUACCACUCUGUUAUAUUUCCUCUUUUCAUGCAGCUUUCUAAUUUUUAAUUUCUCAUACAGCUAUACCGUUUCUAGUUUAAUGUUUUGUUAUGUUUACCAAACGAAAACUUGACUUUGAACGUUAGUUAGUUCAAUCAAAUUUGUACUAAUUUAUUUUCUUCUAAUACAUAAUUAGUUAGUCAGUACGAAACACAAAAAUAAUAUUUUGGAAACCGCACUGUUCUAGGGGUCAGACCUGUUUCUAAAUUCAAACAGUUCAGGAUUUUUCAAAAUGGAGGGACAGUGAAUAUUGCAGCUUUCUUGGGAGAGGUUCAACCAAACUGCAGGGACAGUGAAAAUAUUACUCUAACGUUGUUCAGAAUAGAGCUUCAACGGUUUUAAUGUUGUGUUUUAAAGUUACAAGUAUUAUAUAUUCGUUACGUGUGGUUAUGUAAUUUGCUGAUAUAUAAGUACAUUGAGUGAGGUAUAUGUGUGUGCCUGUGUGGUCAUUACUGAAUUUCUCAGUAAUAUAAUUUGCAUUGACUGCAGAUUUGUGUAAUGGGAACGGUGGUGUCUGUAUUUUGUGCUUUGUGAUUGAUGACUUACAUUUGCCCAGGAAGAAAUGAAAACAAAUCGGCUUCUUGAAAUUAACCAUUUAUUCUUUCGAAUGGUAACCUUUUUGUGACAUGAUUCGCAUAUUAAUCAAAAGCAGUUGGCAAACUAAUUAGAUAUUGCAUCGUGAUUCGUGGCCUUGAAGUGAAAUGAGUGAGCAUGUUUGUGGAGGUUUUUGUUUUUUGUUUUUUUUUCCUCCAUAUAAAAUGACUAAUUCGAAAGAAUAUGUAUUGUAAUAGAACCUUGAACUUCUAUGUAUUUUAGGAUGAAAAUUCUGGACAAUAGAAAAUAUUAAAACGAAAAUUAAAGAAGCUUGCAACUUGGAACUGCAAUCUAGCUCGACCUACAAUAUAUAUAUAUAUAUAUAUAUAUAUGUUAUUAAUUAAUUGAUCAGGUAAGAUAGGGAGAGACUCGCGGACUCUUUACAAGGAGCAAAAAUGGUAUGAAACUCUGUUUUGAUUAAAAUUCAAUGACUUUCUUCGUAUUAAUCAAAUUAAUUAAUUAAUUAUUUUGGUAAAAAGAAUUUGCCAAUUGUGUGGCGGUCUUCAGACCCUUGACGGUGGUGAAAUUGAUUCACGGUUUCAAAUGAAAGACAUGCAGCGGAUGCGAACGUGCCGUAUGACAUCGAUGAAAAAGUAAAGAGUUUGAUUUCUCUAUUUUACCCUUAAUUAAUCGUUGACAUCUAAUUUUACACUCCCAACAAAUUUGAAUGAAACAAUCCUAACGUUCACUUUCUUCUUCGAUUUCAUUUUACGACUUAACAAAAACGAGAUGCUCCUGAUGAGGGGAAGGAGAAGAAGACACAGUGAGUUCGCAAGAACGUGUACAGAGGAAUAAGGCAGAGGCCAUGGGAGAAAUGGGCAGCUGAAAUUAGAGACCCUUACAAGGGCGUCCGCGUUUGGCUCGGCACAGCCGAAAAUGCUGCAAGAGUUUAUGCUGACGUCGCCAAGAAUAUCCGUGGCAACAAGGCCUAGCUCGACUUUGCUCACCGGCCGCCAGUAACUCCACCUCCAGGUAAGAAACGCUUCGUGCUAUCCCGUGAGUUGACUCAGCCGAGUUUCGGAGAUUACUUUUUUUUUUGGUUUUCAUUGAUUUCUUUUCCUGCUCUUAUCUACGAGGUUGUGCUCUCCCUUGGAUGCCCUUUAAUAAACAGCUUUCCUAAUAACAACUGAAGCGAAAAGUCAUUUUAUCAAAUGAUUUGGUGAAAUUUCAAGUACUUUCAUCUUGGUUUUUGCAGUUAAUAGGAAAUAGUUUGGUGUUGGGAUGUGGUAUAUGUAUCAAGUUCUUAUUGCUGGUGAACAUUACUGGUUUAGUGUGCGAUCGUUUACUAUCACUGCAUGCAUUAUCAGUUUAUUUUAUUGAACUAUCCCAAAUCAGUAACGAAUCCUCAAUUCCCUCUGUUUUCUUUGGAUCCUAGUAGUGUUUGGCAUGCAUCAACUAGUGUUCAUGCAUGUGUCGGUUCAUCAUAGACAACUUCAGCACACAUACAACAGCCCUCAUUUCUCCUUGCUCCAACCAAUCGAUGGCAGAAUCAUCACAGACACCUUGAGCUCUGUCGAAUCAUCAUAGACAAUUUGUGAUUAGUGGGAGCAUUACAAGAAAGUUACGACUACUUCAAACUGUUAGAUUUGUUAAUAUGAUUCGGCUAUAGUUCUAUAUAUGGUUAAGUUAUAACAGUAAUCAAGAGAUAAUCAUGUACAUCAGUAGUUAAAUAAAUGCAUACUAAUCUAUACCUCUACUUGCCGGAAUCCUAUAUGUAAAACAAGAUAAAUUUUAAUGUUUAAAACUUUGUAAUUCAUUAAAAAAUUAUUCGUCUACCUUUACAUUCCAAAUAUAAUUGGUGAGUUUUUGUGGGUCUGUUUGAUAUUUUAUGAUUACUAACUUCAUGGGUUUGAUGGAAUUUUUCAUUUUUAUGUUGUGAAUGUUUAGGGGAUGCGAGAGUGCUCUUCAAUUGCAUUGCCUUUGCUUUAUGUUUCUCUGACAAAAGUGUUUGCUUGUUCUUUACUUUAUCAGCUGAGAAUAUAUUUUACAAGUUUACGUUGAUUUCUGGCUUUAUGGCCUCUGUUUGAUGUGUGUAGUAUUUGACUGUAAUGCGAGUAUUGUGUGUUUUCAGCUUUGUAUGUGAUGCGGUAGAUAGUUAGUGUGCUCUUAAAUUCAAUCAAGGUAUGAUUCGUAUGAAGUGAUCUGCUAUCUAUCUUUUGGCAAAUUAAGCAUCGAUGAUUUAUGCUAAUUGAGCCGCUAAAAGUUGUCUUUGUGUGUGAUUGAGUACAUGUUAGUGUGAAUUCUCGUAAUGUUUAUCCAGUCAAAGCAAACGUUCGUCUUUCACAUUGACUAUUAGGCAAGAUGUUUGAUAGUGAAUUAGAUGAUUCAGUUUAUUAUAGUCUUCUUAUAUUGUCGGUUCAAUAUCAUUUUGAAAAAUCAUAUCAAAACUGCUUUUGGAGUUUUAAUCCAGCGCAGUUACACCUAUAUUGUACUUUUGAUCUGCAACCUUGAGUCACUGUCAUUUUGCUGUUAGUAUUUCGAUUAGCAACUUGUACAGUGGUAUUUGAACUGCAUGGUAUGUCAACUUUCACUCUAUGUGUCUUAGAAACUCUGUAUAUCACUAAUUUCCUAGCACAGGCCUUGUUGACAGUCAAAGAUUUGAGGCAUAUUUCUGUAUUGAAGGCUUUUCUGUCGUCAAUUUGAUGAUGAGCGCAUGUAUUAUCCCCAAUAUUUUGAGCAGGAACUUGUAACUAGUAAUAACCAGUACCUAAGAUGUUGCAUUUGAUUGACUUCUCUUUCUCGUUUAGUUUCAGCCGUUGGAGCUGUUUCAGACAUGGUAACUGAUACGUAAUUUCUCUCUUUCCACCCCACAAUGUGUCAUUAGUCAUCAUUCGUUCUGGUUGGCGUGGAUACGCAUACUAAUUUGGAUUAUUGUCUGUGCCUUCGUCUUUUGUCAAUAAUCUUUUGCAUUUCAGGAUUAGUACAUCUUGUAUACUGGUAAUACUCUCUCAACUAUACAUGUAAGACUUUGUUAUGUUUUCUUGACCCGUAAUCUAAUGCUAUAAGAUGACGGCAUAAUUGAGCUAUUUUGCAUCUCCAUGCAGGCCUGAUUUGGUUUUUGUGUCACUACCUGCAUUAGAUAUUGGUAGUCAACGGCUGCAGAUGUACAGGUGCCGUUUCGUUUCCCUGACGUAAUCUCAUGUAACAUGAAAUUGCUUGUGAAACUGGAAGAUAUUUGAUUCUUUUUGUUUUUUCAUUUUUGCUAAAGAAAAGUGUUACUUGCGUUGGGAAAUAUGCCUACCACUCUGGAUCUCCGUUGCAGUACAUUCUUGAGAGGAAAAUCUAGCCAUAAAAUGUAAAAGACAACACAAAUUGGCUUUUCAAAGCCUAUUAUGGGAACCAGAUGUUUAUGGGUUAUAGUUGUGUGGCAUGUGAGGUAAUUGUAGCUUUCCGUGUUAUUAUCCAUAUCAGGAUUUGCAAAUGUUAUCAGUGCUUUUUACCUGCAGCUUCUUUACCUAAUCAUAUUUCUUAUUGCGGAGACGCAGAGUGAAAGUUUGGUGGAUGUAGGAUCUCAUUUUCCUACUAUUAGAUUGUUCUGCAUAUAGAAAGAUUUCCCCUGUUUCUCGCUUUGCAAACAAUCUCUUCUUUCAGGUUGUGGUGAGUGCUGUGCGACAGGGCUCGCCUAUUUCCUUCCUAGUUGCAUUGAGUUUAUUCGGAUGGGCAAUCAAGCAAACGAUCAAUGUCAUACAGGUAACUUGCACUCCAUAUGAUCGUAAUGUUCGUUUAUUCUGAUACUUCUUCACAGUAAGUAAAUUUCUUGAUGUCUACAAAUUAAGGAGACUUUUGUAUGGGUAAAGUUGACAUUUUACAAUGGCAUUCUGGAUCCUGAAAUCGGUCAGUUUGAGAUUCACAUGCUGUGAUAUGCUCUAAUGUUAAAACUCAAACCUUUUCUGUAUCUUAAAUGGAUUGUCGUGGAUAUGCCUGGGAUGAUCAUUUUCUUCCUCUUCACUUCAUCAUCUUUGUCAUAGUAGUUAUAAUUGAUUGAGGAGUGUGAAAACGCAUUGUGAUGAAUGAAUGCACAAGCUGUGUGAUUAAGACUGCAUUUAUUAGGUUGGUGACGGCAAAUAUCAGGCAGGAUAUUCACAAUAGUGCUACUGAAGCUUUAUAUGGAAUAAGGAGACCAAACCUCUAUAUGAUAAGAGUUGUAUGAAUACCAAAUGAAUUGUAAGAGGAUAUGGUUAAUUUAGAUUGUAAUUUAAGAAAGCUUGAGUUCUAAGAGCACAGAAAUGGGAUCAGUCUUGCUCAAGUGUGAACUCCAUCAGUUAGGAAGCUGUCCAUCAAAUGGAAAUAUUUACGUGAUUCAGAGAAAUUUUGGACUUUUGAUGAAAACAAAAAUCCUGUAUGCAUUUGCUUGCUCCCAAUCCUGUAUGCAUUUGCUUGCCCCGAAGGAGCUGAAAGUUCUCAAAUUGUUUGUAGACGUCAUAGUUCUCCUGAUGUCAUUUGGCUUGGUAAUCUUUUUUGCUCGAAAAUUUGCCCAUUGUGUGGUCUUGACGGUGGGUGCAAUUGAUUUGUGGUUUCAGAUGAAGACAGCAGCAGAUGUGUGUGUGCUAUAGGACAUCGAGAAAAAGCAAAGGCCUGAAAGAGUUCAUCAACAUUUUCCAUUUCAGAAGAAUCUGUAUGUGGUUCUCCUGCUCAAGUGCCUACUUUUCAGGGUGCAGCAUAUAUGUUGAGACCGGCAUAUGAAAUCACUAAACUUUAACAGUUGAUCCGAGGCUUCUCUAGCGAAGGAUUUGGAAUUAAUUUGGGGAAGGGGUGUUUUUUGGGUAUAUGAGUGUGUGCAUUCUUUCAAUCACGUAGCUUCGUGCCAUUAACAUAAUGGCAAUUCCACAAUGGUGAUAAUGAUAAUUUUAUGAUUGGGGCACAGUGUUAGGAACUCUUUACUGGUUUUUCUUUCGCAUCUGUGUCUAUGAUUAAGGUUGUUUAAGGUGGUAUGGAUUUCAGUACAUUGAACAAAAAAUUAUUUAUUUUUAUUCUAAUAAAAAUACCUAAAAAUCAAACCUAAGUUAAAAAAAAUAAAGUUUAAAAAAUUCUGAAAUUAAUCAAAUUUUAAAACUUGAGACUUUUAACAGAUUAAUCCAACCUUUGAAUAAAUAAACUAAAUGGGGGUCAGUUUUUCUUGUGUCAGCUUGUUCAAUCCGACACUAUCAUUUCAACCUCUCACGAAUAAACAAAUCACUAAUGAUGUGUCCAUUUCUUCUACUUUAUAAUAAUUUUUAAUAAAAAGAUUAUUAAAGUGGUUCGGCUGUGGGAGCCACACGUGUCUGUGGCAGCGCACACCCAAGAGAAGUCAGUCUGGUUCCGAGAAGAAAGUGAACAUGAGAUGAUGAGAUGCCGUAUCAAAUGGGGCCACGUAGACAGAGGUGCUUCAAGGUGACAUGUCAGCAGAUACCUCCACCGACGAUUUUCAAAAUAAUUUGAACGGUUGGGAUUUUAUUACAAUGGUGAUAACGGUUACACAUAAAAAUUAAGGAAAGAAAAAAAAUGAUUAUAAUUAACGGUGUACGAUCCAUGUUGUCGAUACGCCGUUGGACAACUUUCAUUAGACUGAAGAUAAUAGUCAAUUUGUCACUCACAUUAAAAAAAUUAUCUGCGUCGCGCUAACACACUCUUUCACCUUCAAUGUACUGAAACUGGGGAACUACAUGUAUGAUUUUCAUUCAGAAAAACCGAUGGGAACUAAUGACUUUCCAGAUUAAAAAAAAAAAAAAGUAGGAUUAUCAAACUAUGCAGCAUUGUUAUGUAAAGUUUUAUGGUUAUUUUAAGGCUAAAAUUGGUUUAGAAAUUAAUUAAAAGACAAUAUUCAUUCUAACAUAAAAGGAGUUUUUAACAAGAGGAGGAGGUUCCUUUUAUAAUUUACUAAUUUAUACAACCUUUAAUAUUAAAACAAUAUUUUAUAGAUUAAGGACGAUGAUUCUUGCUCACCUAGUAAGAUAUGUAGACAUAACAUAGAUGUGGUGAGCAGGGAAUCAAUUAUGUAUUUCUUGUUUCUGAGAAAAUAUAUAAUCCUUUAACGAGGAUUAUCAUCAAUUGCAGGUUUCUAGUUUGGUUGCUUAGUUUGAGGAAAGAAUAUAUGCUAUGGUGUUUGGCUGGUCUGCUUUUUUCUUUUCAAUUAAUUUAAUAUUCUUAUGCUAUGGAAUUGAUUAUCAUAACUAAAGGAAAGAAUAUAUACUAUGGAAUAUAUGCUAUGGUCUUUGGCUGGUCUACUUUUUCUUUUCAAUUAAUGUAUUAUUCAUAUGCUAUGGAAUAUGAAUAUUACAUUAAGGAAAAGAAUAUUGCAUACACAGCACACUAUAAUACUCUAAUUACCAAUUAUUUAUCUUGUAAUACAAGUUCAUAGCGAUUAAUUUAUCCCUCUUCAGCCAAAAAAAAAGUCCCAUUUCAGCACAUAUACAAGAGCCCUCAUUUUUCUUUGCUUCAGCCAUUUUAUAGCAGAAUCAUCACAGACACUUUGAGCUCUGCCGAAUCAUCAUAGACAAUUUGUGAUUGGUGGGAGCAUUACAAGAAAGGUACGACUACUUCGAACCGAUAGAUUUGUUUAUAUGAUUUAGCUAUCGUUUUAACUUUUAACAAUAAACAAGAGACAAUCAUGUACAUCAUUGGUUACAUAAAUAUUAAAAUGAGAUAAAUUUAUUCCUCUACUUGCCAGAUCCAUACAUAUUAAAAUGAGAUAAAUUUUAAGGUUUAAAAAUUUGCAAUUCAUCAAAAAUCUAGUGCGAUAUUAAGCGGUAAAAUCACUUAGGGUUAGUACAAGAGGUUUAUGAUUCCCUGACUCAUUUAUAUAGGAGGAGAGGGAAUUAGGCAAUAAUGAAUUGAUACAAAUUAAUAAUUAUAUUAUAAAAAGAAAUAAAUUUCAAGAGAGAUCAUAAGUUCGUAGAAGAUUGUAUGUAAGUUAUUUGUAGUGGAAUGGAGUUUUUUUGGAGAGGCUAUUUGGCUUGGAAUAUAUAUUAGAAUGAGAUUAUUUGAACCCACCGCAAUACUCUCUAAAAUCCACUUUUCAAUAAAAAAUUUCAGUACAAAAUUUUCCUUAAUUAAAUUACUAUUUUAGCCAAAUAUUAUGUUGAUUUAUCUCCCUAAAGUUUUUAUUUUUUUUCACCCUUUUUUCUCUUUUCCUCUCUGUUUCCCCAAUUUUUUUUUUUCCAGUCCUAUGUGGUUCUUAUAUUUUAAGGCUUCUAUUGGAGUAAGAUCUAUAUUCAAAUUGCUUAUCCAAAAAAAAAAAAAAAUCUUUUAAAAUUUGCCUUUCCUUUACCCUUGAGUCACUAUUAGAUGUAUAUGCUCCUCAAGAAACUUUAGUAAUUGGAUUUCUAUUAAAUAUUUUAAUUUCAAAAAAUGAGAAGGUCACUAUACAAAUAUCAAAAGAUCACCAACUUAAUUAUACUAGUUAUAAUUGAGGGAAAUAAAAGACUUACUAUUUCUGUUUGAAGUUAUUAUGAUGAACAAAGAAAGGGGGAGGGGGGGGGGGGGGGGAAACAAGUCGCUGCAAUUGCAUCAAUUGAGGACAUGUUAAGAAACGUAUCAUUGAGAUAAGAUUUAAUUGAUAAAAAUAAGAUUUACUAGAAAGUAGUGAGAGAAACAACUAACAAAAAUUCAUGAUACUUAUUGAGGGUAUAUUGAGAAUAUUUGUGGCUUUUUUUAGUUAAAAAAAUAAAGUUUUAAGUUGUGAUAAUGUGUUUAUUACGUAAAUGAGUUUAUUUAAUAUUACAGUGGAUUUAAGUAGCCUUACCCUUCAUAUUAUAAUAAAUUUUUACAUUACUCUAUAAUAGCCCUACUAUAGAGGACAAUGUAAUGAAAAUAUUGUUACUCUUAUACCUAUUAAAAGAAACAAUAUUAUCUUGUACGUACAAGAACGUUCUACUGCCCAAGUAAAAGUUUUAGUAAAACGUAUAAGAACUCUAAGUGUAAAGAGAAUUUCGUCAAGGUACUAUAGUAGUAUCUAAUGCUCUUUGCUAGUGUAAACUAUUUGUGCCACGUGUAGUAUUUCAAUCUUCACAAGUGGCAUUGCAUAUAGUGGUUCUUAUUUCAGUUCCUCAGAGGCACUCUAGAGGUACGUUAGCUUAUAAGCUAGUAUUUGGUCAUCAUGUGCUUCUUUUAAUGAAACAUGUGGUUCAUUUUGUCCUUAUACGAGAGCCUUUUGUGUGGAAUAACCUUGUAAAAUGCUCAUUUAUCAAGGACACAUGUCGUGUUGUCAGAACAUAGUAAAAAUAUGAUACGCUAACCCAUGUGCAUUUAUGAAAAAUCAAAUGAAAACAAAGAACUAAAAAAAAUGCAAAGGCUAAUUCAUAAUGUUUGAGUUUGAGAUGAUUAAUAUUUAAUUUUAUGGUUGCAAAGAUAAGAAUAAAAGUAGGUCUAGUGAGAAAUACCCUCAUAUUAUAAUACUAUUUAAAAUAAAUUUUGUUAUAAAAGAUUUUAUUUAAUAAGGUAUGGAGACUGUUCAAAAUAUAUUUUACGCACAAACUCAUAUGUUUGACGUAAUAGUAUGUCUCAUGCUAGGACUAGCAAUGGUCAAAUCAACCUAUUUCGAUAAGAUCCAUCAAAAUUAAUAUUUAAAAAAUUUAUCAUCUCAUUAUACAAUACACAGCUUUGCCAUCACAGCUUUGCCAUCUAGUAGAGAAUGAUUGGUUGGCACACCAUAGUUUACACGAAUAUUUCUAAUAUUUGAAUCGUCCGAAAAAAAAAACCUCUUUCUAAUUUGAGCUAGACAGAGUUAAAAAUGGUGCGAAACUCUAUUUUGAUUAAAAUUCAAUGACUUUCUUCGUAUUAAUCAAAUUAAUUAAUUAUUUUGGUAAAAAGAAUUUGCCAAUUGUGUGGCGGUCUUGAGACCCUUGACGGUGGUGAAAUUGAUUCACGGUUUCAAAUGAAGACAUGCAGCGGAUGCGUGCGUGCCGUAUGACAUCGAUGAAAAAGUAAAGAGUUUGAUUUCUCUAUUUUGCCCUUAAUUAAUCGUUGACAUCUAAUUUUACACUCCCAACAAAUUUGAAUGAAACAAUCCUAAUGUUCACUUUCUUCUUCGAUUUCAUUUUACGACUUAACAAAAACGAGAUGCUCCUGAUGAGGGGAAGGAGAAGAAGACACAGCGAAUUCGCAAGAACGUGUACAGAGGAAUAAGGCAGAGGCCAUGGGAGAAAUGGGCAGCUGAAAUUAGAGACCCUUACAAGGGCGUCCGCGUUUGGCUCGGCACAGCCGAAAAAGCUGCAAGAGUUUAUGCUGACGUCGCCAAGAAUAUCCGUGGCAACAAGGCCUAGCUCGACUUUGCUCACCGGCCGCCAGUAACUCCACCUCCAGGUAAGAAACGCUUCGUGCUAUCUCGUGAGUUGACUCAGCCGAGUUUCGGAGAUUACUUUUUUAUUGGUUUUCAUUGAUUUCUUUUCCUGCUCUUAUCUACGAGGUUGUGCUCUCCCUUGGAUGCCCUUUAAUAAACAGCUUUCCUAAUAACAACUGAAGCGAAAAGUCAUUUUAUCAAAUGAUUUGGUGAAAUUUCAAGUGCUUUCAUCUUGGGAUGUGGUAUAUGUAUCAAGUUCUUAUUGCUGGUGAACAUUACUGGUUUAGUGUGCGAUCGUUUACUAUCACUGCAUGCAUUAUCAGUUUAUUUUAUUGAACUAUCCCAAAUCAGUAACGAAUCCUCAAUUCCCUCUGUUUUCUUUGGAUCCUAGUAGUGUUUGGCAUGCAUCAACUAGUGUUCAUGCAUGUGUCGGUUCAUCAUAGACAACUUCAGCACACAUACAACAGCCCUCAUUUCUCCUUGCUCCAACCAAUCGAUGGCAGAAUCAUCACAGACACCUUGAGCUCUGUCGAAUCAUCAUAGACAAUUUGUGAUUAGUGGGAGCAUUACAAGAAAGUUACGACUACUUCAAACUGUUAGAUUUGUUAAUAUGAUUCGGCUAUAGUUCUAUAAUUGGUGAGUUUUUGUGGGUUUGUUUGAUAUUUUUUUGUGGGUUUGUUUCUCAUAAUCUUUAUCCAGUCAAAGCAAACGUUCGCCUCUCACAUUGACGGUUAGGCUAGAUGUUUGACCCUGAAUAAGAUGAUUGAGUUUAUUAUAGUCUUCUUAUAUUGGCGGUUCAAUAUCAUUUUGAAAUAUCACAUCAAUUCCGCUUUUGGAGUUUUAAUCCAUGCCCAGUUACACCUUUAUUUUACUUUUAAGCUGCAACAUUGAGUCACAUUCUUUUUCUGAUAUUAUUACGAUUAGCGACUGGUACAGUGGUAUUUGAACUGCAUAGCGUGUCAACAUUCACUCUAAAUGUCUUAGAAACUCUGUCUAUCACUAAUUUCCUAGAACAGGCCUCGUUGACAGUCAAAGAUUUGAGGCGUAUUUCUGGAUUGAAGGCUUUUCUCUAGUCAAUUUGAUGAUAAGCGCAUUUAUUAUCUCCAGCAUUAAGCAGUAAUUUGUAACUAGUAGUAGCCAGUACCUAAGAUGUUGCAUUUGACUGUCUUCUCUUUCUGGUUCAGUUUCGACCUUUGGAGCUGUUUUAGACAUGGUAACGGAUAGGUAAUUUCUCUCUACCCCAGCCCCCAAUGUAUCAUUAGUCAUCAUUCGUUCUGGUUGGUGGAGAUACACAUACUAAUUUGGAUUAUUGUCCGUGCCUUCGUCUUUUGUCAAUAAUCUUUUGCAUUUCAGGAUUAGUACAGCUUGUCUACUGGUAAUACUCUCUCAAGUAUACAGGUAAGACUUUGUUACGUUUUCUUGACCCGUAAUCUAAUGUUUUAAGAUGAAGGCAUAAUUGAGCUAUUUUGCAUCUCCAUGCAGGCCUGGUUUGGUUUUUGUGUCACUACCUGCAUUAGAUAUUGGUAGUCAAUGGCUGCAGAUGUACAGGUACCUUUUCGUUUCCCUGACAUAAUCUCAUGUUACAUGAAAUUGCUCGUGGAACUGGGAGAUUUUUUAUUUUUUAUUUUUUAUUUUUUCAUAUUUACUAAAGAAAAGUGUUACUUUCGUUGGGAAAAAUGCCUACCACUCUUUAUCUCUGUUGCAGUACAUUCUUAACAGGAAAAACUAGCCAUAAAGAUGCAAAAGACAGCACAAAUUGGCUUUUCAAAGCCUAUUAUGGGAACCGGAUGUUUAUGGGUUAUUGUUGUGUGGCGUGUGAGGUAAUUGUAGCUUUCCGUGUUAUUAUACAUAUCAGGAUUUGCAAAUGUUAUCAGUACUUUUUACCUGAUCCAACUGUUUCAACCCUGCAGCUUCUUUACCUAAUCCUAUUUCUUAUUGCGGAGAAGCAGAGGGAAAGCUUGGUGGAUGUAGGCUCUCAUUUUCUUGCUAUUAGAUUGUUCUGAAAAUAGAAAUAUUUCCCCUGUUUCUCGAUUUUUCAAACAAUUUCUUCUUUCAGGUUGUGGCGAGUGCUGUGCAACAGGGUUCGCCUCUUUCCUUCCUAGUUGCAUUGAGUUUAUUCGCAUGGGCGCAAUCAAGCAAACGAUUAAUGUCGUACAGGUAACUUCAACCCCAUAUGAUGGUAAUGUUCGUUUAAAUAAAUUUCUUGAUGUCUACAAAUUAAGGAAACCUUUGUAUGGGUAAAGUUGACAUUUUACACUGGCAUUAUGGAUCUUGAAAUCGGUCUGUUUUAGAUUCACAUGCUGUGAUAUGCUCUAAUGUUAAAACUCAAACCUUUUCUGUAUGUUAAAUGGAUUGUCGUGGAUAUGCCUGGGAUGAUCAUUUUCUUCGUUUUCACUCAUCGUCUUUGUCAUCGUAGUUAUAAUUGAUUGUGGAGAGUGAAAACGCACUGUGAUGAAUGAAUGCAAAAGCUAUGUAAUUAAGACUACAUUUAUUAGGUUGGUGACCACAAAUAAUCGGAAGGAUAUUCACAAUAGUGUUAUUGAAGCUCUAUAUGGAAUAAGGAGACCAAACCUGUAUGUGAUAAGAGUUGUAUGAAUACCAAAUGAAUUGUAAGAGGAUAUGGUUACUUUAGAUUGCAAUUUAAGAAUGCUUGAGUUCUAAAAGCACAGAAAUGGGAUCAGUCUCUUGCUCGAGGGUAAACUCCUUCGUCAGUUAGUGAACUGUCCAUCAAAAGUAAAUAUUUAUGGGAUUGAGAGAAAUUUUGAUGAAAACAAAAAUCCUGUAUGCAUUUGCUUGCCCCCAAGGAGCUGAAGAUUCUCAAAUUGUUUGUAGACGUAAUAGUUCUUCUGAUAUCAUUUGGCUUGCUAAUCUUUCUUGCUCGAAAAUUUACCCGUUGUGUGGUCUUGAUGGUGGGUGAAAUUGAUGUGUGGUUUCAGAUGAAGACGGCAGCAGAUAUGUGUGUGCCAUAUGACAUCGAGAAAAAGCAAAAACCUUAAAGAGUUCAUCAACAUUUUCCAUUCAGAAGAAUCUGUUUUGUGGUUUUCAUGCUCGAGUGCCUACUUUUCAGUAUGCAAGCAGAGGAUUUGGCAUUAAUUUGGGGAAGCCUUUUUUUUGGGUAUAUGAGUGUGUGCAUUCCUUCAAUCACGUAGCUUUGUGCCAUUAACAUAAUGGCAAUUCCACAAUUGUGAUAAUGAUAAUUUUAUGAUUGGGGCAUAUUGUUAGGAACUCUUUACUGGUUUUUCUUUCCCCAUCUGUGUCUAUGAUUAAGGUUGUUUAAGGUGUUAUGGCUUUUAAUCUGCAAUCAUUGCGAAAGGGACUCACUAGCCGGCAAAUAAUAAAACAUGGUGCUGUCAAAUUUUAUAAGGAUUAUAUAUACAUACACUUUCGUCUUCAAUGCACUGAAACUGGGGAACCAUCUAUAUGAUUUUCAUUCAGAAAAACCGGCGGGAACUAAUGACUUUCAUGAUUAAAAGUAGGAUUAUCAGAUUAUGGAGCAUUGUUAUGUAACGUUUUAUGGUUAUCUUAAGGCAAAAGUUGGCUUGGAAAUUAACUGAAAGGCAAUAUUCAUUCUAUCAUAAAACAAGUGUUUUUUUCACAAGGAGCUGAAAGUUCUCAAAUUUUUUGUAGACGUCAUAGUUCUCCUGAUGUCAUUUGGCUUGGUAAUCUUUUUUGCUCGAAAAUUUGCCCAUUGUGUGGUCUUGACGGUGGGUGAAAUUGAUUUGUGGUUUCAGAUGAAGACAGCAGCAGAUGUGUGUGUGCUAUAUGACAUCGAGAAAAAGCAAAGGCCUUAAAGAGUUCAUCAACAUUUUCCAUUUCAGAAGAAUCUGUUUGUGGUUCUCCUGCUCGAGUGCCUACUUUUCAGUGUGCAAGCAUAUAUGUUGAGACCGGCUGAUGAAAUCACUAAACUUUUACAGUUGAUCUGAGGCUCCUCUAAAGAAGGAUUUGGAUUUUGGAAUUAAUUUGGGGAAAGGGUUUUUUUCGGGUAUAUGAGUGUAAGCAUUCCUUCAAUCACGUAGCUUUGUGCCAUUAACAUAAUGGCAAUUCCACAAUGGGGAUAAUGAUAAUUUUGUGAUUGGGAACUCUUUACUGGUUUUUCUUUCGCCAUUUGUGUCUAUGAUUAAGGUUGUUUAAAGUGUUAUGGGUUUUAAUCUACAACCAUUGCGAAAUGGACUCGCUAGCUGGCAAAUAAUAAAACAUAGUGCUGUCAAAUUUUGUAAGGAUUAUGCAUACACACUCUUUCGUCUUCAAUGCCCUGAAACUGGGUAACUACAUGUAUGAUUUUCAUUCAGAAAAACUGGCGAGAACUAAUGACUUUGCAGAUUAAAAAAUAAGUAGGAUUAUCAGAUUAUGUAGCAUUGUUAUGUAAUGUCUUGUGGUUUUUUUAAGGUUAAAGUUGGUUUGGAAAUUAAUUAAAAGACGAUAUUCAUUCUAUCAUAAGACGAAUUUUUAACAAGAGGAGAAGGUUCCUUUUUAUAAUUUACUAAUUUAUACAACCUUUAAUAUUAAAACAAAAUUUUAUAUAUUAAGGACGAUGAUUCUUGCUCACUUAGUAAGAUAUGUACAUAACAUAGAUGUGGUAAGCAAGGAAUCAAUUAUAUAUUUCUUGUAUCUGAAAAAAUGAAUCAUCCUUUAACGAGGGUUAUCAUCAAUUGCAGGUUUCUAGUUUGGUUGCUUGGUUUGAGGACUAUGAAUAUUACAUUGUCAUAACUAAAGGAAAGAAUAUUGUAUACACAGCACACUAUAAUUACCAAUUCUUUAUCUUAUAAUAUAAGUUCAUAGUGAUUAAUUUGUCCGUCUUCAGCCAGAAAAAAAAAAAAAAAAAGUCCCAUUUCAGCACAAAUACAAGAGCCCUCAUUUUUCUUUGCUCCAGCCAUUUUAUAGCAGUGUCAUCACAGACACCUCAAGCUCUGCCGAAUCAUCAUAGACAAUUCGUGAUUGGUGGGAGCAUUACAAGAAAGGUACGACUACUUCAAACUGAUAGAUUUGUUUGUAUGAUUUGGCUAUAGUUUUAACUUUUAACAAUAAACAAGAGACAAUCAUGCACGUCGUUAGUUACAUAAAUGUAGAUACUAAUUUAUUCCUGUACUUGCCAGAUCCAUACAUAUAAAAAUGAGAUAAAUUUUAGCGUUUAAAAAAUUUCAAUUCAUCAAAAAUCUAGUGCCAUAUUAAGCGGUAAAAUCACUUAGGGUUAGUACAAGAGGUUCAUGAUUCCCCGACCCGUUUAUAUGUAGGGGUGGAGAAGGUUUUAGGCAAUAAAGAAUUAGUAAAAAUUAAUAAACAUAUUAUAAAAAUAAAUAAAUUUCAAGAGGGAUCGUAAAAGAUUGUAUGUAACUUAUCGUUAGCGGAAUGAAAUUUUUUUGGAGAGGCUAUAUUUGGCUUGGAACAUAUAUUAGAACAACGUUAUUUGAACCCACCGCACUCUCCAAAAUCCACUUCUCAAUAAAAAAUUUCAUUACAAAUUUUUUCUUAAUUAAAUUAUUAUUUUAACCAAAUAUUAUGUUAAUUUGUCUCCCUAAAGCUUUUAUUUUUUCACCCUUUUUUCUUUUUUCCUCUCUGUCUCCCCAAUUUUUUUUCUAGUCCUGUGUGGUUAUUAUACUUUAAGGCUUCUAUUGGAGUAAAAUCUCUAUUCAAAUUGCUUAUCCAAAUUUUUUUUUUCUUUUAAAAUUUGCCUUUCCUUUACCCUCGAGUCACUAUUAGAUGUAUAUGCUCGUGAUGAAACUUUAGUAAUUCGAUUUCUAUUAAAUAUUUUAAUUUUAAAAAAAUGAGAAGAUCACUAUAAAGAUAUCAAAAGAUCACCAACUUAAUUAUAGCAAUAAUUAAGGGAAUUAAAAGACUUACUAUUUUUGUUUGAAGUUAUUAUUACAAAGAAAGAAAGGGAAAAAAAAAAGUCGCUGCAAUUGCAUCAAUUGAGGACAUGUUAAGAAAAGUAUCAUAGAAAGUAGUGAGAGAAACAACUAAUGAAAAUUAAUGAUACUUAUUGAGGGUAUAUUGGGAAUAUUUGUGGGUUUUUUGAAUGAAAAAAUAAAAUUUUAAGUUGUGAUGAUGUGUUUAUUAUAUAAAUGAGUUUAUUCAGUAUUACAAUGGGUUUAAAUGGCUUUAUCCUUCGUAUUAUAAUAAAUUUUUAUAUUACUAUAAUAGCCGUAAUAUAGAGGACAAUGUAAUGAAAAUAUUGUUACUCUUAUACCUAUUAAAGAAACAAUAUUAUCUUGUACAGACAAGAACACUCCAGUGCUCAAGUGUAAAAGUUUUAGUAAAACGUAUAAGAACUCUUUUAAGUGUAAACAGAAUUUCGUCAAGGUGCUGUAAUAGAAUCUAAUGCUCUUUGGUAGUGUAAACUAUGUGUGCCACGUGUAGUAUUUCAAUCUUCACAAGUGGCAUUGUAAAUAGUGGCUCUUAUUUCAGUUCCUCGUAGGCACUCUAGAGACACGUUAGCUUUGAAGCUAGUAUUUGGUCAUCACGUGCUUCUUUUAAUGAAACAUGUGGUUCAUUUUAUCCUUAUAUGAGAGCAUUUUGUGCGGAAUAACCAUGUCAAAUGCUCAUUUAUCAAGGACACGUGUCGUGUUCUCAGAACAUAGUAAAAAUAUGAUACGCUAACCCAUGUACAUUUAUGGAAAAUCAAAUGAAAACAAAGAACUAAAAAAAAGUACAAAGGCUAAUUAAUAAUGUUUGAGUUUGAGAUGACUAAUAUUUAAUUUUAUGGUUGUAAAGAUAAGAAUAAAAGUAGGUCUAGUGAGGACUAUCCUCAUAUUAUAACACUAUUUAAAAUAAAUUUUGUUAUAAAAGAUUUUAUUCAAUUAGGUAUAGAGACCGUUCAAACCAUAUUUUAGGUACAAACUCAUCUAUUUGACAUAAUAGUAUGUCUCAUAAUAUCUUUACAACAUAUUUCGAUAAGAUCCUUCGAAAUUAAUAUUUAAAAGAUUUAUCAUCUCAUUAUACAAUACACAGCUUUGCCAUCUAGUAGAUAAUGAUUGGUUGGCACACCAUAGUUUACAUAGAUAUUUCUAAUAUUUGAAUCAUUUGUUAGGAAAUUUUAAUCCUACCAAGAUCUUGUAAGUAAACAUAUCAAAUAAAAAGUAAAUAGAUAAUAUAUAGAGAAUAAAACCAAUCAUACAACACAAUAAUUUACCGGAGAAAAAUUCCUAUACUAGAGAAAAACCACGGCCGCCAAAGAUGACGAAAGAAAAAUCCACUAUGUAAAGAUCAUUACAAUCACUCUAGUAUUUUCCUCACAUACAAAACCCCAAUAACAAAUAAUCUCUCAUUCUAGAAACUGUCUACUUGUAUAGAACUGAUUAUUGUGUUAUGCAAACAAGUGAAUCUAACAUUCUUAUAUAUUGUGAUUAUUUCAUAUAAGAGAAGUAUUUAUUUCCUUAUAUAAUUUGUAUUCCUCCUUUAAUAAGUUCUUUGGAAUUACUUAUUCCUUAAACAUGAAUCCCCCAAACAAAAAAAUUACUAAAUAAAAAAAUUCUAGGAAAUAUUCUAAUUUAAGAUUUACAAAUCCUCAUUGAAAAAGGAGAUAUGUUUCUUAAAAAUCUCAACUUUGGCGAGUUUUUAAAUUAAACGACAAAAUAUGAUCCACCAUACAUCUAUGCAACCAUGUCGUCUCCACCUUCUUUAAUCUACCAAAACUACACUGACAUUGGAGUAAUGAGAAUCACUCCACCAUGAGUAAAAUCUUGUCCUCUAUCCAGCAGCCAUAAUUUUCUACAUCGAGAAUCAUCAUACUUCACAUUAUCCAGAGUACACAUGUUUGGCAUAUGUCGAUCACAUUUCUGAAAUUACCCACUCUCAUGUUUGGCUUCUUUGAGAGUCCUCAAUGAUCAACAUAAAAAGUCCACCACAUACCUUGCAUAAAUACUAAACUGCAUGUUGUGUGCACAUCUUGUGGACCCAUUAGCAAUAACACAUCCUCUUCCACGACACACCAAUAGAUGACACACAACAUGCAGUUUUGUAAAACAUCAUUUAUUACACUCCUCCAGGGGUUUCUACUAGUGGAAUAGGCCUGACAUUGCUCUUUGCUUUACUUGUAUAGACAGAUUGAAUCAAUAUGUUAUUGACUUGAGCUUCCUAAAAGCCAAAAUUAAUUAUUCCGUCAAACUUUUCUGUUUCCAUCUUCAUAGGUUUUGAAAACCUCCUUGUUGACGUAUUUGCUCUACAUUGCAGCCUUAGCUCUAUUAUCACCUGCUAAGAAAUAAUUAAUCUCACCUAAGAUUCGCAAGAAAAAAUAUGAAAUAAAUAGUAAAUAUAAAAUAGGUGGAGAAUAAAGCUAAUAAAAUAAUACAAAAAUUUACAUGAAAAAUUUCUAUAUUGGAGAAAAAUUAUAAUAGCUAAGGACGAUAAGAGAAAAAAUUAUUAUGUAAAUAUUAUUAUAAUUACUCUAGGGUUUUUCUCACACCUAAAACACCAAAAACACCUAAUUUUAAUAGAACUACUUUUCUCUCACACUAAAAACUAUUUACUUAUAGAUAACUGAUUGUUGAAUUAUGCAAAGAAGUAAACUCAAUCUCCAUAUAUAUAUAUAUGUAGUGAUUAUUUCAUAUAGAAGUUGUAUUCCUUUCCUUAUAUGAUUUGUAUUCCUCUUUGAAUAAGUUAAGUUCUAAAGAGAAAAUUACUUAUUUCUUAAAUAUGAAUUAUAUUCAAUAAGAAAACUAAAAAGUCUAGAAAAUUUCUAAUUUAAGACUUAAAAAUCUUCUUUGAAAAAAGAGACAUCUCCCAAUAUCCUCAAAUCCUCCUUACAAUGCCACCAAUCUCUUUUGUGACUAGCCCAGUUGAAACUUUUAAUGGAUGGGCUGUAAUUGCCAAUAUCCAAAUAAAACAAAUUUCCAUAGGUAUAUUGGUAGAUUGAAUGACAACUAACAACACAUGAUUUGAUUAACUUACUUCCAAAAAAAAAAAAAAGAUACAAUGGAUGAACAUAAGACUCUUGUGCCAACUCAUGGAAUUCAUCAAUAAGGCCUUGGCUGAUCCACCUCAUGACUAGUAGAGUUCAAACCCCCGCUAAAUAGUAAAAAAAAUAUUUGGAUUAUUAAUUACUCUUUCUUAAGUCUAUUUAAACUUAACUUUAAGAAUUAUGAACGUCUACACUUUAAUUAAAACAAUACAAGCCCACCCGUUUGUAUUUAAAAUUUUGUUUGAAUUUAUUCACGAGCAACAAGAAUAGUAUAAAUGGAAAAAAAAGUACCAUAAAAUAAUAUCCGAUGAUUCUGUUUCUUCAAUUUCAGGAGCAAUGGUGGAAUCAUAUUUUCCGAUUGAAAAACUUUUGGAAAAAUUAGGGAGCUUUGCUUAUGAAGAACUUUUAUUGUUCUGCGGUGUCAAAAAUGACUUACAAAAGUUAAAGGAGACGUUAACCACUGUCAAAAGUGUGGUUUUGGAUGCUGAGGAAAAGCAAAUCCAUAAUCGCCGGUUAAGCGAUUGGUUGGGAAAGCUUAAGGAUGCUUGUUAUGAUGCAGAAGAUGUGUUGGAUGAAUUUGAGGUGGAAGAUCUACGAAGGCAAGUCAUGAAGCAAAGAAGCAUCGGAAGAAAGUUUCGUAACUUUUUUGGAAGCUCAAAUCCGAUAGCUUUUCGUUUUAGAAUGUGUCAACAAAUCAAGAAAGUCAGAGAGAGGUUUGAUGAGAUUGCAAACAUGAUGCAUAAGUUUGAUCUCACUGCACGACUUGAUGAUCGUAGUUGGCGAAUUGUGCACAAAGAAAGGGAACCUACUCACUCGUUUAUGCAUCCAUCAGAUAUUAUUGGAAGAGAUAAAGAUAGAGAAAAGAUUAUUGAACUAUUGAUGCAAACAAGUGACGGCGAAAGUGAAACUGUGUCUGUGGUUCCUAUUGUGGGACUUGGAGGUUUGGGCAAGACUGCACUUGCAAAAUUGGUGUACAAUGAUCAAAGGGUAGAAGAGCAUUUUGAGUUGAAAAUCUGGAUAUGUGUUUCUGAGGAUUUUGAUGAGAGACAAAUUAUGACAAAGAUUAUCAAAUACCACGGUGACUUGGAUACAGACCAAUUGCAACGAAUCUUGCGAGAUCGUUUGAAUGGUAAGAGAUACUUGCUUGUUAUGGAUGAUGUAUGGAACGAAGAUCCUGAAGCAUGGCGUAAAUUAAAAAGCUUAUUGUUGGGAGGUGCUAACGGAAGCAAAAUUUUGGUAACCACACGUAGCAGGAAGGUUGCUUCAAUCAUGGGCACGAGGGGAGGUACUAUUGGCUACAACUUACAAGGUCUACCAUUCGAGGAUUGCUUGUCUUUGUUUAUGAAAUGUGCAUUUAAAGAAGAGCGAGAUAAACAUCCAAACCUCAUAAAAAUCGGGGAAGAAAUUGUGAAAAAAUGUGGGGGAAUUCCUCUGGCAGUCAGAGCACUAGGAAGUCUAUUAUAUUGCUCAACGGAUGAACAUGAUUGGGAAUAUGUGAGGGGUAAUGAGAUAUGGCAGUUAGAGCAAAAGGAAAGUGGCAUUUUACCUGUUCUGAGGUUAAGCUACGAUCAAUUGCCGCCUCAGCUGAAACAAUGUGUUGCUUAUUGUUCAAUCUUUCCCAAGGAUUAUGAAUUUGAUAGUUAUACUUUGGUUCAAUUUUGGAUGGCUCAUGGUCUUCUCCAAUCCCAUAAUAAGAAUGAAGAGUUAGAAGAUAUUGGUAUGCGGUACUUGAAGGAAUUACUAUCAAGAUCUUUCUUCCAAGAUUUGACUUUUGGGAUGUUUGGAUUGGAUUUUUUUUUUUUCAAAAUGCACGACCUUAUGCAUGAUCUUGCCCUGCUAGUGGCCAAAGAUGAAUUCCUAGUAGUGAACUCUGAUUGUCAAUUUAUUCCCAAAAGUGUCCGUCAUUUGUCAUUUGGUACUGCUAAUGCAUCAAGAAAUAACUUUUCAAGCCUUUUAUUUGAUCUAGGUCGUGUGAGAACCAUUUUCUUUUCAACUGAUGAUGAUGAGAAGACAAGCCAAUCAUUUGUUGAAUCAUGCAUCUCAAAGUCGCAGUUCCUAAGAGUGCUCAAUUUAAGUGAAGCUGCUAUUGAGGUUUGUCCCAAGAAGAUAGGAAAUUUGAAGCACAUGAGAUAUCUUGAUCUGUCGAAAAAUUAUAAAAUCAAGAAACUUCCAAAAUCCAUUUGCGAGCUACAGAGUUUACAAACACUGGAUCUUGAAGGAUGUCUGGAGCUAGAAGAGUUGCCUAAAGACAUAAGAUACCUUGUCAGUCUCAGAGUGUUUGCGCUAACCACAAAACAGAAGUCUUUGCAAGAGAGUGGAAUAAGGAGCUUGGGUUCUCUUCGUUGUUUGACAAUUUCUGGUUGUAGGGAUUUAGAACAUUUGUUCGAGGAGAUAGAUCAGUUAAGUCUCCUUCGAACAUUAUCAAUUGAAGGUUGUCCUCGUCUAAUCUCAUUGCCACCUGCUAUCAAAUAUCUCAGCUCAUUAGAGACUCUGCUUUUGGUUAGGUGUGAAAGCCUUGAUCUUAAUCUGAACGUGGAAAUGGAAGGUGAAGGAAGUCAUCAUGAUCGCAAAAACACAAGGCCUCACCUUCGGAGGGUUUUCAUCGGGGAAAUAACACAGUUAUUAGAACUGCCACAAUGGCUUCUUCAAUGUUGUACUGAUUCUUUACAGAGCUUG